GGGAUGAGCUUCAUGAAGUCGAACUCUGAUGCAACAAGGAUGUACAUAAUGCGUUUUGCUGCUUCAGCCACUACGUCGCACAGCCUUGCUGAAAAUACUUUCCCGAAUGGCAGUGAGCUAUAUUGAAAGCCCAUACGGAGAAUCAAAUAAUUUUCUUUUUCCUCGCAGUUCAUACUGAAAACCCUCGAAAAGCUCCUCGUUGUAUGUCAAAAAGCAUUUGGGUAUGUCAGCUGUUUACCAUAGUUUAGACAUAGGUUAUAUUAUCUCGUGGAAUCUGGUAUCUUAGGAGCUGGUGUUCUUAUAAAAUUUCAAAGAAAUUGCAAGAGCACACCACUGUACAGUCAUUUGUUCAUUUAUUCAAGAACCCCUUGAAGAAGCAAGAAGUGAACUUCUCAAGGGAAAAGGAUAGUGUAUUAAGUUGACAAUAAGGUGCUUUCUCGUUAGUCGAUUAUAGGGUCUCAGAUCAGAAAUUCAAGCGGCUCAACAACUAAGUGGUUUGCGGUGUACUGGGCAUAUACUUCUACUGAUUUUGCUUGAGAUCCUGGGGCAAGAACACCAGCCCGCGCAUCUGUAAUUGUUUUAUGACAAGUGAAAUCAGUCUCCGUGUCCGUUGUUUUUUAUGGGUUAUUUUCACUUCUUUGUCCUUUUUGACGUGGGGGCUGGGGAGAAUUGUUGCUUGAGACAUCGCCUUUUCUAAAAGGUAGCCUUUCGAUCGUUCCCAUCCAACAGUAGGAACCACCCCUACCCACCAAACAAAUAAAGGAAAAAGGAUGUGGGAGUAAAAGGCUCAUAUUUUUCUUUCAGAGUUUUGCUUCAAUUGGAAUGUUAAAGAUGAGGUUCGUCCGGUUUCACGUUUCAAACGUCUGAUACAGCAUUUGAGUUAGAUUUGAGAGAUUCCUUCAAUCAAUCAUAGUACGUCUCAACAGAAUCCAUUGCAUCUGAUCGUUUCCAGUCUAAAAACAUGCCUAAAAUUUUAAGAACUCAACUUCACGAUACUCCAGUGGUUUUCUCAAAGGCUUUUGACAUGGAGAAGGCUCCUUUCUUUUACGAAUUUUCUUCAUUUUUCCCUUCUUUGCAUGUUAUCUUUCCUUUCAGAAGAGAGUCUUGCUUAUUUCACGACCAUAAAAAAAAAAAAAAAACCAAUCUCAAGAACAGAUCAACUUCAGAGUUUAUUUAUUAAUCUUUUAUGUUUACUAAGAAAUCGCAAAUAUCAGGAAGACGACCCUCACCUCAUGUGCUUACAAGAUUUCAACGCAGUACAAAUGACAGCAGCUACAAGAUCCCAAAGCAAUGCUUAUCAACGUAACCCAUAGCGCUGGAUGAUUUUUCUUGUUUGCAAAUUUGCAUCUUUUCGUAGCAAAAAUCAAGAGCCCCCAGAAAGUUUUUGCGUAGUACCGAAGAAAAGUAGGUGGUGUGGUGUCAAGGAGAACUUUUUCGAAGGGCCAAUAUGCCAAAAAAAAGAUGAUGAUGCCAGCUUCUUGCAAGAUCAUCAUCCUCCUCUUCUUGCAUGCAAGAGGAAGAUCAUCGCAAGAAAAUUACGAAGAGAGUUACGGUAGUAUUCUGUUCAAAGGUGAAAUUCUGUUCAAACUUCAAAGAGCGAAAAGGAUCGUGAAGAAAAGAUUCAGAAAACGAGAUGUCUGUUUUAGUAAUAGAUUAGAUACGGCAUGAGAAUCCAUCGUAGCGUAAAGACUUUUCAUGCUUUGUGGUUAUAAAGAUAACCAAAAAAGGAGAAGGGAAAAAAAAAGUAACAUGUUUGCAAAUUGAACGUUUGCCACUACUGGCUUUGUGCGACAUGGUCAAAACACUAAUAGGAAUUGUAACCAGAGUGAAGCAGACACCAAAUCUAACAAAGAAACACCAAGAUAAGGCACUGGAAUAAAUUCAACUACAGCAUCUGACUUAUCCAUGUAACAAAAGACAGAGGUGAUGAUCAAAUUUAAACAAAUGAUUGAUCUAUCAAUAUCUCUCCCCUCCAAAUGGAAAAGGCUAAUUAUGAAUGACAGGCAUCGCAUAUACUAUGUUAUGAACCUUGUGUAACAAAUUGCUAACUACUCGAAACAAAAUUUUUUACCGUUCGAAUCUGAACUUGAAUCUUCUAAUCAAAAUACAAUGCGAAACUCAGGAGGAUAAGCCUUGAUGGGUACCGACUACCAAGGUUGAAUCAAAGUUACUGCAUCUCUGAAGUCGGCGACACUAAAAUUCAGCAGAUCCAGGCGUUCGUGGAAAAGGUAUUGCAUCUCUUAUAUUAUCAAUACCAGUUGCAAAUUGCACUAGCCUUUCAAAACCUAAGCCAAACCCAGCAUGAGGCACUGAAAAGCAAUUAAAGAACAAAACAGCAUGUUUAGUCAAGGUCAUUCAAAUUAACUCCACAAGGUACCCUGAAAACUAGCUUUCAAACUGAUUCCAUGCCAAGAGUGAAUGCAGCAUUUAAUAAGGCAGUGUAUUGGAACAUCAAUGAUAAAAAUUAGUAGCUGCAAGUUAUCAUCUGCCACCAUUUGAGACCAAGUCAAACCCCCCCCCCCCCGGGCCAGGGGGGAUGAUGAGCUGCAUCUGCAGAACUUGUCAAAUGAAAGGAAAAUUGAAAGACUAACCUGAACCAUAACGACGCAGAUCAAGAUACCACCAGUAGCUCUCUUUGUUAAGCUUUAAGCCAUCCAACCGCUUUUCCAAAUACUCAAGGCGUUCCUCCCUUUGGCUUCCACCAAUAAGUUCACCAACCUGAUAAACACAAGUAUUUUCCCCAGCAAUUAGUAUUGCAGAAAAUGUUUCGCAGCAGUAACAAUAAAGGUCAUUUCAUUUUAAAUUUACUUGUCAACUCCUAUACUUAAGCAUCCAAGGAAACAUAUAACCCAGGAAAAGGAUAACCUGGUCCAAAUGAAUUAGCAAAGCCUAAUGCUUGCAAAGGGUACCUUCAAUUUCCUUUUUUCUUUUCCCCAUUUUUCAAUCUAAAAGAUAAUGCUAAUCGCUAGCUAGGAAAAAUUGCAUGAUAGGUUGAACUCUACAAAAACAGAAGUUUGCAACAUAUCAUCAACCCAUAGUGACCCAUCUCACACACCAUAUGCAAUAUGCAAUGCAAGUUUCAUUACAGGUAACAAGAUGAUGUACUAUGCCACAUUGGGGCCUUCAGAAUGGAUAUAGCAUUUCAGAAAGAUCCAACUUCCAAAUGAGUCUAAUUCAGCUGGUGAGUAAUUUAAGUCUAUAUAUACAUCAACCUACUUCUUCUUCAAGUCGCUACCAAGAACAGAAAAACAAGAAAAAAAAAAGCACAGAAUACCUGAGGAACCAGCAUGUCCAUGGCUGCAACUGUCUUCUCAUCGUCAUUUUCCCGCAUGUAGAAUGCCUUAAUCUCCUGAAAGUUAUUUCUCAAAGUCAACUUAAGUUCUUAAUGCUUCUACUGUCAGCAUAACUUACGACCCUUACGGAUCAGCAAAUAAACGUGCCUUUGGAUAGUCUCUAAUAAUGACAGGGCAUCCACCAAAUGCCACUUCAGUGAUAUAACGCUCAUGUUCACUUUGCAAAUCACAUCCCCAUUUCACCUGUCAAUGCAGAACUGAUACAUAGUUAUGAUAAUCAGAUCUCAUUCGAGAGCUGUCUAAGUAGUCAAUGAUAUGAUACAAUCUUUGCAAAUGAAUUGUUUUAGAAAGUGAAUUGUAACGAUCAGAUUCGUAACAAUAACUUCAUAAUAUCAAGAUUUGGGCAUAUCACAAAUUUCAACUGGCAGCAUAGCAUGUCCAAGAUAGGAAGACUAAUAGACAAGUCUAAGACACAGCAAAGACUGGUAAGGUGGGAUGAAUACCGGAAAUUCAAAUUUCUUCUUCGCUUUUAAUAGAAGGUCAAUGGCAUCAGUAUAUGUCAGCAGCACAAAACUUUUCUCAACAACAUCCUGUUGGACAAAAAAAAUAAGAAAAAGUAAUUUCAUGGCAAAGCAAAAACAAGUCUACAAUCUUGAAAUGAAUUUCUUCAACAAAAUAUUAGCCAUGUGCUUUCAUUAUUCGGUGAUAGACAAUUUUGAAUUUAAAAAAAAAAAAAAAGUGCCCGGAAUAGCCAAUAGUUCAUACACUUAGUCGACUGAUGAUUCCUUUUUCUAUCCAUGUGUUGAAGAAAUCCAUAUCUUCCUUGCAAUUCUCUAGAAUAUAUUGCACCUUCAAUGAAGAGUAUUAUACUAAUUCACAAGUCCAAUAUAGAAAAAUCAACAGCAAAAGAGAACAAGUGCAAAAAAUAGUUGUUGCAUAAAAGUCUAGAAUAGAUAUGAAAAGUAACAUACUACAUACUGGAGAUAGGCAGUUGCACAGGCCAUGUCAUCAUCUAAAUCAGCAAAUGCCAGUUCUGGUUCAAUCAUCUUAGAAAUGGAGGAAUCAGUUUUAGCAUUUAGCUGUCAGUUACCUCAACCAUAUACCAUUAAUUUCUCCCAAGGUAAAAAAGUACAUGAAUUGAAGCACGAGAAACAGUAGCAGCCUCAACAUACCCAAAAUUCAGCCAAGUGUCUAGAAGUGUUAGAAUUUUCAGCUCUAAAUGUGGGGCCAAAUGUAUAGACCUGCCAGAAAGUACAUUACUUAAUUUCGAGUCAAAAUGCACAAAGCAGAACAUGCAACAUUCACCAGAUGCUCUUCAGAACAGAAUUCCUAAAGGGGAAAAAUAAAGAAAGACCAAUAGCUCAUCAACUAGAGGAGUCUUAAAAAAGAGGACGUACAUCAGAAAGAGCCGUUGCAUAAGUUUCACCAUUCAGUUGCCCUGAUACUGUCAAGAACGCUGGUUUUCCAAAGAAGUCCUGUCAUAAACAAAAUUAAAAAAAAAUAAUAAGCAAAUAACUAAUUUGAGGUGCAUCCAAACUAUUGUAUUUAAUUGACAGCUCUACUCAAGCAAAUUUCCUAAAUAGAUAAAUCAUACCUCCUCACCAAACACCCAUUUUGCAACAGCCAAAAACCCCAAAAACAAAUAUAGAACUUAAAAAUGCAAAGAGGCAAAACAUGCAAAGGGCCCCAUCACAAACCUAAGAGAGAAGGAAGAAAAAUUAGGACUCGAGAGUUUCCUGUCAUAACCUAUCAUUCAGCAAUUAAAAAAAAAAAAAAGCCAAAGAAACAGUCCAAACAAACUUUAAACAAUCUGGUUAAAAAUUCACUUUGACCAUUAGACCACACCUGAUUCUCAUCCAUCCCAAACAUUUUAAAAUACACCUUCUAUAGGCCAAUGUGCAAAAUAUAGAUGUAUCAGAAAAUCCGUCUAAUGAUUGAAAGAACCAAAAUCCGUCUAAUGAUUGAAAGAACCAAAACAUAGGCUUUUUCUGUACUCACUUGAGACCAAUCAACAGAACCAUCUUCAGUUCUUGGAAUUGCAGCCACUGGAGAAUCUGUGGUUUCUCUGGAACUAGGAAUCUGUCCCGUGUAAAGUAACAUUUUAGAUGCAAAACUUUAAAAAUACUACAAACAGCAAAAAUCUCAAGUAUCAAACCCAAUAAAACACAAUUCAAGAGCAGAAUAAAAAUUUAUAAUGCACUGGUGAAGGAAAUUAAAGAAUCAUCUAACACAUCAAAGAUCCCUCUUUAGAGAAUGGAAGAAAGGUCAGAGAGAUAGCACUCAGACAUGGUAACAAUAAAAAAGAAAAGAUUAUAACAAGGAAGAAAAGAAGACAAUUCCAAUUAAGAAACCAUCGAAGUUUACACAAACAAAAAAUUCCAAACAACCACAAAUCCCCUACCGUAAUGCUUUCACGAACUCCUCACAGCAUCAUGGACAAGAGGAAGAAUGAAAGUUAAGGAGUUCAAAUAUGUAGUCUCCAAUAACGAUAAGAGAAUCAGAUACAAAUGCCAAGCAGGAAAGAGAGAAACAAAGCCAGUAAACUUAAGUACAGUCCUAUGCAGGUUGAAUGGCAAGUAAAAAGAGGCAGAGCUCAACAUAAUUUAACCUGUGGUCUUCGACCUUACGACCGGAUGCAUAUAAAAAGAAACAUCAGCUCCAGAAAGAGCAUACCAGGGUAGUGACGCAAAACUGCUCACCAGCUCCUUCACAGUCCGAAGCAGUGAUGAUUGGACUGGACACCCAGACAAAUCCGUUCUCUUGAAAAAACUUGUGUGUGGCAUAAGCCAAAGCAUUUCUCACCCUCGCAACCUAAAAGCAACUCAAACAUAAAAUUCACAGGCAUCCAGUCGACCAAAUAAAUCCAAUAGAGUUGUUGAAUACAAAAUGUGUGAAAGUAACACAAUUAACUACCUGCAGACCUCAAAUUUACGCAUAUGAAAGUAUGGAAAGAAACAAAACUUCUGAUCCAGAACAUUUGUUUGAGUAGGAAAGCAGAGAAAUUAGGAUAGAAAAUUGAGCAGAAGUCAAAAUUGAAAUCAACUCAGUUCUCCAUUUAAUAAGCAGCAGUCCCUUAGCUAACAAACUCCAUUCCCUGAAGCAAAAAGAUUAGCACAGAAAAAAGCAUCCCAAGGAAACAUAGAUUUAGGCAAAGAACUAAGCUCAACAGUUACUAGAACACAGCCCUACACAUCUUCAGCAAUUUCAGUUACUCAAAUUUUGUUACUCAUUUUAACCUCCCUUACCCUCAUCAUAACACAAGCAUGGAAGAAAAACAAAUAACGACCAAAAAAAGAGGUUCAACUACAGAAAAGGGACUGUCAAUCUACUAUGUCUAAAUACAAAGUAAUGUUGCUUUAUGGCAGAAAUGGAAUGCAACUAUUGAAAUAAUAAGGCAGAACAUAACAAAAUGAAAUAAUCGAAUCUAUGACUGAUAGUCUAAACCAGAAAUAACACAGGCUAAAUAGCAGAAAGUAUAAGAUGAAGAAAAUAUAAAAUUCUAAUUAUAAACCAAAAGCCCAAAAUGACAUGAAAGAAAUUCUAAGAAAAAUAAAUUAAAAUCCAGUUCUCAACCCAGAUAUAUAUUGAGGAUCAGAAAGGGUAUGAAAAUCACAGCACAAAAUCAACAUAUGAUAUCCAAUGAUACUGUCUUUGACAAUCCAAGUUAAAUCACUCUUUUCAAAAGUACCCAUUUCCCAAACCAGAAUGAGACUGAGAUCAGGUAUAUUCAAAGUCGACACAUUAAGCAUAUAGCUUUACUGAACAACUUCCGCUUGUUGAGAGGAAAAAAUAAAAAUAAAAAACAUUGCUCAGAGAUAUUAAAUGCACUUAUGGCGCAGCAGAAUCAAAAUACAACUAAAACAAAAAGCCAAAUCAUACCGCACCAAAAGUGUUUGUUCUUGGACGAAGAUGAGCCUUGGUUCUCAAAAAUUCUCUGCUGACCCUUUUCUUUUGAAUGGGGAAGGAAGGAUCACUUGUCCCCACCUAUGAGAACAGGUACACAGAAGUAGUAGUUACAUAACCAUUACAGCGAAAUUUAGUACUGGGCAAGACUCUUCCACGGCAGCAUGCCUAUUAUGCCUCCAGUCACGUGUGAAUAAAAUCCUAAGGCAGACGUAAGCUGACCAAUUUAUCUAGCGCAAGAGCAAUGCUCAUUUUUUAAAGAUAGAAUUCCACUUGCAAUACUCAAUGCAGUAAAUCAUCAAUACUUUUAGAACAAGUGCCAUCUGCAGAUCAACUGGAUAUCAAAUAAGUUAACAAGAGAGGAAAUAAAUAUUUUACCAGAAUAAGUUUUUCAACUUUCAGCUCUACUUUCUGCUUUGAGCCUUGGCUCUUUACCAGAACACCUUGGACCAAUAGUGAUGCACCAGUUGAGAUCAAGCCACUUUCUAUCUGUCAAACAUGUCAAAAUUCAUGAGCACUGACCAUGAUUUGGACAAUAAAUGUCUCGCCUGCCUAGUCACCGAUCACCUCACUCUUCAAGGUUCAUACGAACGAAGGAAAACUACUAUUACAAGAGGUUCUCCAUGAGAUAAAGUACCUGAUCAUAACCCUCAGCAUCAGAAGUCAUCACGCAUUGCAAAUUUGAAAGACAAGAUCCAUCAUUGACCUGCACAAACCCGCGUAUUAAUACCCAAACGAAAUACUAACACACAAUCCAAACCCAAAAUACUGUAAACUGAAGCUUAACAUUAGCAUAACAGUAACAAAUACGAUGAUUAAAAAAUGAAAACUUUCCCCUAAAAUAUCUGAACUUUGAUAAGAUGCAAAAGAUAAAAAUCAAAAUUAAAAUCUCUUGACAUGGAACUUUAUAUUUCACAUGCAUGCGCUCAAAAUACACACGUUUUAGGGCCAUUUUUAUUCUUUACUUGAAACCCCUUUACUCGUGAACAUAUCAUAGUCAUGAAGUCCGAAUUACCUCAAUAAAAGUGAUGCCGCUCUGAGCACGAAAAGUCCUGACCCAACCCCUGACAACCAAAGUCUCAUCCAAUCUAUUCAGACCUUCAUCGGGGCCACCUUUGACAUCAACAAUUCUCAAUCUUUUUCGAAACUCCCCAACUCUUUCGCCUUUUUGGAGUUCAUUUUUCUCAAAAGUUUCAGUCUUUGUGGCUUCGCCGGAAGAAACAGCGGCGGAGAUUACAGAGCAGAAGCUUCUUGUACGGGAAUAGUGCAAGGGAAGAAAUGGGGUGGAGUUGGAAGUAGAGGGCUUGAGAGGGAAGUGGAAUGUGGGGGUUAGGUGGGUUUUCGGUGUUUUCCGGUAAAAAGAGAAGAAACGGACGGCGGUGAAGGAUUUCAGGCGGAGAGAAGUAGCCGCCAGUGAGAGCGCCACAGCCAUUUGCUUACAGCUAAGUUUGAGCUCUCUGUAUUGCCACCGGUAAUUUCUAUUAUUAUUAUUAUUGUUAUCUCCAAAAAUACCCUUGGUAUUUUUUGCUUUUUUCUUACGUAUCUUUUAUAUAUAUAUAUAUAUAUAUUUGAACGAAAUUAAGACAAAUAGCGUAACUAUCAGACUAUGAGUCUAUAAAGAGAAACAAUAAAAAAAUCAGAAAAUUAGAAAUUACUCUCCAAUGGUCGGAUAAAUUCCAUCCCUCUAACUUCUAUAUUUUAAAAAUAAUCAUUUAUGUAUUUUUAGAUUGUAAAAAAGUGUAGAUUGUUUUCAACUUACUCUACAAGUAUCCUAUCCACCCAAAAUCUUGUGAUGCAAACUAAUUAGUACAAUUCCUUUGAUUUGGCAAGAAAAGUAUAAGAAAGUGAGAAAAAAAAAAUUUUUUUUUACCUAACGAUAAUAGAGAAAAAACUUUUUGUGCGCGUCAAAAUUUGCAAGAAGUGAAGUUGAUUACAGCACAGGGGGCAAGUUCCUAGCUAUCAACAGGGGUAUCGUUUUGGCUAUAAUUUUCUAGUCAAAUGAUCAAUCUCACGGACCGAAAUUGGGAAAAACUUCGACCAUUAAUUUGAUCACUGAAUUAAAAACCACAACAGUAAAAUGUCGCACACAAUUAAAUAAAGCAGAAAGAUAUUACUUUGUUUCCUGAAAGUCAAGUGCGCCGGAGAAUUAAUUGCCAGAUUAGUGGGUUGCUUGCUCAACUGAACCAACAUAAUUCGCACAGACGUUUUCAACAUAACAUUACAUCCAGAGAAGUCUUUCUUGGCCAUUGUUGAUGAUGUUCAAAGACCUUCCUUUAGAACAGCAGAAACAUAUGAAUUAAGAUAAUUCCGUACCAGGAAAAGGAAUGUACUUUCGUCGGUCCCAUAAACACUACUAUCGAUGCAGUGCUUGGUACCCACCUGGCUGAAAGAGGAGCAUGCAAGGUUGCUUACCGUUCCUGACAGUUCAGGAUCAAGAUUUGGGUUAAAAAAAUUUCAGCAAAAAAAAAUUAUACGAUCUAGAUCUUAUCUCUAGAUCUAGAACUCACAAAAUUUUAUUUUAAAAUUAUACGUUAUUGAAAGUAAGUUAUAUUAUGUGCAAACAGAAUUAUGUCGUGUACAAAAUGCACAAAACCUUCAACCGUUUCUGCCCUGAUCCAUACCGACCUAGUUAAUGCCUCGCAUCCAAUCCAAUACUCGCAUAAUAAGCAUCGACACGACAGCAGCAAAACGUUGAAUCUCGGCCGGAGACCCGUUAGCAAGUAAGGAUAGAGAAGAGGAAGAGGAAUGUAGUCGGCGAAGCCAAUCAAUACUACCUGGUUACAUAGACGUUUUCAGUAGUAGGACUAAUGUUCACUCGCUUUAAUGCGCGCUGGAUUUAAAAAAAUUGUAGCUACAACUGCUGCACUUUUAACAUGUUGCAAAUGAAAUAGAGACCUUUAAAAUAACUGGAUCAAUGCAUAUUCUGGAAGAAAGUGGAGUCAAGCAUCACCCGCCUCCCGUAAAUUGACUACCUGCACACUUAAAAUUUUUACAGAAAAGCGAGAUGGAAGGUGUUUAUUUAAUUUGCUUUUGUUUGGAAAUAUACCAUCAAAUCCCUAUCCAAAAUUAUGUAGGCUGUUCUAGAUGCAAUUCCUCGAGGGCAAAUGCAACCAUUUAAUUUAGAUGCGAGAUCCUCAACCUCUCCUAAUUCUCUUCAUAGGUUCUCAUUAUUACUACCCAAAGAUAUAAACGAAAAUUUGGCCAAAAUAAACUUUCACCAAACCCACCCCGUCCCCCCCCCUCCCCCGCCGUUUGAAAUAUCAAGUAUGAAUCAAUAUCUCACAUCGAAAAGAGAUGAGUAAAAUAAAAAACAUGUAAGUGGGAAUGAUCCAUAGACCCAAUAUCUUAAGGUUUUGGGUUGGAUGUGAUGUCAAACCCAUGAUUGUGAUUCCCAUUCUAGCUCAUGGUUAAAUUCUCCCCGAGUUUGGACGCGCUAGCAGUUAGAGAACAAACCAAUUCAUUGAUUUAUCUAAACCAAUGGUAGAAUAAUAAAAUCUAGACCACAACAAGAAAAUAAUUAAUUUAAUUACGAUAAAAAAAGAGGAACACGACAGGAGCAACAAAACGAACAGCUUUGCGCAGUCAAUUCAAGAGUCAUGUAAUUGAGACACCCAUAUACAGAACCACCAAACCAUGCUCUGCUCCCCGUUUUUCAUUACAACAGUAUUCCGCCAAAAAUAGCAAAAACAAAUGGGUUUCUCUACCAGGGAAACAAAUGUCAUUUACUCAUGUCCAGAAACACAACCAAUGCACUUACCUAAAUUGAGUGCUCCUUUUCCAUAGUAGUACCCAAGCAACUGCAUCCUGAAAAUUUUGAAGUGGUAAUUUAGGUUGAAGUAGUUUAAGCAAGAGACCCACAUGUACAAAUCCUGCAUUUGCCAUCCUACUCAUCUAAGGCUACAAGCUCAAAAACCUACACCAAUACCUAACGGACAAAUUACACAAAGGUAAGUACUAAGAUUCCCAAGUGCCUGGCCCAUCACGAUCUAAAAGGCCUCGCUCAAUGAAGUAUAUACAUCUCCUACCUAAACCUGGCUGAAGUGAAAACGAGCAUAAGAAGCCACGUUGCUUAGAUUUUUCAAGGGUAAGAGCUACUCACCUAAGAUAACUCCAAUACACCAAUCAAUAUCGAUUAUAGGCUUUCCCAUAGUCAUCACGCCUCUGACGCUGGAAGUCACCAUAAGUGUUGUGAGACCGCAAGGAAGGAUAAUCUUCCACAGGCUUUGGGUACCUGCCUCUAGAUUCCAUGGGCAUAUUAGAUCCAGAAUAGUGAGAAUUGCCCACAGAAUUUUCAUAGUCUGAAUAACUGGAUUGUUUAUGUCCACCAAACCCAGAAGCUGACAUGUGCUGUUGCACCUGUUGUUGCCUCUUUUGGGCAUCAUGCUGAAGAAACUCUUCCCACUGUUUUGCAUGAGUCUCCCUCAAAAGAGCCAGUUUCUUCAUGUAAUUCUCCCUUAUUUCUCUAAUAGUCUUAGAGUCCAAGAACACAAAAAUUUCAGAGUUAAUCUCCACCGGGUAAAUUAGAGCAACAGGGAACACAAACACCAAUCAUAUCUUGAUAUGAUUGAAAAAGAAUGCACCUAUCCUGUAAUGCACCCAGACAAUCACCAGGACAAUCUAGAUACUAAAAGGAUAUUCCAGAAUUAAAACAAAUUGAUCACAAUCUACUUUGAUGAUUUCAGCCCCUUCAAAUGGACAUCAAAAUCAGAAGAUAAUUAUGAUAAUAUGUUUAACCAACAUUCUCACCUCAUGAUGCCUGUAAUUUUCUUCAGCUUCUUCCUUGUCCCGCAUUCUUUCAAGAUCCAUUGCCUCUUUCUUAUAUUCCAACUCGAAUUCCUCUAAUGUCUGUGGAAAUGCAGGAUACUCAACCUUACGUGCCAACUGACUGUCAGAUGAACGUCUCUCAGCAUCCCACCCAUCUGUCCUAUAUCCCACCCUGCCUUGACUAUGACCAUCAUAUGAACUAUAUGCAUUGCUUUGAUAAGGGUGACGUGCUGGAGACCGCGAAUGGCUUGACCGACCUCUAACUCCAUCAUUACCAUAAGCUUCACCAAAGGAAGAGUGUGUUAAGCACGUCCAUUCAAGAUCUCUAAGAACGAGGCCAGCUUAAACAUGACAUACUAUCUCAAAUCCCAUUGUGAAGCCGUUUGAAGCAAGACAAGUCUGAAUAGUCUUUUCAGUAAAAAUUUUCAAUUGGCAGACAACCCUUUUCAAUUCAGACCCCCCAGGAAACUUACAUCAGAACCAACAGAAUUCUUGAACAGAACAACUUACCUCUUGCUGCAAACAACAUAGUUGGGCAAGAAGCAUUAUUAACAAUGAAUAAGCAUCAAAAAACAAUAAGUACAAUAGAUAUCAUUGUAGAUGAAAGGUUUUACCAUCUCUACAUGACAGCAAAAAUUAUCUAUUGAACUCCUACCUUGUGGAGAACCUCUAGAUAGCUUUUGCAAAUUCUGGCGAACAAUGUCUUCCACAGCCUUAUCCUGUCUACCAAACCUAUUCUGAAAAUGAGAGGCACCCUGUGGGCUAGGAUUAGAUCGCUGAGAAUCAGAGCGUGCAAAUCGAGAGCCAACGGGACUUCUCCUUUCAGGUGACCUUGAUCUUGAUAGCUGAGAACUUGAAGAACCCUUUUUCUCACCCUCUUCUUUAAUUUUAUGAACAGCAUCAACACCUUUUUUCAGUAUCAACCUAUCCUUGCCGCUGACAAUAAUAAAUUUUUCCUCAAUUUUGAUUUUGCACCCAAUGUCAUUUUCAAGUUGGCUUACCACCUUCUCAGUAAAUAAUGCUUUUACAUGAGGUUCUCUUCCAGGCACUCGUUCAAAGAAAUCCUGGGACUUCCGAUUUGCUCCCAGUGUAGAUGGACAACCCUACAAUCAUUUUCUGUUAGCAUAAUAGCAGACACAAACCUAGAAUUCUAUGAUCAUAUAAAUGUGUAAUUGUUCAUUGAUGUGCUUGUGGUAAAAUACAAUGAAGGGUGUGAGAGGCACAGGGAUGAUAGAGAUAAUGUCUAGCAAAGUCCCUUCCAUCAAAAAGCAUGGUCAUAUUCACUUGACAAGAAAGCAAACCUUCUCCCCUCACCAUUUACAGAGUACAAAUUCAGUUACCAAAAACCCAAAAUAUAUCACAUAUAUGAAUGAUAUAAAUUCCAAGGGGAGAAGGGAAUUACCUGGGUAAAAUGUCCCGAUUCUCCACAGAUUUUACAAAUCAUUUCUUCCUCUUUCCUUUUCUUCCAAUUCCUCUCGGUGGCUUUUGACUUAGCUUCCCAAACCUUAGCUUCUCGACUAGUAAAAUCAGUUGGAACAGCAUUAGGGUCCCGAGCAUCCUCUUCCUCGUCAGACCCAUGAUGUGACCUUUUAUUUGUUGUAGUUCUUUCUUGUGCAGCAGUGUUGGGUUUCGAAACCCCAGGGCCCGUGUAUUCCUUGUAAAGGUCACUAAAAUCAUCAUCUAUAUCUGAAUCCUCCCUACUUCCCAUUUCGUCAAACAAACUCAAGUCCACUCCUACAUCAACCAUCAUCCAAAAAAUUCAGUUCUGGUCCUUAUACAAGUUUACUCUUUUGUCUUUUUACCCAAGAUUCCCAGUCCUCACAAUAAUAGUCGGUGCUAGAAUUUUCACCGAAAAAAAACAAGAAACAUUUGUUAAGGCUACCAUCAGCAGGUUCUCUUUUUUGUCAAGAAGAAACAACAUUUCCUCAAAAACCUUGGUAAAUUCUUCAGAAUAUUCUUCAACUAAUCCAGUAAACAUUACAACUUCUCAAUAAAAAUUAAAAAAAAAGGUGGUCCAACCGAGAAGCCAGUAGGAAGGUUAUUUAUGUACGAGCUAAGUACCACAGAGAUUAUACACUAUAAUCCAAUUUUGUUUUCUUUUUCAUUCGUUGGUGCGGAUAAAUCAGAAAAGCUUGCUCCGGUAAUCAAGAUACCCAGCCAAGCAACCCUUUUUUUAUUUUCGUCGGUGAAUUUCUAGGGUUUUUUCUAUUUUAAUUUGGCUAAUGUAACGUGACUACAAAAUGAAAAAGUUAAAGAAGUAAGAAUCCUAUUAGCAAAAUAAAAAUAAAUUAAAAAUGAAUUACGGUAAAAUUGAGAAAUAAUAGGGGUAAUAAUCGGAGAGGGAGAAGAAAAAUCAUUACCUGAAUGCAGAGAAAUCUGAUGAACGCUAAUAAACAGACAUUCGCUUAGAGCCUCGGAGCGGCGAGGAGAGUGUAGGUAAGGGGAGUGACGGGGGAGGCAAAAAAGAAGUGGCUAGGGCUCGUUUGGUAUUUGUAAUUUUAUGGCUUCGUUUACGUUACCUUAAAUAUUUACGUAUAUCUCUUUCUACUCCGAGACAACAAGAAGUUAGGCUGCUUUGAUAAUUUAUUAACUUAUUGAAUUAUUAAAUAUUAAAUUAAAUACAUUUGAAUUAUUAAAUAUUAAACACAAAUAUAUUUGAGUAAAUAUUACAGUCAGUAACGAAUGAACAGUUUAUCACUUAUUUUUUAAAAAUUUAAAUUAAUUAAUUAAUUAAAUUAUUAAAUAUUAAAUCAAAUACAUUUGAGUGUAUAUUACAUUCAGUAAUAAGUGAAUAAUGUAUCACUUAUUUUUAUGAGCAAGUUUUACUUAACAAAUUCAAUGCUAUUUAAUUAAUUUAUAUGUUCAAUUUUUUAUUAUUAAACGGAUUUAAAUAUAUUAAAAUCUAAAUUUAUUAAUUUUAAAUUCUAAAUUGUGCUAUCAAAUAGGGCCAUAAUACUUUUUGUGCUGUUGUGCAGUUCGUUCAAUAAUUGCACAUGUUUAAGUUUAAAUUUUUAAUGUACAAAUAAAACAUAAUGUUAUUUGUAAUAUAUAUCAAGUAUUUUAUUUAUAUACUCACUUUUACCUCGUAUACAAUAAAAAGGUAGAAUAAUGUAAAAAGAUAUAAUAAUCAGACCGAAUCGUACCAAACCCUAACCGCACUGGCCCUUCCCAUUGAGAGAUAGAACAAAAUACUUGUAUCAAGUCUCGGGUGAUUUUUUUCUUUUUAUUUGAAAAAAGUUUUAAAAAUUUAGAGUGGGAUGCAUUUUUUUUUAAAUAUAAUUUUACUUGUAUUAUAAAUAUAUUUUUAAUUACUUUUUUAUGUUGCAUAUAUUACACCACAAAAAAAAAUUACUACUACACUAUUAUUUUUUCAAAUAAUCUUCUACCCAAAAACAGAGUGGAAUUUCUUGGAUCUUGGUGCAUUCUUGGCAUAAUAUUCUAGCACAAAAUAGUUGGUUUAUUUGCAUAUAAUAGUCUACUACCAAAGCAAGUGAUCUCUUUAGCCUAGCAUUUGAACUUAUAACAAAUCUAAAAUGUGGAAUUUGUCUUUUGAGAAAUCUUGCAAGGAUAGAAUCUAUAAUGGAUUUAUCUGGUACUUACCGGAUGUGAAACAGAAGAUUCGUUACGAGAUAUUUAUGUGUUAUGAGUAACCUCAAACGUAUGAAAGAUAUAUCUCUUACCUCAAAGUCAGACAACUUACAUUAGUAGCAUUUGGUAAAACUAUACUCUCGAACAUUUUAAACUAUACUUUUCCUUAUUUACGACUUUACGUAGCAAACAAAAAAUUUAUUGCUAGAAUUAUAGCAUUAAUCUUAACCAUAAGCUUGGGACAAGCAAAAGAUUUUACUAGUUGCAGGUCAAUUGCAACAUUUGAAAACAUUAUAGGAAGUUUGUAAUACUAUAGUCAAAUUUAAACACCAAAUUCCAUCAUCUGUCAAGGGUCAAAUGCCCUGCGCAUAUUACAUACUUGCAUCUGUUCUGUAGUCUAUGUUUGGCAAUUCUAUAAUCCAAGGGAGAAUUUGUGACCAAUAUUUUCAAAACUUCAUGAAGAAAAAGAGAAGUUACCAUUACAUGCCCCUAACAAGCUACACUGGGGCUGCCGGUUGCCAAGUAUGAAAAGAACAUUUGCUUAACCGAAUUGAGGAGUCCCAUUUGAUAUCUGCUGAUUGGGAUUUGGAACUGUUCGGGAAACCAUACAGGUUGCUGCAGAAUUUGCAUUUUGACUGGGUGGAGAUAUAUCAGCUCCUAAAGGAGUACAUGAAGCUUGUCGAGGACCCUGUUGAUGGACAAGGUUUUGUGCAGCAGAACUUGGAGGGUAUAGAGCUUGGAGUCUCAGUGCUCCAUACAUAGCCCGGUAAGCUUCAAAGCGCUUAAACUUGGAGGCGUGUUUCUUACCAGAAAGGUGACGAUUGAACACCUCUGUUGUGUCACAUAUAACAUUGCACAAGUCGCAUAUGAAGGGAAACACAAUCUUGGGUUCUUGAGGUUUCAGCGACCCGCUUGGUGUAUCCACAGUUUUUACUUGCUUCCUGCCAUGACCACUUCUUCUUUUACGCUUCAGGCUGCAUAUUUGAUGGCCAGGCUGGCUCACAAGGCAAUCAGAUAGUGAAUUGCCAGAAGUACGAGGUAAAUCUGCAUUAUCAUUUGACCGUUGUAUCUCCAUCUUAUCAAGUACAGUUGUUAGCAGAUGUUCUUGCAGGCUUUUCCUGUUCUCAUCACCCUUUGCAGUGACUUCAGGCUGCGGAGCUACCUCAGGAUUUGAAUAACCAAGUGGUACACUUUCCUUACCUCUUUCAGCACCAGGUUUGUUGGCAUUAUUCAAUACUGCAGUCUUUGCAACAACUUCUUGUGUCGCUUUCCAUUCAUGUGCUGCUUAAGUAUUUCCAAACUAUUACAAUCAACUUUACACAGCUCACACAAUGCACCUCGAGUUGGUUGCUGAUUUUUAGCUGCACUCCCACUCGGUACUAUAGGCGUUUGUCGUUGAAUAUCACCCUCUUUAACAGAACUAGCUAAAGGCUCUACACAUUUUUCUUUUGAUUUGACCUUCUCAGCAGCAGUAGAUGGUUCUGAAUGAGAGGAAGAUGCACCAUGUUGUUGGAGAUCGGCUGAUCCUCCUGUUUCCUGAGCACAUCCUGUCUCAUGAACCAAGUCGCCUGUCCUCGACUGGUUAUUACCCAUAUGACCCUGACCACUGCCCCUAAAAGAACAGCCAUCCCUUCUACCACCACCUCUAUAUGGAGACGAAUGACCCUGCAAGUCAAUACUCAAAAUAGGGCACAGAUAUUAUAUGCUUAUCAUGCAAAUAGACAUGUCUCCAAACUUGAGAGAAAAUGAUGAUUAUAAAGAUUCACAUGAAUACCAAAAAAUGAGAAAACAAAACCUUGGAUACCUAAAAAAAAAUGAAACUUUAUGAUGAAAAACAUCUGAUUUAUUUUUUUCCUGCAUUCUGAAUCCAAGAAUUACUGAGUGUUAGAGACUGAGGUGUUGAAACAACUAUAUCCAGAGCUUUGGCCGAAAGGCUCUUUAGCUGAUUCAACCUUUUGGCAGAAAGGCUCGAGUACAAGGAGUGUAAAUUACUGUGGCAGGGAACUUCGUAAAGUUUAUAAAGAAAAAUCAAAAGCACCAUAUUCCAAGGAUACUCUAACCAUACAGAGAUUUCUUUAUUUUUCAUAAACCUCCCCACCAGACAAUUAAACUUGGAAAUAAAUUAAUUCAUACAUCCAUUUGUACAACUAAUUAUCAUGCUUCAGCCAUCAGAUCUUGAUGUUCCUUCUUUACUGAAAAGAAAGUUGAUGUAUAGUCAGAAAAGAGAGAAAAAAAUUGGAGUAUCCCUGUAUGCAGGUCUAUCUUACAUAAACUUCCUCUGAAGCUCGCAUCAAGAAGGUUCUUGGGAUCAACAGGUCUUUUGUUUUCUACAAGAAAAGUUAAUGGCUUGGACAAGUAGAUCCAUCAUCAGACACAAGGCUAAAGAAAAAGUAUUACCAUCUUAAUUUACUAAUUUCCAUCUCAAGAAUAAUGAAUGAGUGGAACAACCUUAACUACUUCAAUUUCUCAAAGUUUUUGUGGCCCCAAGUUCUAUAAACAAGAGGAAACCAUUCAACUCGGUUUCAAUUGACUGAUAAAACUAUCAAGGAGCUCUUGUACCUCACAGACUGCAUCUAGAUUGCUCAAAUCUGAAACAAGCAUGGCUAAAGAAAAGAUGGGAGAUAAAGCAAGCCAACAAAAAAUCAGUACAACAAAUAUUUUCCAUAAUUAUGGAUAGGUCUAAGGUGCAUACAGUCUGUAUACAAUUAUAGCAGAAAGUGUCCGGGCCAACAUUUAUUGGAAGAUUUCAUUUUCUUAUUACAUUUUAACAUUCAGUUUAGACACAGGCGAGGCGAACAUUUCUUCCAGCAUCUUUUAGUAAGAGAAAAGGAUCAUCUUUGAAAGGAAACGACGGUCACAGACACUUAAGGUGAUCAAAUGUGAUCUGAAACUAAAGAAAAGAGCCUUGGUAGUUAACCUUAAGGUGUUGCAUUGAAGAAAGAACACCAUAAAACUAACAUCUACCAUUGCUUCAUGAAAACUAAGCACUUGAUCAGCAUUAGAUGACAGUUAGAAACAUAUUGAUGGCAUUCAAUAACACUAUUACAGCUCUCCAAAUGCUCUGUUAUCCUUUUUUUUUUUUUUUGAACCAUCCACCUUCUCCCUUCUCCUAGUCCCUCCCUACCCCAAACCUGGCAGUUCAACUCCAUGGCCACUAGCCCCAUGGCUAGUGGUUAAUGUUGCGAGAUCUUGCACCCAACAGUCGUCAUACUACCCAGGCAACUAACCCAGCUUAAUUGCAAUGCAUAUAGUCUAAAGCUCCGCACUUUGCUGAAGUUAUCAGUUCUAUGCAAUCCCUUUAGAAACUAUUACUAAACAUAAACUUUUUUUUGGGCGGUAAGUAAACCGCCAAUGCUUACUCAUAAACAACUGAAAAUUAAUUAAAUAUUAAAAGCUCUUCAAGAAACCACCAGUGCUUACUCAAACAACUAAAAAUUAACCAAAUAUUGCAAGCUCUUCAAGAAACACAUUAUAGCGCAUUGGACAACGAAAUCGUAUCUAAAAACAUGAAAGUUGAAAGCAAAAAUUUCACACUCGAAGAUCUAAAGUAGCAGCACCAAACUAGAAUAUCACUUCAACCACUUAAACACAACCAUGAAAGCAAUGAAUUAGAUUGAAUUCGUGUUACUAAAAACAGCAAAAGCAGACAUUUCACCGCUUAAACAUAAGCAACAUACCGCUGCAUGCAUUGGUCUUGUACCGAGGCCUGGACCCGAAACUAACCCAGGGCCUCCCAUCACGGGGAACUGGGUCCCCAAAAGUGCUCCUAAAGCUCCGACAAUCUGUGUAAUCUGCGCCAACACCACCGCUGCUGCUGCCAGAUUAACACCCUGUACAGGAUAAUACACGUUCUGCUGGUCCGGCACCUGCCUUGAUUCCGAUAUCCCUGGCGCCACCCUAGGCGCAGCCCCAUUACCACCCUGAGCCGGCUGUGAUGGCGCGUCUGGCUGGGCUGAUGGCCCAGGAGGGUGAAUUACUGGACUCUCUGAUUCCGGCUGGGAGAAUUGCUGUCGCUGUAGCUGCUGAAUUUGAUCAUAUCCAUUAACGAAUUGGGUAUUAAAAAAUGAUGAAGAAUCUUGCAUUUGCUGUGGAUUUUGGUAGUGUGGAUAACACGCUGGGUGAUAAUAGGACUGAUUAAUCUGACACGGGUCAUGUGCUUGUUGUGUUGAUGCACAUUCUGGUUGAAACUGAUGCUGCAUUUGCUGAGAAUGAGAUGAAAAACUCAUUGGGUUUGAUUCAUAGUUCAUUGUUCAUGGGUCUUAUGUGUUCAUUUUUGUUUGGGAUUUCAUUAGGAGUGGGAAGUUGUUUGGACAGAAGCGAUAAUGACUGGGGAAUAUCUGAGCUUUAAACCUUUAAUUACAUGCAAUGGUCUGGAAAGUAUCUGAGCUUUGAGUACUGUUGCAGGCCGUGGUUGCAGGUUGGCGCCAAUGUCGUGGGAAUUUUUAUUGCACAAAUUGCACUUAACCCCGUCAAGGAAACAAUAUUUUUCUUAACAGCCCCUCCAAUUAAGCUUCACUAAGGACUAGAUUUUCUGCAACUAGUUGAUUUGAGACACAGAUAAACCUCUUAAAAACAUCCAAAGAACCAAAAUAUCUCUAAUAUGGAGUCAAGUGGAGAAGAAUCCAAGAAUGAUUUCAGCUGGAAUUGGAAUAUCUUAUAUUUAACCACAGCUGAUUUUGUAUUUCUAAUCCCUUACAACAUUGUAAUCACUCUAUUUUUUUUUUUUUUUGACAAACUAAAAUAUCAAUGAAGCCUCAAUAAAAUUUAGGUUUUACAAUUGGAGUCUUUACAUGUGAUCAAAGGUAAUGAUAUUAUCACCUAGGUCAAGGCUAAGAUAAGUUAUUCAAAAUUUAUGUGAUCCAAUUUAUAAAGACUCAUACAAGUUUUAAGUUAUCAAUUAAUCGAAUCAAUUUAAACAUUAUUUUUUGAUAAAUAACAUAUAAAAAUUGAUAUAAUCAAAUUCGACUCCACUGAUUCAACUCAAUACCACAAGUAUUGUAUGGAGUCUACAAAAUCAAACCUACAUUCAAAUUCUUAGGUUUGGUUCAAGUUCAAACUCGAAUUGUAUAUGAACUUUAAAUUUAUGCUCAUGUUCGAUUCAAUUUAUUAUUUGAUAGGCUCAAAUUCAAAUCCAAAUCUCAAAAAUUUAUUUAAUUCUUUUAAAAUUAAACUAUCACUAAUACAUAUAUAAUAUUUAUAUAAUAAAAUAAUAAUAUAUAAUUUUAUAUAAAAAAUAUUGAUAAGUAUUUUAAAUAAAAUAUUAAAAACUAUUCAAGUUGGCUUAACUAGCCAAACAUGUACAAGUUUGAACUCGAUUCAACACUUAAUAUUAAUUCAUAAUUGAAUUCGAGCUAAAGUUGAUUGACAAUUGAACUCAAAUCCAACUCUUAACAAAUCUAGCUCUUGACGAAUCAGGCCGUUUGUUAAAAUUUGGUUCGUUUACAGCCUUUAUUUUUUUUCCUUUUGUCAAAAUUUCACUUUCAUUAAUAUGUUAAUCUUUACAUUCGGUAUAAAUGGAGCAACUGCUGCAUCAAAGAUGUGGACUUCUAAUAAGCCGCAUGGGGAAAGAUAUUUCCCCACUUGCUAACCUGUACUAACUUGGUAGCAAAUUUGGCCAAACUUCUAUCGCUUGUCAAAAUGAUGCCUGUCAAAGAAUGAAUUUACACUUCCAAAAGCAUUUUUUUUAAUUGUAAAAUGUCCUUAUAUGUUCGUUUACAGCCCUUAUCGAACGGGAAAAGUUAUAAAUCUCGGUGAAUUCGCCGGAUAACGUGACACAAUCGCAGACAAAAACCCGCAUCAGAGAACAAAAGCAAAGCCCGCUCUUGCCUCUUUUCUCUUUCAUUCGCACCUUUCCUUGACGCACCUUUCUUCUCCCCAUAACAUACUUAGCAGCAGGUCCCCCUAUAGGUACAUUUGUCCUACAUCGGGGUUGGGGUUGGGUUUGGGUUGGGAUAUAAGUCCCUGGGAUUGCCUCAAGAGUUGCCGGCUUUUGAGGUUAAUUCUGGGAUUAGGUUUAUAAAACAACAAAAGUCUGAUUCAGGCUGUUGAAAAAAAUAACAUACUUAGCACAAAAGAUCAGAAGGAAAAGGUACCCAUAAGUUAUAUAAAUAGCGUUUACUUCUUUUAGUCUUCUAUCCAAGCAGAUAUCUCAAGGUAUUUUAUUUGCCCGUAGAGGAAGAAAGAGAUAUAUUUACCAAAGCGGAUACAGGGGAAAGAGGUGAGGAAUCCAUGGCUGACCACUCCGAUGAUCUGGACCAACUUCUUGAUAGUAAGCACCUCUGAGAGACAAAUACGCAAACACAGGGCACUUUAUUUUUUUGCCCCUUUCCUGAAUUUUGUCUUUCAAUUUUUCUUUUUUGGCAGAUGCGUGUUUGUUGACAAAAUUGAAUGAACAGUUGUUUCUCGUUGGUUUUUAUUUAUUUUCAGGUGCUUUAGAUGAUUUUCAGAGCCUCAAUCUUACCUCCUCUGCUCAAAGGUUCAAUCUUUAUUUGCUGUAUUCGUUUUUUAUUGUCCAUAAUAGUCACAUAUACUGAUAUAGGACAAUUUUUUUUUUAAAAUGGAUUAAUCAGAAUAUCUGUGGAUUUUGAUUGCUUAUGUAGUAUGAACUAAAAAGGGUUAGUUUUUAUUGGCUUCGAGAAGUGGGGAUAAUGAAGGGAACAAGCAAGAGAAUUCUUCGAUGCCAAGUGAGGUACAGGGGCUAGGCAUGGGAUUGCCUGAUUUGAGAAGUAAGAAAAAAGGGAAGCAAAAGGUUUCAAAGGAAUCCCAUGUUUCUGAGGCUCUUGAUAAGCUAAGACAGCAGACAAGGGAGGCUGUUAAAGGGUUGGAAUCUGUUUCAGGGCCGAAACCCAUGGAAGAGAACAUUGGAAAUGAUGCAAUGAUGGAAGAUUGGGUUAAGCAAUUUGAGGAGCUUGCUGGGUCUCAGGUAUUUUUGUUGUAUUUUUUUUAGUAUGUUAAGUUCUUGGGCAAUUGUGUCAAUUUUUCAUUUCGGAGCAACUUGCUUAACUUGUUUUUGUAUGGAACACGUUGGAAUCUUAACAUGUGUCCCUAAUUUGUUAUUUUAUCGUCUUGGAUUUUCAGUUUAAUUUUAAAUCUCGUGGUUCUAGAUUAGAAGAGUUUCUGCUACCAAGCAAGAUGAUGGAGAUAUAAAAAUGAAAAUUUGGAGGUAGUCUAUAAUUUCAAGUUCUGAGCUUCUGAUAUCAGAAGUGCUGGUUACCUUUUUGUGUUCCAAUCAAUGGCCUGUCCCAGGAAAUGUUAGCUUCUGUUGUCUGCUUUAAUGAACAGUUAUGGUUAUCUGAAUAUUGACAUGGAGGGACAUCAUGAUCAUAAGGGGUGAUAUCUAGCUCAUGUUCUCUGUAUUCAAGAAUUUAGAUCGUAGAUGUAGAAAACUACAAAGAUUAGGCUUAUAGCCAUUUUUCAGUUGUUCUGGUGCUUGGUUGUUCAAAGAAAUACUGGCUUGGACUAACAAACUCUGAAAGAGGAAAAGAAGCUUGAUGAUUUGAUUAAGAGUUUAUAGAGUGAUUCAACUACUGUAUUAUCUUAACAAAAUUCAUGGGUAUCCUCCAUGGGCUGGUAUUAUUCGGAUUUUGUUCUUUGCAAAUGAUAAAUUGCCUAUUCCACUAACAGUACUGGAAUGCUAGAUGCUUUAUAAUGCACUAGGGCCACCAAACUUCUCUGACUGUUAACCCAGUUUGCCACAAUUCCCUUUUGAGGAGUCUGAUUAUACAUAAAGUAUGCAUAUGGCUCUGCAUGUGUCUUUGUGGUUGCAUAUCUGGCCAAAAUUGCAUUGCCGGGUUGUUACUCAUGGUGGAUGUUAGGCUACUCGAUUAUGUGAAUACCAAGUACUAACGGUUUAGUUGGAAGCUCCAUGUUAGCAAUAUUGAAAUUGUCUAACUAUGCUGUCAAAAUUCAGUUAUUAUUUCUAUGUGUCUGGGAAUCUGUUUUUCUUCGUUAGGAGGGAGGGGUUAUCCCCCUUUUUUUGUUUUUAUGUGUUUUUUUUCUUUUUGUGUUGGGAGAGGGGUUAUAGUUAGGGAAAAGGCUUACUUUUUUAGGCUAGUGAUGCAUUUGGAAUCCCUUGAGUGCAAGGGAUGUGCUUGUAUUGUAGCUUUAAGCCUACAUAUGCCUAUGCUAUAUCAUAGACAAAGCUUGUUCCAUGUAAAACUGGUUGGCAUUUUGCUGAAAGAUCCUUGUACUGCUUAGUUGAUAUGAUCUUGGCCAGCAUCCUCUCACAUGGGUUCUUAUGCACUGCCUACUAAUAAUCCACUGAAAGCUGGUGUGUAACUUUGUUCUCUUCUAUAUCAUAGGACAUGGAGUCUAUUGUGGAGACAAUGAUGCAGCAACUUUUGUCUAAAGAUGUUCUUCACGAACCUAUGAAAGAAAUUGGUGAAAGAUAUCCAACUUGGUUGGAAGACAAUAGAACCAAACUCAGCAGUGAAGAUUAUCAACGGUUCUCGCACCAGUAUGAACUUAUAAAAGAUUUGAACGAAGUUUAUGAAACUGACCCUGGUAACUUCAACAAGAUUGUGGAGCUCAUGCAGAAAAUGCAAGAAUGCGGGCAACCUCCCAACGACAUUGUGCAGGAGCUUGCUCCGGAAUUUGAUCUAUCAAACUUUGGACCAUUGUAAGUGUACUGCUUGUGUUUAUUGAAAUUUGAAAAUUAACAUGAUAACAACAUGGUUUUUGGCGGAUUAGAUAAAGAUUUUCCAGGGUUGGGAACGGCUUUGACUUGAGGAGAAUGAGAGGGAGAGAAGUUUUUCCCGGGGUGGGGGAUUCUGGGAUGUGGGUUUUCAUUUUUCAUAGUGGCAUGAGGAGUAGAAGAAGUACACCAGGUCACUUUUUGCACUCUCAUUACAAGAAGGCCAACCUUCUUUGUCUUCUUCUUCACCUAUAUUGUUUUUUCUUCUACAUCUUGGCAUAGCGAGCACUGAUUGACAAAUGGUUUGGCUGCUUUUGCAGAUCUCCGGAGACGCCUGAUGCUCAACAAAAUUGUUGUAUUAUGUGAGAUGAUGUUUUCUAUAUUUCUCUAUUUUCACGCCUUUAGAUUGUCACCACAGAAGAUUUUUACGGAUUGUUUGUAGCGCCUUUAUAUCAUUAUAGGUUCUUUAUCUCAAUUAUUAUUUUUUCUCACGGUUAAUAUAAGGGGUUUUUUCUUUAAAAAAAAAAAAGGGAAAAUAGUUGGGAUGUUGUAAUUUUGAGGUCCAUGCUUCUCCUGUGGGGGAAUUAUGUUUGAUUCAUGAAAGGCCCCCAGGAUCAGGAAAUCAAUGCAAUCAUGAAGAUUGUUAGGAUGAGACGUCAAAAUUCGUUCAUUUCCAUUCCAUUUUUCUUUAAAGUUAAAAGCUUUUAUGAACCUCGUGAAUACGGAUGUGCAUUUAUUUGUUCAGGUGAUGCUUCCAUAUCAGUGAAUUAAAUUUGGCCCAAUUUCGUAGUCAGUUUCAGAACUAAUUAUAAAAAUUGAUUAUGAAAGAUAAUCAAAUGCGAAUUUUUGAAUAAUAAUAGAUUUUAGUUUUUUUUAUCAAUAAAAAAUCUAUAAUUAGAAUACAAAUGCAAGUAAAAAAUAUUUCAAAAAUUGAUUAUCUAAAAUCAGAAUCUAUAAUUAGUUAAAAUAAUCAAUGGAAAAUAAGCCCACUAAAAGAAAUCUGCAACUUUUGUGUCAAGUUUACUACACCACUAAAAGAAUGACAAUGAGAAGGUAGACUAUGGCAAGUACAUAAAUUAAAUUUGUCACUGUUUUCUAAUCUCGAAUUGAUCCUAAAAGUGAUUCUUUUUUUGAAAAAAAAAAAUCUCAAAUUGAUCCAAAAAGUGAUUCGUAAUUGCAAUGCAUAUUAUGGUAAGAAUAGAAUAAAAGAAUAAAUGAAUUUUAGCGGGCAGUGUGGGUGAUCCAAAUCUCUAGGCAUCAUAUGGUGCAAUCCAGUGCCUUCCAUUGACAAAACUCUUGACAAGAAAUGGAUGGGCCGCCUCGAAAUCAAGUUCCCUGGCCCAUGAUACACCGCGGACCGCUGCAGCUCCAGGACCCCAACAUUUGUAGACUCCAAAAAACACGGUCCUAUAUUAUCAGGAAUUUUAAGUCAUAUUCUCCUCAUCAUUGUAGAAAUGUAAUUAGGCAGUCAAAAACUUUUGCCUAGCAACUUUAGGUAAAAUAAGAGAGUCUAGUCCAAAGGUUGCCUUUGUUAUUAUUACAAAGUAGCUUAAAAAGAUCGAAAAGGAAUUUCAUCUCUAACCCAACAAACAAGUUUUCUGAAUUUACCUCACAAAGGAAUUUUGAAUCUAGAAUUUUCUAUUUAUAAUCUCUCUCCUUUUAACACCCAACCUAAUAAAAAAAGUGGCUUACUUGUUCUUGUUGCUAACAUGGUCCCAAUCAUCCCAUCCACCAUGGGCAACCACAUCAUCAAAAAAUGUAUAGGAGUAAACAAUCCUGGAGUACUGGCCCAUAGCACGGCCCACAUAUAUUUGUCCAGAUCCUGUCACUCUACAGCGCACAAAAGCAAACCCAGUCUUCUCAUCAGGCGACUUUCUCCCUUGGGCGGCAAUGGAUCCAAAUCUAGCGGCGAUCGAGUGCAGUUCACAGUCCUGAAUAUUUUCAUAUGGGCCAAUGCUAAGCAAAGUAAUACAGAAAGCAAAGAAAUAUACAAAAGUGAAAUGUUUGUGUACAAAUCGAUCAUUACAAGGUAAGUAAUUUUUUUUUUUGAGUGAAAAAUCUUGAAUUCAAAACCAUCAUUACCAGUUAAUCUUUUUUUAAAAAUUGUUUUCUAUCAUUAUAAAGUUCUGAUAGCUUAAAAACUUUGAUAGAAUUGUCCUAAUCUGAAGAAAAACAGUAGUUUAGAAAAGAAAAAGUGAUCAGCCUGGAUAAUUAAUUACGCAUAUUUAAUAUUCUUUAAUAGCUAAAACAAAAAGUGAUCAGCCUGCUGCUUGUGGAUUGUGCUACCAAUACCAUAGACAAGAAGAUGAGACAAAUGGCAACAGCUUUUGUCAAUGGGCUCAAUUACCCAUCACCUUUUCAAACAUGUACUGGUAAAAGCACUCAUCUUUUCUAAUUGAUUUAAUCUACCAAAGAACGCCUUACCAGUUACCACCACCACCAAGAGAUGAAGAAAAAUGUAUGAAUUAAAUACUUAAAAUCUGCUUAAAUUACCUUGUACAUGGAGCGACCAUUUCCAAAUAUGAAGUCGAUUGAGCCUUCGAUGUAACAGUCCUUGAAGUAAUGGCGUCCGGCGUCGUCGCAGAGAGUGUCUUGUGCCCCGUAAAAUCCACACCCGGAGAAGUAUGCUUUGUCGCCGGAUAUCCGGAAUGCCACUGCUUGCCAUCCCUGCAUCCCCGGCAUUGGUGCUGGUGCUGUAUUCUGACCCCCAAUUUGCAGAGAUUAACUUAAUUCAAAUCUUUUUUUUUUUUUUUUACAUUGUAAUCAUGUCUUUCCCCCCCCCCCCCCCUUUGUGUUUUUGGGAAGCAUUUGGUGUUCAACCACUUUUGGAGCCAUUUUACUGCUCUUUUUUUCUUUUUUUUUUUACCUUCUAGCUUUUGAGUGAAUGAAAAGUUGCAACUUCAAUAAUGUACCUUGAAUUAAUGGACGUGAUUUUUGCAUGUUGACAGGAUAUAUACAAGCCAAAAUGGCACAACUUGAACGAGAAAAAGGAGAAACUUUCCAAGUAAGCACAGACAAAAUCCUGGUUGCACAUUGAAAACUUUGAGGAAAUUUUUAGCUUUGGUUGGAAAAAGUGCAUCUUUUCUACUAGCAAUUAUUGCGCGGUACAAAAAAAGUGGUUUUUUGACUAAGUUGUAGAGUAUUUACUGUUCGAGUUGGAAAAAACGAAAAGGGUCAUCAGCAGUAGUUGCUAGGGUUUUAUAUACUCAACUUAAAAUUUGUGUGGUAAUUUGCUAUUUACUCUCUUAUUCGUGAAAAAUGUGGCCUAAAAAAUACUUUUGAAAUUUAAUUUCAUGAUUAUGCUCCGACCUACUUAGUCUACUACUACUGGUAGUAAAUAGAAUUAUUAAUAUGUCACUACACGAGCAUUAUUAGAUUUUGUCCUCAGCUGGAGUGGAACUGAGGACGGAGGCAGCAGACAGUGACUGGUCAUGAGCUAGUGUACCUUGAAGCUGAUAUUUCUGGCUGAAAAAUAACUUGCGAAAACGGAGACAGAAGCCGUAUGAUAAGUACGCAGCUGCUGGCCAUCUGGCCCCCGGUCACUUGCCCUAUCAUGCCAUUCUAUCACCGUUGCACCCCUUCCUGCUCCUUCAAACGUAAUAUACGGUUUUGAUGCCGGCACCACCACCUUCUCUCUGCACCACCGCCACAUUGUCAAUCAUGGCAAAAGAGCUUCAAAAUGUAGUUAUCAUAUUCCAAAAGAAAAAUAACAUAUUUAUAAUGCUUUAGAAAACCAAAAAAUAAAAAAAAAAUAAAUCACAGCUUGAUUUUGAGCUAGCAUGCUGCAUGCUAAGCCUCUAACCACGAGUAUGAAAUACAUUAACAACACCCCCACGGCCACAAUCGCUUGACUAGCUAAUGUAGUAGAGUAUAACCAACGUCUUCUUCCUACUAGGCAUGUAAUAAAAACUCAUAACAAUGGUUUGAGUAAUUUCAAAAGCUAACAUAUAUAUACAACUUCAGACGUAGGAAAUUUUCGCAAAAUGAAUGUUGGAGAAUUGAAUCACAGUUGACAAAAGUUUAUUUAGACUAUCUAUCUUUAAUGACAAUUUAAAACUAAACAACUAAAGUUUGUUCAAGAACCAAUUAGUGCUCCAUACAAUGGCAUUCAACGCAUGCAUGCCAAAUGCGGAGCAGAAUAUAAUUAUUUUCUUUUUUCUAAUUUAGAAGAAGAAUUGAGACGAAAACCGAAAUCUGAUAAGCAUUAUAUUACAUGUAAGAACCAGGACUUAUUCGGAUGAGCACAUUCUCGCGGUUGCUCUCUGGGACAGAAUCAACGGCAGCUUGAACUGAUCUGAAGUUUCCGAACCCUUCAAGGUCGACUGUAAUGAGACGGUUGCCGGAGGGCCCUAUAUAUCUAUGGCGGUGGUGGUGGUUGCUAGAGUUAAAAGAGGGUUCCUGUGUGCUUAGUGAAUUGUGCUUGUAGAAGUGGUGUCUGCGGUGAAACCUGGAAGAAGCACAAGAAUUUGGAACCAAGAAUAAUAAUGUUACAAAGGACACGAAGAAUAGAGCAAAGUGAGAGUUAAGAAAAGCCAUCAAGAAAUCUUCAAUUAAUGACGUUCAGGGAAGGGAAUGUUUGCGAAGAAGGGAAUGAGAGAAAUAAUUGGACCGAGGAAUGUAGUAGUUCUGAUUUCUGAGAAGAUCGAAAUACAGAUUAAUAUAUAGAGAAGACGGGGGGCGUAAUGGCAUACGGAGGAGGGAACUAUUUACUACAUAAAUCAAGUGCGUUUCCACAUUCCAACGGUCAUAUUUUCUGUGCAUGAUUCCCUUGCAUUCAGGAAUUAAUUGAUGAUGAAUAUGCUAGCUAGGGUCAUAGGCUAACACCGAAGGGAGCUGAACUGCGAGUGGAUCAUCGGACAAGUGCCUGCCUGUAUUAGAUGGACAUUAAUAUCAGGGACUGAACUUCAAGCGUUUUACUUAAUGAAUAGCGUAAUGUUAUCUACAGUACCCGUCCAAUGCAAUGGGUCGUUUUCUACGGCUUGAAAAAAAUACGAACUACUAAUUAUUCUCCAUUGAUCCCUUUUACAAGACAUGCUGGUGUGAGUCUUUGGAUAACCACAUGCAGCUUCAAACAAAGCCUCCAGCCAUGUUAAUUAUAGCCGAAACUAGAAGUAGUAGCAUUACUAAUCAAGCAACAUUAAAAGAAAGAAAAAAAAUUAAAUUAUAAGCAUAAUAAUAUUAUGCUCUGAAAUUUUGGUGGUAGUUAAUUUGUUCUCUCAGGUGUUAAUUACGGCCAGUAAUUUUGUAGCGUAAGAUUGAGAAAUCAUCAUUAACAUCCGUCGCUAAAAGAUUGUAUUGCAAAUGUCAAGAGCUGUGUUGUAAAUAACUUGUCACUAUCCUUUAAGUAAUCGAUGAUGGUUGCAACAACAUAUUUUGAUUGAUCCGUGGUGUUAAUUAGAACUGACUGAAAUCAUCCAAUCUUUGUAACAUUAAAAUAUAUAUAUAUAUAUAGAUAUACUCUCUCUCUCUCUCUCUCUGCGGAAGAUAGGAUAGGAAUUAACUCAGGCUUUAGAGACACAGAAAAACCUUUUCUUCUUGUUCAGAUCAAACAGAAAAACGGUCCUUCCUGCGUAUUGGGGUGGUGUGCACGAUGAGGGAUGGUCCAAGGAUGGCUUUAAAUCAUUUUGUAAUCUAGCUUCUCUUCUCUGAGCCUAAUGAGGAGGAGACAGAUUUUACUUUCUGGAGGCCCGCUCUUACUACAUUAUUAUUAGUAUGUAUGUAUGUAUGUAUGUAUAUAUUUUUCACGCACAUGGACCCCUCCAGCAGAACUCGUAAAAGUCCACAAAUUCGAACGUUGUAACGGGAGAUAAAAGGAGGUCAUCAGGACCUUGUUGCUGUUGCCCUCCAAACUUGGCAUGAAAAGGGGGUCUGAAAGUAUUCUUCUGUUUUGUUGUUUGACGUGAUGUUAUGCCGAUUAGGGACUGAGGCCCACCAACAAGCGGUGACCAAUGCUUACCAUUUCCACCUUUUCGACUGUUACAGUUACCGUCUUGCAGUGGCACAUAAAAUUAAAAUGAUGGUGGUUUCCUGUUGGGCACGGUGGUGUUCGUCAAUUUGAAUUCGAAAAAUUUGAUAAAUUGAGCCUGGUAAAAUGUUUACCUAUUUUGUUUUAGAUUUCAAAACUUCCGAAUUCAAUUAAGAAUUCGGUACCGAAUUCACCGAAUUUGUAUAAAAAUAUAACUUGGAAUUUAUUUAAUAAAAUAACCUAGAUUAGUCAGUCAGAGGUAUUAUACUAUCGUUAUUAGUUGUUAUAAUAUAUAUACAAGUCAUUAUUAGAAAUUAGUCCGUCAGAGGUAUUAUACUAUUAAUCGUUAAGAAUCAUGGCCCCAAUUUUCGAACCAAUUCCUUUUCGUUUUCCGAAUUUUCAAUUUCAAAUAUUUGAAUUCAAAUCGAAUUCGAUCAAAAAAUUGAAAAUUUUCGGAUUUGCAUGCCUCUAUUCAUCGGACACUAACUCGAAAUCUAGUUAAACCCUUUGGUACUUCUAUUUUCAGGAUAAUUUUAGAUAUUUUCUUCUUUUCUCUUUGUGGAAUUGAAGGGAAAUCGGAGACAAGAAAGCUUGGAAAAAUAUAAUAUAAUGAUUUGAAAUAUAUAAGAUAAAAAAAAUAAAUAAAAAAUGUAUCCACGAAAAUCGUAAAUACUUUUUUUUAUAGAGAAAAAUGGCUUUCCAAAUGUUAUAAUAAUCAUUGCAUUGCCGUUGAGGAAAAUCAAAUCCUAAAACUAAGCAGUUCGAUCCAUGUCAAUUUGUAAGUUCUUUCCCUCUAGUAUCUUUCUUGAUACAACGAUUCUCUAAUGAAUACACCUCAGCAAGAAUCUAACUACUCCAGAUUAGAGGCGGUUUCCCCAUGCUACGAAUUACAGAUGAACAAAAUUCAUACAUUGGGAUCACCAAUUUUACAAAAGAGUAAAUGAUACAGGAUCCCAGAAAGAAUCACUUCAGCUAUAUGGAUAUCCAUAACUGAAGAAAGCAAUGGCCGCACGCAGACUGCAGAAUAUCCACUUCCAGAAGCUCGACAGAAUACCCACUUCCAGAGGCUUGAAAAUCUGCCGCCUCGCGCCCCGAGAUUUUUUUUGCGAGACUUUUUCUUUUGUUAAGCAUCAGAUCAUUGUGCUUAAGAAUCUUAGUACAACUUGUUACACCCAGAAGGAGCUGUAGAUUCAGCCAACCUAGGCAAGAAGCCUUCCCUUUCAAGUGAAACCUGAAGACUUGACACGAUUCUAACCACCGAAGCCCAGACAAUAGGGGAACAACAAAAGGCAUAGCCAAAUACAGCUAGCGCUCUAACAACCCCAUCCUGGUACCAGGGGAAAGCCAUCACCAGAAGAGAACCAAGGAUUCCAAACCAUGGCACUAGAACGGGGAGCAUUGGUAGAAGAAAAGCAUUAACCGCUAUACAGGACAGAGCAAAAACCCCAAGCAAGUAAAGACUCCACCCUACAAGCGGAUGAACAGUGUAGGGAAUGAGGAAGAAAGGGGCUAUGUAGGCUGCUAGAAUAGACCAAAAAGCAACCAAUUUAAGGCCAGUUUGAAUGAGGAAAACACUUUUCUCUUCACGACGAUAGCAUAGCUUAGACAAACCAGGCCGUGCAAUUCGCGUCACUGCCAUUAUUCCCAAGUAAAAUAUUACUUGGAUAAAUACAAAGGGCAUUUCUGCAUUGUACCUGCAAAAAGUGAGCCCUGAAUAGGUGAGAUAGAAUAGGAUGGUUCGUCGAAGCUAACAACAAAUUGUUAGUUAUGAAAUACAAUUUUAUGAACCAGUGAGCAUGAAGGCAAUAAAUUAAAAGCUUAAUAAACAGAGGCACAAAACCGACAUUCCUACCCAAAUUUGUUCUAACAAGAAAUGCAACUUUUUAUGCAGACCAAGUAUGAAACAAAUUUUGCACAUUUAUUAGCUGCAUCAUCAGCACCAGAGUCGAGGCUUUCAAACAUUAAUUCCAUAUGGUAUGUUUCUGAGUGUAUGUGUUGAUGAAACCAUAAAACAAUAGAUAGUAGCACUCAAAAUGAUGAUGCUUUCAUGAGCAAAUGCAAACAAAGCCUAAAGAGUGCAACUUAAUGAUACAUUGAGAUGUGCGGAGAAAUUCCUACCCGACAGUUCGAUGCCGUUGUUCAUGCCACUGGGUGCCUAGGGGCAAGACAGGCCAUGACCACCAAUACCAUGGUUUUAGCCAUGGCGCCCCAGGGAAAGUGAUGACGCUAUUGGGUCCACACGGUACACUCCAUCGUAGUUUGAGAUCUUGAACCAGAUAAUAAGUAAACAUAAUGAGAUUCGAGAACAUAGGAACAAUAUGCAGAAAGCCUCAAAACAUGACAACCAAGAAUACUGCAGUAAGAGCUACCCAAAAGAACAAAACAAGUCAAACAUUUGAAAAAACCUUGGAAUAAGGUAAUUUAUGUACUUACAAUAAUAAGAAGCGUCCAUUUGGUAACCCAGAGAAAGUCUGUACUGUCCAUCAAGCUUAGUGCCAUUAGGAGGAGGCCGGAACAUUGGCUUAUAUAGUAAAUCUGGGAAAUAGCUUCCGAUAAAACCUUGAUCUGCACCAUCUGGAUUCUCUCUCCCAACUUCCAACUCAUGAACCAUGUCCUUAAAUACUGUCAUUGAUGGCUGCAGUUGAAAAUUUUCAAAGGAACUGAUUAGAUAUCUGGCCAGUAUUUUCAAGAAUUGACUUGGUAGCAAAGUAAAAGCUAAAAACUUUGAUUCAAAAAACUUUAGAAACUAAACAGUGAGAAGAUUGUUAGUAUAUGAUAACCCAAAAGGACUUUGGCAAAAUAUGCAUGCUACUACAUAUUUAUGAACACCAAGUAAAAGGUUCUAAGAAAAGCUGGCUUGGUUAUGCCAACAAAUUGACACUUGCUUUGAGAUGAAGAUACUUCGAAAAACACAGGUUGGAUUCAAACCAAUAAUUACCUGCAACACAAAAAGACCAGUAUGAAAUAUGCAGGGGUUUAUGAAAACUGCACAAAACUGGCCACAUUGGAACAGUUCAUCUGUUUUUCGGAGGAAAAGGUUGUCAGCGUCGAGCAUGACCACCCUCUCAUAUUCCACUAGGCUCCAUGCAUAAAGCUUGUUCAUUGUCAACUUGAAUCGCCAAUCGAAAUUGCCCUGAUUAGUAUAUGGAUUGUUCAGAUUCUGAACUCUGCGAACCUUCACCCCAUCUUCUUCUCUGUAGCACAACAAAAGACAAUGAUUAGUACAUUUCAGUGUUAUUUACAUCACCCUUUUCUGAUUACUGAUAUCCUUAGCUCCCAAAAUGUGCUAAUUUAGAACCCCAAAAGGCAAACCUAAAAAAAUAUACUAUUCGGUGAUUUUCACAUAAUUCAAUUAAGGCAUGACCUAGGAUGAAUUCUAUAAAUCACCAUCUUCAAUUUCCUUCUGCUGUUUUUCCAGUACAAGUACGUAGAAUGAGGUAACAGGAAAUGCAAGUGCACAGAAUUACAAAAUAUCAUUUUAGUUCUGACAACUAAUUUGAGUAAUACUAGCUAUGAACACAUUAACAGCUCAAACGCUUGGAACAAUUUAAGAAGUGCAGCUAUAAAGAAGACGCAAGAAAUUUGAAGUUCCAAUUUUCCUUCAUGUCCCGAUCUUAUACGGUAACAAAUUUCUACCGAUAAUUGUUGGUGAUAAUAGAGUAGUCUCAACAAGGGCCGGGACUAAACAGUUCACAAAUUCCUUCCUAUAGGCAUAUGAUCCUACCAGCGGGUAAAAACAUGUAUUAAUUCACAAACACGUAUCAGUCAGCGAUUUAUUGCAGAAAACCAAACUGACAUUCACUGGUAGAUGAUGUUUCACAAACUAUGUCAAAUUUUAGUUCAAAAUUCUCUCUUGCUAGAAUGAGGGGUCCAAAAUUUGGUCAUCCAAGGAGACAGGUAAUGCUAAUGGACUCAGAUAGAGUUCAACCCAAAGCCUAGCGCCCAUAUGUCUGGACGCCAGUAUUCUGGUAAAACAAAAAUGAAGGGGUUUCAAAGACAUUUUAUGUUCAAACGGCUUCGAUCAACUUUCUUGCUGUCACGUCUUACUUCCUCAAGAACUAGACUUUUCGAUGUAUACGUGGAUACUGCAUUAAAAAUGGGCAUUGACGGUGAUAACUUAGAUGUACGGAGCACUUUCUUGGAACACACCACAUUAAAAAAAAGGACCAAUUCAGAAAUUAUAUUAAAACCAAGAGUCUCUCACUAAAGAUGAUAAGACAUUAUUCUAUCUAAACUAGAUCACUCAUACUCUUGUGCGAAUAUAUUGUAAAGUCAAGGUUCCUUCACAUAUAAUACAAAACGCUUCUAAUAUCCAAUGGGUUUCUUAGAAAAGCCAGAGACAGGAAACAUAUUAUAAUUUCCGAAACAAAGAGGCACUAAAAAGAAAAAUGUAUAAAUCUGAAGAUAAUGUAGGAGGCCAUUAGAUAAAGCAAAUUGUUCGGUAAAAGAAAAAAAAUGGGUGGACAAUGCAAAUGCGUGUGAUCUCCUCGUUAUAUGCUUGCCACAUCAAAAAAGGCUGACUUGGCCCUCAUUAAAAGUAGAUACAUUUGGGAACCGCUCAUGCCUUCACAAAGAAGGAAUAUGGCUAAAAUACGCAUAAGAAUUGGUCAAAUUCUGCCGAAAAAAUUCUGAAAACAAAAUUAGUUGUUUUCUGGAGUCAUCACAAUUCAGUGUAGGCAGGUUAACACCUACGAUUAGGAUUACGGUAAAUACUGUACACGUGUUAGAGCGUGUCAUGCUUUAUAGCACAGUAUAAAAAUUUCAAGGUCUUGACCGCGUAUAAGGGGACGCUUCUUAGGCAAAUGAUGCCCGUAUCUACCACGGCCGGCCUCUGUGGUUGGCCAAAGGUGGUUCGUUUUCCGUGCCACCAAGCUACACGAAAAGGACAAUUCCUAGAAGAAACAUCUGACAUUGAUUAUAGUAUUUAUCAUGCACCUAAUGUCAUGUCCCUGCUAAACUAAAAUUAGCCAUGCCACGUGUCACGUUUUAAAUUAUAACCAACGGUAUAAUAUAUAGGUAUUAGGAGGCCGUUAAUACCUAUAAAUCCAUAAACUUGACACCUAUUAGUUGUCCCGUAAAACGAAAUCUUUGAAAUCGAUAAGUGUACAGGGUGAACCCUUCUUUCUGUUUUCUUGACUGAAAUGAUGAACAAAAUUACAAUAAUAUGUAAAUCUAUGCGGGAUUUAUUAUUGUGUUCGAAUGAAAUGCCGACAUAGUUGAAAUGCAAUAUGUAAAGUGCAGUUGUUAUUCAUCUUUACUCUGUGGAAAAUUCCAAUCACUUUCGUACUAUUAGGUCCAGAUUGUAAUUUCGGAUGACAAGAGCAGCAACAUGCAGGAACAAACCCCAAGACAAAAGAUUAUUUGAAUGCUGCCCAGAGUAGUGCGGACCUGCUGGCCCAGGGAACUGAAAAAAAACCCAAAAGAUAAAAAAAAAACUACUAAAUUACCAUUUGAAGUUUGAACAAACCCCAAGAGUAGCGUGGAUAUGUCGCCCCAGGGAAGGGUGGAAAAAACCCAAAAGAUAAAAGAAAACUACUAAAUUACUACAUUAAUAGGGCAUGAAGAAAGAGAGCAGUUGAAGACCCCAGCUAAGAUCUCAGCCCGUUUCUUUCUUCAGUGUUCACAUGGUUCUUCUAUGGCAGUACACACACUUGCACACUAGGCAAGUGGACCUAAGCUUUUCGCUUACAAGGUAUGUUUUCAAUGGCAGCCAAUUAAAGCCCGAAGAACCAGAACCCCACGCCCCCCACCCCCCAAAAAAAACCCAUCCCUAGAAACCCCACCAAAAAAAAUAAAAAAUAAAAAAAGGUCAAAAACAUUUUCGUAAAUAUCUCCGGACCAAAACGGCCAGCUCUAAGUCUAAGUCCAGUAUUUCUUCAAGAAUCAAACAUUUCCACCAUAAGCAUGAUCCGAUGUCUAAUGAUUCCAGCACUGAGUCCACUACUCGUCGAAAGAGUCAGAAAAGAAAUCCAAACAUCCAAAGAAAGAAAGAAAAGUCGUACACUAAGCGGUAAAUACAAAGCUUACUUGUACAGUUGUACCCCCUCACCCCCACAAAAAAAAACCACCAAAGCUUACCAUUAAAUUACUAAAACACCCUUGACAAAAUAGAAAUUGAUCGCUGAAGAGAGUUUGAGAAGGGGAGAAGAGCUCUGAACUUACAGGGUUUUCACCCAGUUGGGAGGAACGUCUAGGGAGGCAAUGACGACGAGAUCGGCUUCGACGCCGAGCUUCAAUAGGGAUCUGAGCAUCACGCGCGUAGCCACGUAGAACUCGUAGUCACGUGGGGUCCCCAUAUACAUCAUCGUCGCAUACGCAUGUUUAUGUCCUGCAUUAAACGAUGUCGUCUCCGUCGCCGUCGCCGUCGCCGUCGCCGCCUCCACCGCCGACGCUGCCUCCGUUGUUGUCACGGCUGUCCUCGUCGCGUCGCUUACACGAACCAUAAUCGACAUUAAACCCAUCCAUAUUAUCACUAAAAGCCCCGUUAUCUCCCCCCUUGAUAGUCCCCCAGACUCCAUGUUACCAACUUCGAUGUUAAUAUCCUCAGAGAAAAACACAGUUACUGUGUGAAAAGAGAGUGAGAGAAUGAGGCAUUUGGCACUGCACCCCACACCAGCUAUAAUAAAUCGCCCCAUUCAAUGCUCUCAACGACACAAAGCGAUGGAAUUGAAUUCAUCUUAGCUAACUUUGGCCCCAUGCAUUUGAGCAGGUUACUAUUGCAUGCCAAGUAUUCGCUUUUUUCACUCAAUUAUGACAUGUUUUCUUGUUUUUCUGUUUUCGUUGCAGGCUUGUUUAAAAAUCUUGCAGCUACAUUCCAUUUCUGCCUGAAACGUGCAAAACCCAUUAAAGAAUGGAUCGUCUUCUUUUUUCUAUCACUCAUUAAUUGGUUCUUUGAAAAAAACAAAUUUUUUUGUGGUGUCAGGUUUCAUUUAUUUCUCUUGUUUGCUUUUUACCACUUGUUUUAAAAUGACCCAAUUAAGAUUGGGUCCUUGGGGGUAGGAGGAGUAUGUUGAUGAAGAAUGUGAGAGAGCUUUGAAUGUUGGGUUGGGUUUCAAAGAAAGUGGAGAAUAAUGACUAGUUUAAUUGUAGAUGAAGGUGGGAAACAAACUGCUGCUGUUGGGAGACAAAAUGGAGAUUCUGUGGCACAUACACAUACUUAUGCUCAACAUAGGCGUUCUAGGAGGUUCAUUUCUUGUCCUUUAUAUCUAAUAAAAUGUUUGGGUAGGACUUGUAUGUUAGUUUAUGCUGAAUUAUUCAAAGAUUUAGAUCAAAUAAAUUUGUCGCUGUACUCACCUCAUUUUUUUUUUUUUGGCAUACUUUUGGGUUUUCGUUUUCUUUUCUUUUUUCUCCCUGUAUAGUGAUGGGUGAAAAGCUGAGAAAUUUGGUUUCAGUAAUCUCAGAUUUUGUCAUUCUGGUAGGAGUUGAAUGUUUGUUCUUUCUGCGCAGUUUACCUUUUAAAAACGCACUAGCUUGUGUUGAAAUCAAAUUUUGUUUGUUCCUCUCUAUCUCUCUCUCUCACUCACUGUUUUUUCUUUUUUCUUUUUUUUGUUUGGGGGGAGGGGGACCUGAGGUGCAAGUUACAAAUCGUGCUUUUUCUUUUUUGUUUAGAUUAAGUUCACAACUUGGUUGUUCUCUCCAUAAUAUUAGAUUAAACUCAUUCUUUAGGUGAAAUAAUUCGUAGGAGUCAGGAUGAAUAGGUAUCCGCGUAAAAGAAAUUUUGGCAAACAAAAUGCUAGGUCACUGGACUCACGAAAUUAUUUUGAUGUCUUCCCCUGGGUAAUGGUAUAAUUAAUGAAUGAUUCCCCAUAUGUCAAAUAGAAAAGUGUUCACUCAGUAAUUGGAUUUCUGGAUGUCAUUGUCUUUGUUAUUUAAUUUCUUUUCUCUUCUGAAUUUGUACUAGUUUAGCUGUUGUCCCUUGGAUUCGAAGUUCCAUGACUUAAUCCAAAAAGAAUGAAAGCAUAAAGUGAAGCUGCAUUUCAGGAUACACUUUCUGGUGGAAAGUACUAAAGUUUAACAUGUUGGAUGAGCCUCAUUCGGUUUAAGCUAGUUUGUUAUGUUUUGGCCUUUGAAGUUUCAAUUUCCGUAUUGGAAACCCCAAUUAAAGAUUUUUCUGGUAGUAAGUCAAGUGACUUAAGUGCUUUUGCUCUUGCUUUUGCAGUGCUUCUGACAGGAAUUUGACUGUUAGACCAGAGAGUAAUCUGCAUUCUCUCCAGCAAGACAUUAAAGAAUCACCUGUAAGAAAUUGUUAUGCAAUCAUUAACUGCCACUUUAAGCAUACAUGAGAUGGCAGCAAGUUCAGUUUUGUAUGUUAAGAUGAAAAUUUUUCACAGUUCAUCUUGACAAAUUGAACAGUGGAAUCAACAGGAAUUACCCCCUUUAACGCGGAGUUGCAGGGCAAGUCCACUUCAGGCGCACUCGGUUAGAGUCAACAAAGAUGCUGUUUCAAAUCAUAGAGCAUCCCUGGAAAAAGAUGUAAGAGUGGAAAUUGAUUUUGUUUUUCUACUUGAGAUGAAGGACAGAUUAGUCUGCUAUAUCUGUUCUAUGUUUUCAUGCUUUCACAAACAGUAAGCCCUUUCACAAACAUAGAGUCAAGUGGCUUAGUGGAAUUAUAUGAUUUCUGUUGCUCAUAGUUCCGUUGUACUCCAUCAAUUAGUCUCUCCUUUUGUAGCUUAUACAGUUUCAAGCAUUCUUAUGAUUCUUUUCCACAUCCAGUAAGAUCCCCUUUAGUUAACAAAGACUCACGGAUUAGAAGUGCUUUAUGUGUGUGCGUCUAUGUUAGAUCACUGCGUGUAAAGAACAUACACCAUAACAGGUGUAAUCAUGGAAGAUAGUUUAAACUUUAAUCUUGGAGCUCCUCCCUUGGUUUUGCAACCUUUAGAUCAUAAACUCAUUACGAAUCAUAUAGUCUUUGAAGACUACUGUAAAACAUAUAUAAAAAAAAUUAUCAUGGUUCCAUGAAGGAAUGUGAAUGAAGCAUCAGGGUGACAUAUGAACACAAAAUAGUAAUUUUUGCAUGAGAAUCAAAGAAUGAAAAAAAGAAACUUUUUUUUGUACGAAAUUGAUUGCUCUGCUAGAGUUUUUUUUUUUUGUAGGAAAUUUUUUUGAUACAAGGACCCGUAUGAAUUUGCUUUUCCGUACAAGCCUAAUCCCAUCCACACCAAAAGAUAAAAGGAAGAAAGAAAACAGUAAAAUCAGCCUUCUGCAGGUUUUGGAAAAAGGCCUUUUUCAUUGAAAUUACUUAAAUACUGAAUAUUCACCAGGAUUCAUCGCUUGCCCCCUGUGUAAAAGUCAUACAUUAAGAAUGUCUUUAUAUACAUACAACGUUUGCCUAUCGAUACAUAAUAACUAUUUUGUCUCUUUGGAUUUUGAUAAAUGUUAAAUCACUUCUGCAGAUUGAGCAAUUACAAUUCCGUUUGCAGCAAGAGAGAUCUAUGCGUAUGGUACUUGAGAAAGCUAUGGGUCGAGCUUCCAGCACAUUAUCUCCUGGACAUCGUCAUUUUGCUGCUCAAGUAAGCACUAAUACUCUGUCUUUUAUUUGUGUUUAGAUUACAUUUGUUGUAAUAGAAUCAGAUACAAAUUCGCCACAAGCAUUUGCAACAGAAAAUGAUAUCUAACUAUGGAUAAAGCUUCCUGCAUCUAGAUGCUAUUAACAUUUUAGUUUGCUUUGGGUUCAUGAAUCUGGUUUGCAAAUAUGAAUCUUGUUUGCAACUUAACAUACUAUGUUACUAGGUGGCCAUAUUUCCAAGAAUUCAAUAUCUAUCAUGUGUGUUAGUGUAACAGAUGGCUAAGUAGUUAACUGAACCACCUCUAGCCUUACUUCUGUUCUUUUAUCUUAUGGGGCAUAGUGGGUAUGAAAGCUUCUCCAUACUGAACAACCAACUGCAGUGACAGUAUGCUAUUUUUAUUGGGCAUGAAAGCUUCUCCAUAAUAACAUGCAAUCUUUAGAACUUGUUUCAUUCUAGAUCAAAGGUGAAGUAUAGGUCAUGAACAUCGUCAGUGGAUCUGACAGAUGACCUUUUCAUUUCUUGUGAAAUGUACAGCUAAGUGGCUCAGAUGACGAGAAAAGAUGUAUAGAACUCCCUAGCUGUGCCUCAGUGUCAUAGCAGCAACUUUAAAGACUUUCUCAUUAUUAUUUUUUAUGACUUCAAAAUAUCUAUCAUGGCUGUUACCCUUGAGUUCUCUUCUUUGAAGGUAAAAAAAAAACUUAUGUAAUUUGCAUAUACGUAAAAAAAUUUAGAAUGUCUAUCUAUGUCUUUAUUAUCAAAACUCAAGUUAUAUUCUUGGCCUGUUGUGGAACUUACAACUGUUUUGGCAGACGGUUAGUGGGUUUUCCAACUAGGAACUGUGUUAAUGAAAUGUUCAAUUGCUUAUUGGAAGUGGUGAUAUAAAUAAUCAUGUGCCAGAAACAUGUUGUUCUGACUUUGGAACUUUUGAAACUUUCAUAUGAACCUAUAAGCAGCAAAGUUUACUUUGGAACUUAUCCAAAAGGGAAUAUCUGAAGGAUCUCUAGCAUUUAUUAACCUUGUUACAAUUCUUCUCUUGUUGAUUUUAUGAUCUGUUUUAAUGAAUCAGCCCCUUUUUAGCUGUUAAGCCUUUAUCUUUGAAGUCCUAACCAACGCCAACGAAGCACGCAACCUUUUCACCAGCAAACUAAACACCAAAUCCCACAGUUACUCAAUCAUACCCAGUUGGUAAUAUUUGGGGGAUUUCGGGCAUUGGAAACCUCUUGCCUGAUUAGAAGUCUCAAGUUACAUGGUUGUAGUGCUUGUUUUAAGUUCAGAACCAUUAUCUCAAGUCCUAAUAGUUGAAAAGCCUGUCGCUUUAAUGCUUUCACCAUAUGAGUCUAUAGAUUUAAUUGCUUCUUUACAUCAAAUGUUGACAUGGACCCAAAAGAAGUGGUAGAGAAUAGCUGAAAGUACUUGGAAAAUUUAAAUGCUGGAUACCUUCAUGUAAAUGAAUGUUUGAAUUUGGAAUAUUGAUGGUUAAAUCUUACUUUUAGCUUCCAGUUUACUGCCAUUGAAUGGUUCCAAAACUUUAUUUAAUCAAAUCUUAGUUUUAGCUUCCAGUUUACUGUCUUUAUAGGAAAUAAUGAGCACUACUCUUUAAUUAUUUUAGACAAAGGAGUUGUUGGCAGAGAUUGAGUUACUUGAAGAGGAGGUUGCAAAUCGUGAGCAGCAUGUUCUCUCUCUCUACAGGAGCAUCUUUGAGCAAUGCAUUAGUAGGUCAUCCUCUGAGCAGAGCUCAGUCAUGACUUCUCCUGCACAUGCAAAGAAUGAGACAAGAAAGCACCCAAGUGUUAUCUCAAGCGCUUUUUGUUCUUCAAAGUUCCCUUUACGGACUUUCCAAACCCUUGCUUCAAUAAAUGACUCGGGAAAAAGGGACCUGCUGCAGUAUAAGACUAGACAUGCUUCACUGUUUAGUGGUAAAGCCAACAUCCACUUUGAGAAGAGUUGUACAGAAAAUGCGAAGGUAGGAUAUUAUUUACUAUGGGAGCUUUGAAAGGUAGAAGAUCAUAUGUUGCUUUCAAAAUGGUCCUGGGAUUAAUUAAAUUCCUUUUCUUAAACUAUGCAAUUCGUCAUAGGUGAUUUUCUAUCCCCAAAUGUCAUUUGCUGUUACAAAUCAUAUUUGGCUCCUAAUCUCCUGUCUCCACAUCACUCCUUUUACAGUCCUCUCUACUAGUAUUGGGUGUGAAGCAUAAGGUACUACGCGUUGCUGUUCACAAGGUUGGUGAAUGUGCUGAUAAAUAUCCUCCAUCAAAAAGCUUGGCAUUAGCCCAUGAUCCUUCUUUUCAUUCCUUCAGCUGUCUAUGGCACCAGUUUUUCUUCCCUCCCCCCCCCGGGACCCCCCAAAAAAUUUCACAGUGCUAAUGAAGAGGAGAUACAAAGCCUUGUACCUAUCUCUUCUGGCCAUGUGUGCUUCAGUGCAUUCUCUAAGGUCCUAUUAAGUGAUAUCUGUAGAUGAGGUUAUUAAUUAGAUAUCUUUAUUGAUAUUUAGGAAUAUAUCCUGCCUGUUUAUUGUUUUAUUUCCCGGCUUUUUUCAGUUUUUCUUGACAUUGUUUGCUACUCUCUGAAUUUUUUAUUCCAUCAUCCCCCAUUGUCAUCACAUAUUCUCUUCAAGAAAAUGGAUAUUCGUAUUUGUUUUUCAAAGCGAUGGCUCCUAUUGUGACUCGUAGUUUAUGCUAGUUAUUCAGUCACUGAUUCUGAGGUUGGAUGUUUCAUAUAAUAGAUGCUCUACCACAUAAUACGUUGCUGAACUUUAUAAGAGCAAGUUUUUCUGUUAAUUUUUUUCUCAAAAGAUAUUUGUCCAUCAAGGAGCUUGGAGCAUACUUAAAAUGAGUAAACCUCAUGAUGCAAUCUCUAUAAGCAGGCAGUAAGAUAACUAAUGAGACACUAGAACGAUUAUUUUAGGAGUACAAGUCAUUAUUGAUGGCCCCUGUCUUGAUUAUAUAUCUAACAUCUUGUUAUAGGGUAGUCAUUGUUCCAGCAAAUUGUAUUCCAUGGUUCUCUUUUAUAAGGCAUGAAUGUCUUUCCUGUAAUUAUAUACAAGAACAAGCCAAAGUGUAUUUAGACAUUACAUCUUCGAUUUUCUAUUUAUUUAUUUAAGUUUCUAGUGAAACUAAAUUUGAUGUCGUGAUAAAAUAACCAUAUCUUGUGCCACUUUAUUGAUGGAAGUCCCAUGUUGCUAUAAAUUGUGGCAGGUUCAGGAACAGUCACAAGCAAUGAGGAGAACCUCUGUGAUGCGAACUCUGAAAGAUCAUCUCAACCAGUGUCCAAGUAAGUUGGCAGAGGAAAUGGUCAGGUGUAUGGCUGCAGUCUACUGCUGGCUUCGAAGCACAGCAUCUGUAGAUUUGGAGCAAAAUAGAUCGCCUUUGUUAUCGAGGUCUUCCACUAGUGUUGUACUUCCCAGGCGGGGCUCUGGGGAUCCGAGAGACUGGCCUGGCAAAUGCACACUCGAAAUAUCUAGUUUAUCAACUGACAAGAAUAACUUUUCCCAUGCAUCUUAUGCCAUCAACAAUUACAGGUACUUUUCUAUUGUAGUUUUCGUUUUGCAAAAGGAUGAAUAAGUUUAAAUGAAACACAUGUUUUUGCCAAAUUUUAUAUGCCGCUAGCAGUAGAAAUUCAGAAGUUUUGUUUCAAAGUAAAUUUGUAAGUGGCUGUAGCAUUUAGUUUAGACUUGACCUCUUCUUUUCUUCUCCUAUGACCACAUAUGCUCAUUUAUGUGAAGAGCUAGGUGUAAAUUUUUGGUUGAUGAAAUGUAUCUGUUACUGAAAAGGUUGAAGCUUGCUCUUUCUUUUAAAUUGCAUCCUUCUUAAUGAACUUCUUGCUGCUUGUUAUGUACCACAUAUGCUCAUUUAUGUGAAGAGCUAGGUGUAAAUUUUUGGUUGAUGAAAUGUAUCUGUUACUGAAAAGGUUGAAGCUUGCUCUUUCUUUUAAAUUGCAUCCUUCUUAAUGAACUUCUUGCUGCUUGUUAUGUACCACACAGUUCAUGUGCAUUUUAACGGUCAAUUCCUUUCCCAAUUUCAGACUUCUAGUGGAACAGCUGGAAAGGGUGAGCAUCAAUCAGAUGGAGAGUGAUGUCCAGACAGCCUUUUGGAUAAAUAUAUAUAAUUCCUUGAUUAUGCAUGUAAAUGCCUCAAGACUGGUGAAUCUAUUGUCUUGGUUUUCUUCUUGAGGAUAUUUCCAUUAAUUAUUUUUUGUGUUUUCACCUAUGAAGGCAUAUCUGGCAUAUGGAGUACCCCACAGCUCUCUCAGAAGGUUAGCUUUGUUUCACAAGGUAGCAAAAAUUAUGAGUAUACUGCUCAAUUUUGUUUCAUGACAAACCACCUGAAAUUUUAUUUUGGUUUUCUCUCUUUCUCGCAAUGGCAUUGGGGGAUGAAAAUUAUAAUAUGUUGUACACCAAGAUAUUCCAACAAUGAAAUUAAGCUCCCUACCCAACUUUCAAUGCAAAUAAACUUAGUCUUUUGGAAGUAUCAAUCCAAGUAAGAUGAUCUCUAGAACUACGAAGUCGAAGAUAAACAAAACAUGUUUUACUUUAUUACUAUAUCAAAUGCUCAAAUUUUGGCUUUUUAUUUAUGCUGAUGGAAUAUUGCAGCAAAUAAGCACUUGGACAUUUGUAAAGAAAACAUUGUUCUGAAAGAACAUCUAGCAGCAUAGAAACUGGUAGAACCAUGAGAGAACACUCUAGUAAAAGUCUACCUGCAAUUGAACAAACUAUUUGGGUGAUUUUAAACAUGUGCACUUACAUCUGUAUUUUUACAUUUUAUUCUUUUUGCUUUUGAACAUUUAAGUAGAUUAGCACUGGAGAUUUGCUUGUAAGAUCAUCUUAAUGCAGGCACAUCUUAAGUGAUUGUGUUUGUUAGCAUUCCACAACCAACCCAAUAUACAGAAUAUUUUUGUCCUUAUUUAGACUUCUUGCUAUUUUGCAUGUUAUUUCUUUUCCCGUAGAUGACCCCGGAUUUUCCUGUAUAGUGCAGGCUGCUUAUAAUGUUGGUGGCCAUGCUGUAAGUGCAGAUGCAAUUGAGCAGUCCAUAUUUUGCUUCCGUGCGCCUCGAACGGGAAAGGUAUCAUCUUAAUCCCAUCAGCCAUUGUAAAUAUACAGUGCAACACCUAAUGAGAAUCUUUUGCCUCCAUUCCUCCUUGUCUUCAAACUACACAUGCCUUGCUCUAUUUGUAGUUAGAAGCAAGUGGUAACAUUGUUAUCAGUUCCAGGAGACGAUAACGAAAGAUGAGUAAACAUAUUCAUGUCACAAUCAUAUCAAGUUUCUGGCAUUCGAAUUGUAGUAGCGUCAACCAAGGCAAAAAUGUAAAUAUGGAUAGAAGAACAGAUCAUUAGGAGGUUAUAGAUAUUCAUAGUAUAAUUAUGUGACUGAUAAGCUCCUAUAAUUAUUAAAAAGAGAAAAGAAAAAGAAAGAAAGAAAGAACUUGCUGUCUUCAUUAUUUACAAAAUUGAUAACUUCUUGAGAUGUGGCCUCAAACUCAACUACUUUUGUCCUCUUACAGUGGCUAGAGACUCUUCUUUCAACCGCUAUAAGGAAAAGAGCUGCAGAAGAAAGACAUCAUAUCAGUUCAAAAUUUGGUCUCCGAGAUUCUGAACCUCUUGUUUGCUUUGCCCUUUGCACAGGAGCCUUUUCUGAUCCCAUGGUAAUCUCUUUCAUCUGUCAAUUUGUUUAAUUUGUUUUCCUCCUUCUCUAUAGUAUGAACAUCUAAUCAUCUUCUAAUUUUGUUCUGCUCUAAGAGUAUUAUCUUGGGAAGAUAUUAUUGAUGUACCGUCAUUGACAGUUAAAUGUAGAGGUUCUGAUCACGGGAAAGGGUGAAAGUCAUGAUUAGACUUCUGAUUUUGCUCAAAAGAUUUACUUUUGCUUUCCAACUUGGAAUUUAUCUUCUUAGUAUUCCCCCCCCCCCCUCUCCUGUCUAGCUGAGAGUCUUUACAGCAGCAAACAUUAGAGAUGAAUUGGAAUCCGCCAAAAGGGAGUUCCUUCAAGCUAAUACUGUUGUGAAGAAGUCGAAGAAAGUGUUUUUACCAAAAGUGCUUGAAAGAUACACGAAAGAAGCAUCUAUUCCGGCAGAUGAUCUUCUGAAGUGGAUUGCUGAAAAUGUAGACAAGAAGCUUAACGAUUCAAUAAAGAAAUGUGUUGAGCGUACAAAUACCAAAAAAGCUUCUCAGAUUAUUGAAUGGUUGCCGUACAAUUCAAGGUUCCGAUACGUGUUUGCGAAGGAUCUAACAGAGAAGCCGUGGUUGGUAUAGAAGUCUAAGCGAAGACUUGGGGAGUCGAUAUCAAAUUAAAAUUGGAUGUUCAUUCUUUGCAAUGUAGUCCUGAGCUUUUCCAUUGUUAAUUAGUUGUCUGAUCUUACUAAAAGAUUUGAUAUGUAUCAAACUGAUGUAUAUUAGCAUGUACAUACUUGUAUUAGGUUAAGAAUGUGCGAUCGUAAUGGAAGAUUCUCCUUGAAAUUUCCCAGCUGCUCUCAUUCUUUUGUGCAACAAAUGCACAUGUGCACAGACUACUUUGAACAGGCAGUCAUUGUGUUGCUAAAUUUCAUCCGUGCCCAGUUGCUGCAGCUCUAGGACCCAUUUGCUUCGACUUGGACAUGUAUAUGGUUAACCAGAAAAUCUCGAGCGAGAUGAUGGCCACUGAUUAUUGGCCCUAUCUGCAUACUCUAGGAGUCUUCAAAGCAUCUUGCUUCAUCAGAAUUCUUUUGUUACUUUAGCUCGUUAUUUUUGCCCUCUUGAUCCUUCCCUUCUUAAAGAAAAAAAAAAUCCAGAUGAUUAGAAAAAGGUACUGAUUGAUCAACUGGAAUAAUUGAUAAAAAAAAAACUUAAUCAAACUAUGCUGCUUCUAGCUGUAUUUAAGUUCUAUAGGUGCACUUUUGGUUGUAUCUUGUGGGAUUAACUUAGGCGUUGUUUAUGAAAAUUCUUGUCAAAAAAACUAUGCUGUUUCUAGCCAAGAAACUGCUGCAUUUCAUUUUAGGUUCAGAAAAAGAUUUGAUUGAUCAACUAUGAUAAUUGAAAAGAGAGAGAGGGAGAAAAAUGAGACGAAUCAACCCAAUCUAAUUGAAUUGGCCGCCAAGAAAGAACUUGGUUCGUUCUUGCUUGUAGGUCGAAGGUUUUAAUCCGCUUGCAUUACAUGUUAGAAUUUCUUGAAAUUUUAUUAUACAGGUGCAUGACGCACUCAUAAGUUCGGAGGUGGUACAAUCCUCUCCAAAUAUUUCAUUAACCAUUUUGAGUUCGUCCCUUGACUUGAGAGCAAAAGGAGGCAUAGAUAUUAUCGUGGCAAAAUAAAAUAGCAAGACUAGACGAAACUCCCAAAUUGAUUACACAAAGGGGCUGAUAUCAACGGCCCAGAGCGCCCCAUAUUAUCUUUGUAGAACUUUUUUUCCUCAAGCUAACUGCCUCUUUCUACGUGUCUUGGCAUUACUUUCUGUAGUCAUGACUAAGUAGUCUAUUUGUGGCCUUUUUGUGUUGAAUAAACGUCACAAUUAACUUAACUACAAAUAAAAGCAAGUUCAGUUUUUCGGCGACUAUCGUCGACUACUGUCAUGUAGAAUAUUACUAGCGUUCGCAAGUCACAGAGUCACAGCCCGGAGUCGUAGUUCACUUGGUCACUUUGCUUGCUCUGCUCUGCUAUCCAAACUAAGGAUAAUUUCAUUUUGCACAUUUUAAUUAUAUCUAAAUUUUCACUUUGGUCCUUAAACUUUAAAAUGAGAUACUUUAGUUCUUAAAUUAUAAAUUUGUCUCACUUAAAUAACAUCAUCAAUGAAGUGAGAUAGAUUUUAUGCCUAAAUGUUUUACUUUGGGGACUAAAUUGGGGUAAAUUUUAUACUCUAAGGGUUAAAAUGGACAAGUCAUACACUUUAGGGACUAAAGUAUAAUAAAUUCUAUAAUUUAGGGCUAAAGUGUUUCGUUUUGAAAUUUAGAGAUCAAAGUGAGAAUUUAUCUAUAGUUAAAGGGUAUAAAUUGAAAUUAUUUCUUCAAACUGUAAGGGUGUGCCAAUUAAUUAACUCGCGUAUCAGGAAAUCCGCGGGUUAGGCCUUCCGGAUAUAGAUUAGAUGCGGAUUUUGCUUUCAUGCGGGUCAAAUACGGGUUUUAUUUUUAGAUACUCAUAGAUAUUAGACAAGUAUUUGCAUAUUAGGACUUUAGGGUAGUUAUUAAAAAUAUUCGAAUUUUUUAUAGUAUUAAAUCAGUUUUAUACAUAUGUUUUUACAUUUUUCUAAUAAGAAGCCUCAAAGAAUUCACUACCUACUACUUCUUGGCUCUUGCUUUUAUUGUUUGUUGUUUAGUUAACUUUCUUUCUUAAGAAUGUGAUUAAUGAAUUUGGUUAGCAAAAUUAUAAAAUGUAUAGUUUGUUUGGAAUGAUGCCUUUUUAAGUUUAUUUUUAAUUUAUAAGUGAUUUUGAUGAGUUAAUUUAUUAAAAAAAAAAAUUGGUUGGCAAAACGUGUAAGGCUAGUUUUUAAAUUUCGGAUACAUAUUGGAUAUCUAUAACCGACCCGGUAAAUGUGGAUAUUUCAGUUGUUGAUAUCCAAAAUUAUGGGUACGGACACGGAUGGUAAAUUUCUUGAUUUGCAUUUGGCAAGUUGGGUUAUUAUUAUGGCUCAUGGGGUGGAUGUUUGACUUGUCUGAACCCUACUUAUAAGAAUGUACUUUUUGUUCUUUUUUUUUUUAAUAAAUAGUGGGUAUCAAGCCUUUUAAAUGGGGAAAAAGGGGAAAAUUUGAGAGUCGAACCAAUAAUCUCAUGGUUAUCUAACUUACAAGAGUAUUUAGAAUAUAUUGUAACAAGUUUUAAAUUGAAUCAAUCUUAUAUGCACGCUAAUAGAGAUUUUAGAAAAAGAAAUUUUGUAGCAUGUUUAGAGUGGACUAAUGUAUACAAUAAUUGGUUUUGAUACGUGUCAUAUCAUUCUAAUUUGGAGUUGAAUUUCAAAUUUUAUACAUGCGACAUGCAUACAAACAUGCUAGUGUAUACAGUACUAGUGGAUAAAAAUUAGUUGGAUUACUUAUUGUAUAUACUCUUUUAGAUUACAUUGUUGGUAAGCAUAAAAAUAGGUCGAAUAACUUAUUUGAAUAUUCUUUUUCAACAAAAAGUUGUUUAUUAAGCUGUUUAUUUUUCAACAAAAAUAGACUCUGUCUAUCCCACAUCGUUCUUGGGGGGGUUAAGGGUUAGGUAGUUAAGUCCCCAUGUUUGCCUCAAAUGUUACCGACUUUUAAGGCUAAAUUUUAGAUUAGAUUUAAUUAAAUAAUUUCUUACUUCUGUAAGAAAAGGAAAAAAAAAGUAGACUCUGUACAUUUCAACACGAGUAGCAUCCAUAAGUUAACGGUAAAUUGAUUUUGGCAUAGUUGGCUUUGACAAAGAGCUCCACAGGGAGACAACACUCGCCUGUAGGCUGAAAGAACAAAAGCUACUGCUAUAGAUCCAUCCUUAUUAAAUUGGAACAAAACAUAAAGUCAACAGGAAAUCAGUAGUACCGUGGUAAUAUCUGAUCCAAAAAAAAGUUUCUUAAAAAGAUAGUACAUGAAUGAAACCAGGAACAUAAUAGUAUGCUUGCUUGGAGCUUUUAUAAUUAUUAUUUGCAGGUUGAGUUAUUAAGAAGAUGAAGAAGACACAAAAAAAAAAAAAAAACCCAUGAAUGAAAAUAUUUUUUGAAAAAAAAAUUUUUAAAAAAUCCAACGGUAGUUAUAUGCUAAAUCACAGUCUUAACUUAUACAUCUAAUUUUCUCUUGUCAUCUGAAUUUAUUUUUCCGUUUUAGACUGUUGCUUUGAAUUGCUUUGAGAAACCCAAAACCAAGAAAGUAAUUUAUCCAAUGAUCUUGACUACAAGCACUUGGUUUACUUGGCAUAACUAACCAACAUAUCGAAAUUAAACCAAGUUGUAUCAAUUGAGAAGUAAAUGUGUUUGGAUAACUCAAACGGACUAAAUGCCAAUUGUUGCUGCAAUUAUAGAACAUGUUCAUAUUAACAAUACUUCUAUAUUGCUAUGUUGCAUUAACUUCUCAAUCCAACGGUUAGUAAUAAUAAUCGUUCAUGGAUUAAACUUUAUGAGGUUCUUGUUAUUUUUAUUGUUCUUUAGAUUUGGAGUAUCUUUUCUUCAGAUAUGUUAUUUGAUAUCCGUGUGUAUUUGAUAAUGUACUUUCAGCAAUUAGUGCAGAUUUCAAUGAAAUUAUAAUAUUUUAUCAAAAAAAAAUCUAUACCUGUCCUUCUUUACAUUUGCAGGAAAUGAGCCAAUCAUGAUAGUCAUUAGUUAAGUUCAUAUGCCUAAACAAAAAAUUUGUCUAAUCUAGACUACUUAACCUAUACAACCGCACAAACUAUAGAACCGAAAGUCAUUUUAUCCAUUUCUAUUUAGAACAAAUUAUAGGGAUAAUGUUAGAAACCUCCUCUGAGGUUUCUACAAUUACACUGACCUCCCUUGAGGUUUAGGAUUUGUAACAAAUCAGCCUAUGAUGUCAAAAGUGAAUAUAAAAGAGUGUUUAUAGAAAAGAGAGGGAAAUUUGUUCCCAUAAAUGCCCCUAAGGUAGGCGUAUAAGUUACAUUAGCGAAAUAAUGAAAACUAAUAAAAACCAGAAAUAAAUUAGAAAAUGUGAGGGGAUGCUAGUGAAAUAAGGAAAAAAAGUCACUGACUUUUUUUGCACAAAGCUUCAACCACGGCUUCAACACACACGCCUUUCUCGCUUUUGCAAUGUCCUGCUGAAUUGCAAUCAACAAUUCACUGAACCAAUGUGAGAAAAUGCCUUAGCAGAGGAAAAGAAAAAUAAGAGAGCAAAACUGUUUACAAGCUAAACAGCUUAGUGAAGGAUCCUACGCGACAAAAAGGAGAGUAAAAAAAAACCGACACAAAGCAAGAUAGCACCUAUGAAUUACCAUAGGAGGCAACUGAGGCCAAUGAUGGAGAUCUGUAUUAGUAAAACAUGAAACCACCACAAUUUAAGAUCAGAAGAAGAAAGAUCAUACAUUCAUAAGCGUUGGGAAAAAAGGAAAAAAGCAAGAAAUGCCAAAUGAUUAAUGAGUUAACAAUUACAAAUAACCAUUUCUUAGACAAUAAUUAAUUCAAUUCAUUGCAGCUAGAGGAUUGAAAUGACUAAAAAUCCAGCACUUUAUUAGAAUCAAAACCUGAAGAUGUAUGCAGGUUUCUUCAGCUUCCAUCUUCAUUAUGUUUCUUUUUAUUUUUCUUUCUUCUCCUUGAUGCCUUCUUCGCAAUAUAUAAAAGACUAAUUUGUUGUGUUGUUCCUAGUGUCAAUCAGCAAAAUGGCGCCAUAUUGGUGAACGAAAUUGACGCCGGCUGGUUAAAUGCUUUUUUGAUUAGCAAGAUUCCAACUGGUAAUUUGGUUAAUGAAAUUGAAAGAUUUAAUUUGGACCCCAAUGACUUAUUUAUCAAAUUUCAGUCUUAUAAUAACACACAAUGUCUUGGGUGUAAUAGUAAUUUUGCAUUAUAUGAUGUCAGCAAUUUGGUCCCAAGUUCUGCCAGGGAGUCAGUGUAAUUGUGAAAACCUCAGGGGAAGUCAAUGAAAUUGUCAGAAACCUCAAGGGAGGUUUCUGAAAUUAUCCCCAAAUUAUACGAAUAGUCAUUAAAAUUGUUUGAAUAGUAAAAUUUUGAUCACUCAAUUUUUAAGUGUAUGUAUUUACUUACUAAACUAUCAAAAAUAGGGGUUCGUUUGGAUUCCUUGUUUUUGCACCUGUUUUUGAAAAACUGCUUUUCACAUUCCAAAUGUUACAGUAAAUGUGUAUUUCAAAAACAAUUUCAAAAACACCCAUAUCCAAAUAUUAUAUAAAAAACAACACCAAAUAUACAAAUUUAAUAUGUAUAUUUCAAUUAUUUAUAUUAUAUAUAUUAUAUUAAUAUAAAUUAAAAUAUACAAAUUGAAAAUUAUAUAUUUAUAUGUUAUAUAUUAUAUAUUAUAUAAAUAUUUAUAUACAUUAAUAUUAUACAUAAUAUAAUAUACAUAAUAUGUAAUAUUGUAUACAUAAAUGUAUAAAUAUUUAUACAUAAUAUAUUAUGUACAUUAUAUUAUAAUAUAUACAUUAUUAAUGUACUUUCAUUAUUAUGUACAUUAUUGUGUAUAAUAAUGUAUAAUAAUGUUAUGUAUAAUAUAUAAUAUACAUAAUAUGUAAUAAUGUAAUAAUGUAUAUUAUGUAUAUUAUAUUAUAUAUAUACAAUAUUAUGUAUAUUAUACAAAUUGCAAAAUUUUAUAUUAUAUAUUUAUAUAUUAUAUAAAUAUUUAUAUAAUGAAAUAUACAAUAAAUAUUACAAAUUGAAAUAUUAUAUAAACACCAUAUUUAUUAAUAUUCAAAUAUUUAUAAUUAAUAUUAAUGUAUAUUAUAUAUAUUAAAUAUUUAUAAAUAUAUACAUAAUACAUGUAUAUAUAUAUUUAUUCAUAUUAUAUAUAAUUUAUUUAUUUAAUAUAUAUUUAUAUAAAAAAUAUAUUAUAAAAUUAUAUAUUAUAUUAUAUAGAUUAUACAUUUAUAUAAAUGUACAUUUAUACAUAAUAUGUAUAUUUAUGUAUAUUUAUAAUAUACAUUUAUAUUAUGUAUUAUAUAUAAUAUAAUACAUUUAUACAUUUAUAUUAAUAUACAUAAUAUUAAAUGUACAUUUAUACAUAAUAUAUAUAUUUAUGUAUAUUUAUAAUAUACAUUUAUAUUAUGUAUUGUAUAUAAUAUAAUACAUUUAUACAUUUACAUUAAUAUACAUAAUAUUAAUUUUACAUUUAUACAUGAUAUUAAUACAUUUAUAUAUUGAUAUUAAUUAUAUUAAUACAUUUAUACAUAAUAUUAAUAUAUAUUUAUGAUAUAUUAAUUUAUACAUUUAUAUAAUAUUCAUUUAUAAUUUAUAUAUUUAUAAUAAUAUACACUUAUACAUUUCUAAAUAUAUUUAUAUUAUGUAUUAUAUAUAAUAGAAUACAUUUAUAUAUUUUUAUAUAACUAUAUAAAUAUAUUUAUUUAUAAAUAUUUAUAAAUGUAUUAUAAAUGCAUAAAUAUAUAUUUAGAUAAAAAUAUAAAAUUUAUAAUUUUUACAUUUAUAUAAUAUUUAUUUAUAAUUUAUACAUUUAUAAUAAUAUACAUUUAUACAUUUAUAAAUAUAUUUAUAUUAUGUAUUAUGUAUAAUGUAAUACAUUUAUAAUAUAUUGAUAUAUUUUUAUAUAAAUAUAUAAAUAUAUUUAUUUAUAAAUAUUUAUAAAUGUAUUAUAAAUGCAUAACUGUAUAUAAAUAUAAAAAUAUAUAAAUUAUAAAUUAUAAAAUACUCAAAAAUAUGUUUUAAAAAUACCUCUAAAAAUAAUCCAAAAAACAUUUACAGUAAAAGUUUUUCAUAUAGUUUUUGAAAAACAACCCCAAAAACAACUAAUCCAAACGGAUUUGUAUUUAAAAAACGAAAUGCUACAGUAUUGUUUUUGAAAAAUAACCCAAAAAACAGCUAAUACAAACGGACCCUAUUGAGCCAUUCAAUUUAUUUCCACCUUGAAGCCUACCAGAUCCUGUUAUGUUGCUUGAUUCUUGCGACUUUUAGAUUUGGCAGAUUUAAUGGUAAAGACAAAUAAAAUGGCCUAAAAUUUGCAACUCUGGUAAUUUAAUGGGUAAAUAUAUACUCUCAAAAGUUGAAUAGUUAAAACUCUACUAUUGAAUGAGUUCAGUGGUCUCCGAAUAAUUUGCUCUUCCAUUCAUCAUUGAUUCACCGCUUUCAAAUUUCGUGCCUUUAUGAAAUGAAUUCUGCAACCGAAGCAACCAAUCAAUUAAGUGACUAAGGCUGUCACAUCAACUCCCUCACCUAUCCGUAACCCGAAACACCAUACCCAAGACCUACACCUAAACAGUAAAAAACCAUUGGUCCCUAUUGACACCUUCACCAAUAAAAUUCCACCACGUCAGUCUAUAUUCCGCUCGGUCCAACCCCCGUCCGAUUCCCCAUCGAUUUUUCAACCCCUCUCUCAGAAUCGAUCGCCAUCAUCCAUUCUCUCUCUCUCUCUCUCUCUCUAAACAUCUGAAGAAAAACACACACUCGCACACACUCACUUUGACACACAAACGAGCACUCACACAGAGAGAGACGCAGACCAACUUUAUCAUUUUUCUUCUUGCUAUCAGAAAACAUAAUAAAGUUGAGGUGUAGCGGAGUGGACUUUUGAGUUGCUGCGACGUCGUUUUUUUUUGGGGGAAGGAGUUAGGGUUUUGGGUUGACAGGGGCUGGGGUUUUAAGGAAAGGGGAAGACGCUACGAAUUUGGGGGGAUUGGUUAUGAAGCAGAAGAGUUUUGGGGGUAGAGUUGAUCGACGGUGAGGAUUCGCCGGAUGGAGGGAGGUAGCGUCUCUAGACUUACUACUUGUUCUGGUACUCUUCAUUUCCUCCAUGGUGUUAUAUCUGUGACACUGCUUUUAUAUUUUUUUUAUUGCUUUAUUUUAUUUUUGUAUUACUAUUUGUACAUUAGGGUUGAUUUUUGGGGCUGGAAUAUGAUAAUUUGUAUUAGGUUUUGCUCUAGCUGUCAUUUAGUUGAUGAACUUGGUACUUUAGUAGUUAGGGUUUUGUUUAAAUUAACGACGAUUAUAGGUCAAAGGUUGGUGUUUUUUGGCUAAAGUUAGGAUUUUUCCAUUGCUUUUUUGUUUUAUCCUUUUCGUUUUUUGGUUCUAGUCACGGUGAAUAGUGAUGGAGGAAGAUUUGAUAUUGUACUUUGUUCUCUUUGGUUGGAGGGCCAGGGGGGGGGGUGGAUGGAGCAUUAGUCAAAGCAGCUAUUAUUUGGGUUAGUGUUGAGGAAAACAAAUUUAUAAAAAGCAUUAUUCUAGAUAUAACUAAUUCAUAAACAACGCUUGUAAAAGGAUUUUCAAUGUCACAAAAAUUCAUAAACAACGUUUGUAAAGGGAUUUCUUUCAGUAUCGCAACAUGCUUGUGCACAAAAAGCUUUUCUUGAAAAGACUAAAAAAAGUCCAUACACCUUUAUUCUUUAUCCUUAAAAGGAGAUUAAUUAAAGCGCCAUAAAGUUAUGCCAAAUCAGGUUCUUGAUGACUUAAUUAAGCUUAUUGUGCUUGGUGGACAUUCUUUCUUAAUUUGUUAUUUACUAUUAAAUUGGGAAGCAACAGCACGAUAAGGAUCCAACAUGUACUCUUAAGCACAUAAAUAAGGCAGAACUUCAACAACAAUAUGAUGCUUCAUUAGCUCCUCAAAACGAUGUAUAAUCCUGCCCUCCCUCUUCUAGAAAUCGGACAAUGCUCCAACGAUGCAGCAGGAACACCAUCUAAAUUUGAAGAAUGAUUUCAUGUUUUAGACACCUAGACAAUCUAAGCUUUGUGCUAUUGGGGCCAAUGUAGCAUUUUCCCAGUUCUACGUUUGCAAUCAUUACCCUCUCCUGUGUUAUCUAAACUUCAAUAUGGAGCAGCAUUUCGUUUAGAUUGGUUUCUAGGAAAUUAAUCAUAUGCACACUGGCCAAUAAAUCAGUCAUUCAUCAAUUUCUAAAACGUAGUAUAUAUACAUUUCUAUGCAGCAUGCAGCUGGAGAAAGAAAGAAGUAAAAUGGAAAUUCAUUCCCACAAAUCUAAUGCUCUCUCAAGAUUAGUUUUCCAUAAGGCAUGAACUUUACAAGUCUUCCAAACUUUGCUUGUCCACAAAUUCAAUAAGACAAAACAUGUACUAAGAAAUUUCCGUUUGGGAUAAUAUUGUCUGGUUGUCCAACAAAGAUCCAAAUUAUCUACGUUAAACCAUGUAUCACGUCUUCAGGUGCUACUAGUGAAAAAAGUAGUGUAGGUGUGACAGACGAAAACUUAGGCAUUGACAUGAAGUCUUUAGAUGAGAAUCAAAGAGAAAUAUGCACUUCAGUCAAUGAAUCUUUAAAUGAAAAAAUGCAACAAGAUCCUUCUAUUUCUGAGGUUGAGGUUCAACAUGCAGAAUGCCUUGCAAAGGAUGUUCCUGUGAGUGUUGAGAAGUUGAGUAAUCAGAGUAUGGCAAGUGAUGUACAUCUUGAAAGUGCUACUGGUUCAACGGAUAAUAGAUCUGAGGACUGCAGCAUAAAAGAUAAUGUUUCUGUCAUGGAUGACCAAAAAUUCAGUGAGAUAUCUGCAGAAACAUGUGUUACUGGCCUCCGUUGUCCGCAUCAGGUUGAUUCGAAUGUGGAAGCUGUAGAGAUAUGUGCAGCUGAAGUGACUGCCAGUGACUUAGACGAACCUUCUAGACUUCCGCCAGUAGGAAAUUCUGAUUUGCUGACGGAUGAAGGAUGCAAUGAGGAGGUAUGUUCUCUUCAACCCGCUCAGGCUGACAGCUUUUCAGAGGGCAUGGAGAUCAGACUACAAUUUGAGAGUAGAAGCAUGUUGGUUGAGAAGUCAUUAGUGACCUGUCAAAGUAGUGAUGGCAUUGUUGACGAGUGUCCUGUUGGUGCUAGGGACACAAAGACUAAUGUUAUUUCUUCUGAGAAAGUAUGUGAUGUGCAGAUUUCUCAUGAAAAUAGCAAUUUGGUCAAUAAAAAUGAUGAUCAUAUUGGAAGCACUAGCCAUACGGAUAUAGGGUCCUCUGUCAUUGAAAUGGAGACACCUAUGGUAUCUGAAAUGCAAUUUGAAUCUUCCAAACACAGUGAACAGGUCGUUAAACAUGCAGAUGAUGUCACUGUUUUGGAACAGACACGUACUACUGUUGGAGAAGAUUGUGGUGUCAUAAGUGUGGAUACUAAGCAUGGAAAUGACGCUGCUGGCGUCCACAAUGAGUAUUCUAGUGAUGCAGCAUAUGUGGUGCCUCCAAGGCAAGCUGGUUCUGCAGAUUUUUCUGGAGAAGUUUUGUCCUCUAUGCUGGUUGAUGUUCACGAUUAUGUACAAGUUGUGUCAAUCCAGGAAAAGGGUGGUGAAGAGAUGACUUCUGAUUCAGGUAAAAUGGACCAUGAUUCUGUUGAGUCAUUUGAUGAUGGGAAGGUGGUUGGAUCAUCACCUCUGGCUGAAACUGGGGAGAAUGUUGAGACAGCUUCUAGAACAGAAAUUGAUGCUUCAGUCACUAAAGAAAAGGGUAUUUCACCAAAAAAGUGGCUUUUGUGUCUAUUUCUUGAUUUCAACUCAAUAUUGUCCCUGAUUUUUUCUCAUCCUUUGCAGAUUCAAAAUGUGAGGUGGAAGGUGCAGACCAAAUAUCACCUGACACAGUUGCGGGUGUUCCCUUGCUUAGUGUUGCUGCUACUACUAAAGUUGCUGAUCAGAGUAUGGAGCAGAAGAGUGAUCAAUUUGAAGGGAAAAGAGGGAUGCAAAUGGAAGCCCCAAUAGAUGCUGGUAGAUCAUUGUUGGGGGAGCCUGUGGAAGAGGCAACCCAGCAGCACCCUGAUGCUGUAGCCAAGGCUGUUAGAACUGAGGAUUUAGUUGCAGAAGCAGCGUCGGAUGAAGCUAAUGCAUCUGCCAGUCUGAUACUGGCUGAGACAUCUGCUGCAGCAUCUAAUGUCGAGCAAGUGGUUGCUGAAAGAGCUUCAGUGGAGCUGUUAGUUCAUUGUCAGCCAAAUGCAAAAGAGGGAGAAGGUGCUGACGUAGUAGAGAGCCUAAACCCUGAUGAACCACAGAAAGAAAAAAAGCGCGUAGCAGCAUCUUCUGAAGUUCAAGGUUGAUUUAUUAUCUCUCUUCUUUUUUAAAAAAUAUUUUUUACCACCCAUUUUAUGCAGUUUGUGAAUGAUGUGACUUCUAAACCCAGUGCUUUGGAUCUCGAGCUCAUUAAAUUCUGGUUAUGCCAAAAAGUGCUUUUGAGCUAUGACGUAGAAACUGAAUUUUGUAGUGGCCUCCAUGGUUUUUCUCCCUAACACAAUCUUUUGUAUGAAGUUUGCAGAUAGCAUCUUACCCAUACUAGAUACUUUCUAGAAGGGCGAAAAUUACUAUCUUUGUUCUGCAGUUGAUGAGUUGCUUUAAAUUUUGAGUGCAAAUGUUAAUCAAAAAGUACCCCGGGUUGUUUAUCACGCAGAUCAAAUAUUAUGGGUUUUUGUGUGUGUGUGUGUGGUUUGGAGAGAUGCAUUUUAAUUGCAGGUGCUCGUCCAGUAGUCUUAGAAGUUGCUUUGUCUCAAAUAAUUGUGAUCUUCUGCUAUUGUGCAGAUUAUUGUUAUUCUUCUUUUUAGGGUCAUUUAUCUGUUAUUAUCUUCCCUAUCAUCUGAAUUUUUUUCCCUCUUGCAGGUGGAAACAUUUCUCCAGCAAUUGAGAAACCUGAUGAUACUUCGGAUGGUAUUGGUGUCCCUGAACUUUCUGAAUGUGAGAUGAAUAAGCAAGCAGGUGUCACUGGGGGCAUGACUAAGAAUUUCCCUCCCUCUGACUGCAAAGAAAGAAAUGAUGGUGAUACUUCAUCAAGUGACAUAGCUUUACAAGUGAAUGUUGCCUCCAAAGAUGAGGGGAGCUUUGCCUUUGAUGUCAGUCCCUUGGAACGUCUUCCAGAGGGAGGAACUAGCAAGGGUUGGCAGUCAGAUCCGCAUAUUCAAGCUCACAAAAGAUCCACAGUAUGUAACUGCAUUAUCCUAAAUACUUGUUUAGAUGUUAUUGUCUUGCAAAUUAUAAUCUUUUGUUUCUUUUUCCUUGUCUUCCAAAUAUUGUUGAAGGUUGUAGAUAAAUUCCCUUCGACAUCUGGGGGAAGCCAAGUAGACCCUAUAGUAGUGCAGGAAAUUUCUCAUGGAAGUCAACAAACACCUGAUAAGGGGGCACCACCCCAGGCUGCCAAAGGCACCUCUGAGCGAAAAACGAGGCGCAGCUCUGCAAAAUCAGGGAAAGAAAAUGCUAGAAAGGGAAAUCCUUUGAAGGAAACAGCCCCACUGAAGCAUUCAGAGAGAGGGGACAGAUUAUCAGCACCCAUUGGCUCAACAGGAAGUUGUCAACUUAAGCAAUUAGAAGUGACAAGUGUGGAACGCAGUGGAGCAAAGCAAGGGGUGGUUCUUCCUGUUUCUGUAUCUAGUUUACCAGAUUUGAACACUUCAGCUCAAGUAUCUUUAUUCUUUCAGCAGCCUUUUACAGAUCUACAGCAAGUGCAAUUACGGGCGCAAAUUUUUGUUUAUGGGUCCUUGAUGUGAGUCCUAUACUGAAAUCAAAGAUACAUACACAAUAUGGCAUGUGAAGAAAGUGAAUAGAUUCCGGUCAUUAGGCAUAGUUAUGUUUGUCCGCAAAUAAGACCUGAGUCUGGUUUCUUUUCCUGAUACCUUUCUCUUGCAGUUCCUGAACUUUUAUAGAAAAGUCUUAUGUCAUGUCUACCUGCUGGCAUUUGAUUUAACUAUAUUUUGAAAUUGUGAUGGUGCAGACAAGGAGUAGCACCUGAUGAAGCUUGUAUGGUUUCGGCAUUUGGGAUGUGUGGUUCGUAUAUUCUUCCUUCUAUUUUGUUCGUACCUGUAUGUAUCUGUUAGCAUCUGUGGUAACUAGCUUGAAGCUUUUCGCUAACAGAAGGAGGGAGGAGCUUUUGGGAGCCUGCUUGGCGGGCAUGUUUGGAAAGGCUUCAUGGUCCAAAAUUGCAUCCAGGCAGCUCUGAGACCCCUGUACAAUCACGUUCAGGUACUUCAUGACUUUUUGAGGUUUUUUAAGGUUUUGUUGUUGCUGAAGCGUGUUCCAAUUUGCUCCAAUGUAGGUCCUAAAACUUCAGAGCAGGGAAAUAUACAGGGUUUGAGCCAAAGCAAGGUUCUUUCAACACCUGCUGCUAGAGUGAGCAGCAAGAGUGGCCCUUCUCCUGUUGUUAAUCCAAUGAUACCUCUUUCUUCACCUCUAUGGAACAUACCUACGCCCUCUUGUGAUGCUCUAGCAACCAAUAACAUGGUUAGAGGUCCUGUUCUUGAUUAUCAGGUACUUUCUCCUUUGCAUGCUUAUCAGACACCGCCUAUGCGUAACUUUGGUGGAAAUACAACUUCUUGGGCAUCGCAGGCCCCUUUCCCUGGUUCAUGGGUUUCCUCUGCUCAAAGUUCUGCUGUAGAUGUCAGUGCUCGGUUUCCUCCAAUACCCCUUACAGAAACAGUAAAAUUAACACCCAUCAAAGAGUCAUCUGUUUCAGUUUCUUCCACUACAAAACUUGCUUCGCCUGAUCCCACAGCUCAUGAUUUGAAAAAAGUCUCAGGUUCACAUGGCCCGCAUUCUACUGAUCCAAAAUCUAGAAAAAGAAAGAAGACUUCUGCUACUGAGGAUAUUGGCCAGAAAUCAGUGCCCGUGACUCAGACAGGAUCAGCUGUACCAGCAUUCAAUAAUGAUGCAUCAAGAAAAGUUCAUGCGGUGGAGGAUCUUGGGCAGGGUGUUAUGGUUCCUCGACAUAACACAGAGCUGGUACCUGCUCCUGCUGGUACUAAUAUCUCUACAUCCGUUGCUAAUACUACCCCGUCCAAUUUUGUGCUUAAGAGCAGUUCAGAUAAGCCUCUCACAACUGUGUCCUCUGUUUCCACCAUUGAUCACCCAAAAGGUGGGGAAUCACUUCCUGAAAAGAGGCCCUUGAAACCAGAGGACAUUGCAAAGGUGGAGGAGGCUAAACUGCAGGCAGAAGAGGCAUCUGCACAUGCUGCUAUAGCAGUUUCUCACUGCCAGAAUAUCUGGUGUCAAUUGGAGAAACACAAUAAUUGUGGCUUGACGGCUGAUGUUGAGGCUAAGAUAACAUCUGCAGCUGUUGCAAUAGCAGCAGCUGCUUCUAUUGCGAAGGCUGCAGCUGCUGCUGCUAAGAUUGCAUCAAAUGUUGCUCUCCAAGCCAAACUGAUGGCUGAUGAGGCAUUGAUCUCCAGUGGGACUCAACAUCCAACUCAAGUUAACUUACAAUCUGUUCCUGGUUUUGUAAACAAUGUGGGGAAUGCAACUCCUGCAUCAAUUCUGAAGGUUGGGGACGGAAAUAAUGGUUCUAGUUCAAUCAUCUUUGCUGCUAGGGAAGCUGCUAGGAAGAAGAUUGAGGCUGCUUCAGCCGCCUCAAGGCAUGCUGAAAAUUUGGAUGCCAUAGUAAAAGCUGCUGAAUUGGCAGCAGAAGCUGUAUCACAAGCAGGGAAAGUUGUUGCAAUGGGUGAUCCUUUGCCUAUUAGUAAAUUGGUUGAGGCUGGUCCAGAAAAUUAUUGGAAAGGUGCAAAAUUACCUUCUGGGCAGGGUGGCAAGUCAAACAUGGUUGGAAACAAGUCGAGCAUCAACAGUGUUGAGGAAGUGGCUGAUGUUGUUCUGGACCACUCAGUGAAGGAGGUACAUACUAGAAACAAUGGUGUUUCACCUUUCCCUAAAGAGACAUCCAAGGAGAACCACAGUAAGGGAGGUGAGGGCAUUUCUGCUACUGACACUCGAGUUGAAAAGGAUUUUAGAGGGCAAAAGAGUCGUAGAGCAUCAGAUUCAAGGAAGGCUACAGAUGAUGUUCAUGAGGCGGUGAUUGGAUCAAGAUCUAUGGCAGAUGAAAAUAUGAUUGUUACCUUUAAUGACAAUGGCAUAAAAGAGAGUAGCCUUGUUGAGGUAUGUAGGUUUUAACGGUCUAGAAUUUUGGAUUUUUGCAAUUUAUUGCAGUUUAAGACUGGCAUGUUCAAUUUGCUGAAUGCCUGCCUCUUUAAGUUUUCUUGAUCCUUGUUUCAUGGGCUAUGAUAUUCUUCAAAACUGUACGCUAUUUGUCUUAAAGGAUAUAAAUAAACUAUGCUGUUUGUCUAUAAUGUUUAACAUCUGAGAUAUGUUAUUCAGUUAGCUGCCUUUUAUUCAAGGUUUUCAAAGACAAUGGGGAUUUCACUGGAGCCUGGUUUUCUGCCAACGUAUUGAGUUUGAAGGAUGGAAAAGCCUUGGUUUGCUACACUGAUUUGGAAUCAGAUGAAGGUAAGCUCCCUAUGCAACAUGUUUCAGUAUGACAUGCAUCAUAUUUGAGACACAUACCGUGGGACGUUAGGCAGAGUGCUAAGUUUUAGGAAUGUUACCCCACUAUCACCUUAGUGUUAAAUUCCAGGUUGACCUCUCAAUUCGCAUUUUAAUAUCAUCUCGAGUCUAUAAUUUCUUAUAUCUCCUUGUGUCUGACAACCAUUCAGGCUGACACGAGCAACCCUGUUACAGUAUAUCAGUUCCAACUGAAGCUAUGCCUGCCUAUUUAGGCUAGUAUCAGAAAGCUUUCAUUGAGUGAAAUCUAUGGCAUGUCUGAGUGGCUUCCUUUUUUCCUAUAGCACAAUGCAGAGUGCUUGUCCAUUUGCCCAACCAGUUGAAGAGAUGGAGGAAACUUAUCUCAGAAAGUUGGACAAUGUGAUCAUGGAAUAAAUCUUGCAAUUUAAAUAAAAGCCUCAGAUAUACCACUGUGAAAGUUGAUUGUUUUGUCACACAGACUAAAAUCCUGGUGUGUUAGCCCCUUCCCCGAAGGGAAGAGGAAAGUAUUGGAGGAUAACAUUGCAUUGGUGUAUAACUAGAAACACCUUACUUUCUCAAGAAACUUGUCAUGCAUACCUUGUUGUCACAAAGUCCAUGCAUUAAUUCUUCUAAAAUCAUAGGCAGACUCAACUAUCCAUUCUUGCCAAGCAUCAGAUUGUGGUGAGAAUCUAAGAAGUCCUUUGUGUAAUAUUUUGGCUUCAUAAAAGCUAGAGUCAGGUUAUCAUACAAGGCUCUGCAUUUUGUAUAAUCGGUCUUUGACCUGCUAGGAUUUUAGUUAUGCACAGUAAGCAUGGUUUAUGGCAUGGUGACAUUUGGUUUGGGAAAACUGUUCUUGAUAAAGUAUAUCUGUAGUAUAUUCAACUAUUAUAGAAUAUUUAUUCUUAAUUCUCGGUGUAGGGUCGGCAAAACUGAAGGAGUGGAUACCACUUGAAGCAGAAGGGAGUAAACAGCCAAGAAUACGGCUUGCCCAUCCUAUGACUAGCAUAACAUCUGAAGGGACAAGGAAGAGGCGGAGAGCAGCUGCAAGAGAUUAUACUUGGUCUGUUGAUGACAGAGUUGAUGCAUGGAUAGAAAAUUGGUGAGAUCCCCUACAUCUCUCUGUGAAUAUUUUUGGAGCUUUAAUAUGUUUGCUAGUGGCUUAUAGUAGAGUGAACAGUUUAAGUCCUUUUCCUUGUCCUAGGUUAUUUAAUAGGUUUUAUUACCAAUUGUUGUGAUUACUUCCUAUUUAAAUGUUCUGGUGACAGUUUCCCUGCCUAAUGUGCCCAAUAAGUUCUGCAUGUUGUGGUUGUGUUGGUAAAUUUUCAUGAUUUGUCUUCUUGAUGGUUGAGAAUGUUAAUGGCAAAUCACAGGAGGUUUAUCUACCAAAAUGACAGAGAAAUAAAUAAAUGGGUGUUUAUAUUUCAAGUUAUUGCCUUCAUAGACUCUUUGUUGCAUUCAGAAAGGAGAAAGAUUCACUGCAAGUGUUGUCAACUUGUUAGUAAAUGUAACUUAGGUGCCUCAAAUCAUAGACCAAGGCAGAAAGAUUUUUGGUGACAGGAAGAGGGAGGGAGCUAUCUUCAUGGGAUGUCUUAACAUGUGUAAUUUUUCCUUCUUUUUCCAAACCUUCUUCCAUUGUGUAAUUUUUGUACGUCUUAACAUGUCAGUUAUGGUAGACUUCAUUCUGAGCACUGUCAAACAAUGAGAGUCGAGUGUGUGCGCAUGUUUGUUCAUGAAUUUUUUUUGUGUGUUGUUGAUGUAUGAUGCAUUUAGACAACCUAAGGAAGCUUUUAACCUAGAAUGCAUUAAAAUAUUGGAUGACCUUUUAUGGAAAAGAUGCGGCAACUUGAAUUUGCAUCCAGAAUUAUUUAGCGGAAAAUGCCAAACAAUACAAAAGGAGAGGAAAUUAUGCUUCUUUUUAAGAGUCUAUACAUUAUUAACAUACAUUUUCAUUUUUCUUGUUUCCUUGAAAUAUAGUGUGAGCGUUAUUUUGGUGAUAUCUUGUCUGUGGAACUUUGUCAAUAGAGAGUUAAAAUGUCUUAGAUUUGAACUGCUGUUAGAUCUCUGUACUUGAGCUGUGAUGUCAUGUUGUUUGACAGAAAAACUAACUAUUUUGAACCUGCUUUCUCAAUGUUUUUUAGCUGGCGUGAAGGAGUGAUUAUAGAAAAGAACAAAAAGGAUGAGACUACAUUGAGUGUUCACUUUCCAGGUAUUUCUGGUUGCACACCCCAGAAUUUUUGUGUUUCAUAAAAAGAUGAUCAGGUUUUUCCACAGAUAAAUUUUUUCAUGUGUUUCCUCUGCAGCUCAAGGAAAAACGUCAGUUGUUAGAGCAUGGCAUCUCAGGCCAACCCUUGUAUGGAAAGAUGGGGAGUGGAUUGAGUGGGCAAAUUUCAAAGAGUCUUUGCAGGUUUAACACUAUUUCUUGUUCAUAUUUAUUUUUUCAUGAAUCUCCAUUUCCCCAACUUAUUGGUCGCUAUUUGUUUGUUUACUUUAUGAAUUUUCAGGGUGAUACACCACAGGAGAAGCGAAUAAAGCUGGGAAGUCCUCCUGUUGAGGGCAAAGGGAAGAGCAAAAUAUCAAAGAAUGUGGAUUAUGCUGAAUCAGGGAAACCUGAGGAUUCAAGGUUGCUGCCUUUAUCUGCUAGUGAUAAAGUAUUCAACGUUGGCAGUACCAGGAAUGAAAACAAGCCCGAGACUCUUAUAACAGUGAGGUCUGGUUUACAGAAGGAAGGUUCUAAAGUUAUUUUUGGCGUUCCCAAGCCUGGGAAGAAAAGAAAAUUUAUGGAAGUUAGCAAGCACUAUGUUUCUGAUCGUAGCAUAAAGAGCAAUGCUUCAAAUGACUCAGAGAAAUUCACAAAGUACUUAAUGCCUCAAGGACCAGGACCUCGUGGAUGGAAGAGUAGUUCCAAAAUUGAUUCAAAGGAAAAGCAAACAGCUGAGUUCAAUAAACAUAGGGGUCUUAAGUCUGGAAAACCUCCAGGUUUGUCUGCUAGAACAUUACCUCAGAGAGAGAAUUCUGUGGUAUCUUUGGCUGCUUCAAAGGAUGCAAGCUUAACAGAUGAUCUGGCAAAGAAUUCAACCAGCAAUGAUGAGAAUGAUUCAGGUCAGCAGAAUCUUAUUGACUUUGUGUCCUCUUCGAAUGUUGAAGAGACAGCCGAAGAACCUAUAUCGUCCUCUUCGCAAGUUCCUCCCCCAGAGUUUCCAAGGAGAGCAGCCACUCUGGGUACCAAAUCUGAGCGGCUGAAGAAAGGAAAGCCUCCGCCUGCUGGUGGGAAGUCAGCUAAGGUUGAGUUGAAGGACAAACCAAUUCCUGAAGCUGUUGAACCCCGUAGAUCAAAUCGCAGGAUUCAGCCAACAUCAAGGGUAAGUACCAAAAUGUAAACUGUUAUAUUUGCAGUUGGAUCUACACAAAAGCAGAUUUGCCUAACCAGUUUAACUUUAAUCAAAUUCCUUUGCUUUAAAUUUGUACUCAACAUCAAGAUUUGGUGCAUAUUCAGCCAUCUGACCUUAUUUGAGAUAGGGAUUAGUUAAUGCAAAGAAAAUGAAGAAUGUGGGAAAUUUGAAUAGCAACAUUGCUUUUAUGAUUUUGGUGUCAUUGAAUUUAUAUAUUCUCUCUGCCUGCAGAAGGUCAUAUAAAGAAGGGCCUUGCUCUGAUUGUCUGUUCAUGAGAGCAUUGUGCACUGGCUUGUAGUAGUAAAUAAAUAUUGGAAUCAAAUCAAUUGGAACUGUAAACAGAAUUGUGGCUUUGAUAUGAUCUUGAUAAUUGGCUAAUGUCUUCCCUUUUUCUGUUUCUGAUACUCUAUAUAAUGUUCCGUAACAAGUUUCCUUUGGUUUUUAUACCAAGCUGUGAUCUCAUAUUUUGCUUUGACUCAGAGUAGAUCUCAAUUUAUCUUUUGGGGUUAAGACGAUCCCUAGUUAUACUUGGUUUGAUUAUCUGCAGCUAUUAGAAGGAUUGCAGAGUUCACUCAUAGUCUCCAAGAUUCCAUCUGUUUCACAUGACAAAAGUCAGAGAAGCCAUAACAGGGCGGUAUCUAAGAGGUAGUACUUGAAUUCUAAGUAACAUUCUUCUUCCUGGGCCUCCCCUUAUUCCUUCCCACCAAAGGAAAGGAAUAGAUAAAAGAAUGCUAUGGGAUAUGUUGCAGCAUUUAACUUGUAAUGGCUUGUAUUAUUUUGUGACAGGGAAUAACAUCUAGUCGAGAAGCUCUUUGAAUGGAAUUGGGUCUGAAGGAUUUUAAAUAACCAGCAUAUGCAUUUAGCAAUCAAGAUACCCAGGAUUUAUUUUGUGAAUAUUUAUCAUAGAAGCAGAUCUGGGUUGCAGGGUUCACAGUACCUGGUGUUGCGAAGAUGUAAAAUUUAGCUAGAAUUGUUCAUAUUGAUUUAGCUUACAGAAUGUCUAGUUAACCAAUAACCAUGGUAGGCUUGUAUAUCAACUUAUGUAGUUUUCUUGGAAAUUUUUUGAAUGAUAAAUUAUACCAUUUUGCAGGCUGCAGCCCUUUCUGUUGAUUUUUCUGCCUGUAGGUUUCAGCAUUCCUUUUGCUUUUUUCCGUUGUCUUUGCCGAAAUAUUUGUUGGUUGUCAAUUUACCUUAUUAGAGCUCACGAAGCUCUUGUACCUAGGAGGGGGUUGAGGGUUGAUUGACCUGAAAUAAUAGAGUUGAUCUGUACUUUAGCACGGUGUCAUCUAUGACUACGUUUGUCUCGUCAAAGGAAGUGGAAGAGAACUCGAACUUUAGGUUAAUCAUCCGAACUUUUGGAGGGUGAUAUCUGAUAUGUAUUUACACAUCAUUUUGCACUCCUUUAGAAUGUUCUCUUUGGCUACAUGGCGGGUACGUGUUGCAGGCAAAAAUUUAUAAAAGAGGUGUGCAAGAAACUUUUGGUAUGUAAUAAUUCCUCCGUUUUUUAUCUUCCCUUUUCUGUUGGGAACUAUUAUCCAGUGGAGACCUAUGGCAACUUUUCCGUCGCAUAUAGGUAUGAUAUUGAUGGGGAAGCAAAUAGGCGAUCUUAGGAAUAGUCUUGUCUGGUUUGGUCAACACUUUCUCUGGUUAAUGUUGUUAAUGUUUUGGGUAGCUCUAAUGCUUGUACUUCUAUUGCACAAUCCAUGUUUGUCUGUUAAACUAGCAAUAAAACUUGCGUUUGAAUUGUGAGAAGUAUUUUAAUGUAUAAUCUACCUCAAUUGUGGAGAUUAAAUUAGAUCAAAAUUCAUUUCAAUCGCAAAGUUUGCAAUAGACACCGUGUUUGGAUUGGUGGAUUCGCAACCCGUAUUAAAUCCCUUUCUUUUUGGGCUGGUCUUGAAGGUCAGAUGAAUAAAGAAAAAGGGUGUUCUCAAAAUGGCCGAUGGAGAUUAAGAAGGUAUAACUUUUAUGGGUGGGAUACUUUCAGUAACCUCCCCAAGGUUUCUUACAGUAUGAUUCAACUUUCUUGAGGGUUUUAAAGUUUCACUCACUUUUCCUAUUAAUUUCACAAGACCAAAUAUCCCUAUCAACGGUCACAAAUUGACAGCGUUACCCUUGUAUCCUCAAUAACCAUUUAACCAAAAGGCCAAAACAAAGGGAGAAUUUUUAAACCAAAAAAUGUAGAUGAAAAAUAACCAAAUUGCUAUCCAAUAUGGGAGGAGGGUUGGGUUGGGUUGGAUAGUAAGGUGAGAGGAAUUAUACGUAGGAGGUUUUAGAUUUAAAUCCUCGUGAUGUAAUUUAAAUUGUACUAAAAGUUUAAACAAUCUCUUCAUGUGUAAUUUGUAAUAUAAAUUCUACUUGUAGAAAAAAAAACUAAUAAAAACAUGAUCUAAUGACCAAAAUAUAUAUCUAGGAAUAUCUUAUAUUUUUUGGGUUAAAAUAUCAUUUGUUGUAUUAGAUGAUAGUUAGUUGCAUAUGCAAAAAUUAUUCAUUAUUGCAUCUAUAACCACUCAUAUUUUCAUCUUAUAACUUUUCAACCUUAUUUUAUAUUCUUGUUAUUGUUACAAGUUUCAUAAGUUCGGCAACACAAGGGUGGUAUUGGAACAAAAAUUUUAUCUCUCUUGCAUUUCCUUCAUAUGGGCUAAAAUGUUACAAAAAAUGUCAAUCUAAAAAAGGUGAGUGAAAUUUUAAAAACUUAAGAAGUGCUGAAUGAUAUCAUGAGAAACGUUGACAGGUUUCUGAAAUUAUUCCUUUAUGUGUAUCGUCAUUUCUAGCAGUACCAACUUACGAAGUGAUAUUGUGAGAAAUGUCAGGGAGGUUUCUGAAAUUAUUCCUUUAAUCUUUCUUCCACUACCAACUUGCGUUUUACAACCGAAUCAAACGGACCAAGCAGGAUCCUGAAAAGGCCUAUUUCCAAAGACCGCAAAACUUCCUUCACGUGUAAGCUAACAAUUGAAGCCAUUGCUGGCUAAAGUCUCGUCACCAAGUAAAAUAGCUUCAUUCCUCUCCUACAAACUACGGUGCUUAACAUUAAUAUGAACAAUUGCAGCACGAUUGAAGAUACAGUCUAGCUAUACAUGCACCCACAUCACCUGGCAAUCCACAUGUUACUCAAGGGGUUAUAAGUGCCAAAUCUGAGCUGCAGCUGGAGCCCAAAACCUUGCAGCAACUCUGACCCAGAGACAUUUUUAGUCAGACAGAAAGUCCUCAUGGUCACUCCCUUCUGCUAGGGAUCCUGGCCCUUCUCCUAUUCUGGCUUUCAUUAACUCCUGAGACUUACCCUCACCUUGCCUGAUAGUUUGAUACCUAGAUUUUGCAUCAGAAGCAAUGGAAUUAUCCUCUAAAGACCAAUCUCCAUCCUCAUCCUUUACAACAUCAGAGUGGUUGAAUGGUUUCUGGCAAAUGCAAGACGCUGGAUAUUCGUGGAACUCCCCCCGUCCUGGUUUCAUCUCAUCGGGUUCUCCCAUGAAUCCUCUUUGGCAUGAUUUCACCUUUUUGGCAAAUGUAUCCCACUCCAUUUUAUCUCGUGCCUUGAAUAAGGCACUAAGCCUUUUGGCAUUUGGCCUGAUAGUCCUCCUAUGCCCCAUAUACCUCCUUUGACAUGAAAAUAAAGAAUUAACUUUGCUAAACUAACAUUAUAAGACAACAUUUUGAGAUAAAUAUCAAAUUCUCUUGUUCUUCUUGGGUUGUUUGCACUUAUUCAUUUAAAUGCAUUUUAAUUACGCUCAAAAGGAUCUUGCUAAGCUUUCUUUCUUGGUCUAGCACAAUGCAGAAUAACAAAUCAGAUCAUACCUAGGCAAACAUUAUACAACAAUUUUAGGCCUUCAGAAAAGCUGAAAUUUCAUGCAUAAUGCUAAAACUUUUGUUGCUUGACACAGUAGCUCCUAGAUGUUGGUUUUACUUCAGAAGCUUAAUCCUAUUUCUUGACAAUAGCCAUGCUUAGAACAUCAUCUUCAUCUUCUCUCAUUCUCUGCACUAACAACUGUCCUUAGCUAAGGGAAGUCCAAUGUGUCAGGUCUUAGUACUUCACCAACAUUUGAACAGAUAAUGCUGACUAUGAAAUCACAGAAAAGCAUUACUACAACUAAUAGACAAUAUCUCACCUUCGACCAGCUAAGAUCUUUGCCAUGUUUCCAUUGUUGUUAGUGACAAAUACAUCACUUUCGUCACAAACAAUGUAGUCUAUGGCAGCAAGACGAGAAGAAAAGGGAAGAAAAGGUUUCAACUCUUCACCAGCAAGCAUCUCCUUGGUGAAGAAGUUUGGAAAGAGCUCUCUCAGGGGUCGCAAGGUUUCUUCUCCACCAUAUAUUUCACCAGAUGCGACAUACAGGUAGGAGUCAUUCCGGAACCCAAGUGCACGGAGCAUUAAACCGACUUCGUGGGGGGUAAGUGGGCAUUUCCCUCGGGUGCGCUCCUCAUCAGGGCUGAGCUCCUUUGGCAAGCACAAAAAAUGUAACAAAUUACAAGACUCUUCUUGUCAAAAUUACAACAGAAAAGAAAAACGUCGUAUAGCUUCGUGAACCAUGCAAAAUAUCAAAACUGGUUCAUUACAUGAUUAACCCACUUAACUCAAUGGCACCUGGAGUUGGCCAUUGCCAAGAAACCUAUGUUUUGCCUUUAUUCACACGCUCAUUGUUACGAAGACCUAUUACUGUAACAAAUUAUCGCCUCUAAAUAUUCCUACUUUUAGACAUGUUGUAGAUUCAAUCUGUUAAAUAACAAACUUUGCUAAUUAAGUGGCUAAUUUAAUACAAGAUAAGCCCAAAAAAAAGGAGAAGAACAAUAUCGUUUGAAAGCAUGAUCUCACAGGUAAUGUCUCCCAUCGCUUCCUUAUCUCCCCCAGUUCGUAUCGUUCUUUAUCUCCUCCACCAUAGUAACACCCAGAAAAGGCUAGCAUAUCAGGCUCAAACCUGCCAAACACAAAGUCAAAAAGAGCAAAUCAGAAAUGCAAGAGAUGAAAUUUUAUGAAAAUUAAAUACUUUUGUCGUUGUGGGUCUACUGGUAAAUAGUCCACAUUUAAGAAAUGAAACAAGACCGUUAGAAAAUUUAGGGGCAGACAAAUGCAGAAACGUGAUCCAAAUUAUCAUUUCUUGUCUACCUGGUAUCACAUCAUUCUGACAAAAGUGCCAUUUUCUUCAAGAAAUGUCCCCAAGCUACUUACCUCUUCUAGGGCUGAUAAAAAGUAAAAUAUUGCUCGUGUAGCAAAAUGAAUCUCAAAUCUACCAAAUUAGAGAUAUCCCUUUCAAAGAGGCGUCCAAAAUCAAUACAGCUUCAAAAAUAAUAACCAAGUUUUACCAAACAAACAAAUAGGUGACAAGUCUUCAUAGAACUUUUUAAUAUUAAGUAGAAGUUUAAGCAAUUCAUCAAUAUCUUAGAAGCAAAAAGCUUAAUUAAAUAUAAAAACUUUUUGUUGCAUCUACAUUUCAAUGUUAUGCAUCUCUGAAUCUCUUCUUCCUACAAUGACAUAUUCCUAUAUUGCCGGUCUAGCUAUAAUGGCUGGAAUUACAACCUUCAAAUAGCAGGUGGAACAUUUUAUUCUUGCAACAGUAAGAGUGACAAACCUCAAGUGAACUGCAAUAAAACGUUUGGUCAUCUUCCGCAUUCGCAUCACUAGUUUCUGCCCCAAAUUCCUUAUGGGUUUAGUAAAUCUUAGAGCAUGAUAAUUGACCCGGCAACGUAGUUUCUGUAGCUCUUCAUCAAGGUCAUUAGCAAGCCUAUAAUCAAACUUCGUCAACUGAACAACCUGCAUGAAAUUUAGCUUGUUUGUUAAUACAAAAGUUAAUGUACACAUCCUUUCUUUCUUAACUUAGGAAAGUAAGGUUAAUCUAUUAGCAUCCAAGCUUUCCAGAGAUUUUCAGGUAACUAUGGUGAUUAACAGUCUAAGUUCAAUAUUUGCUUUCUCUAGAAAAUCACUGACAGGAUUGUUUGGGAACUAAAUGAGUAGAAAUUGAAGUAAAAUCGUAACGCUCAAGCUUUUCAGCUUGCACUUUAAUACAACAUCUGAUGGUCAAACACGAUAAAUGAACAUUUUUAAUCAGGUAGACUAUAUCAAAAAAAAUAUUCCACCCCUGCCACCAGUGCCACUAUCUCCUCCAUGAACCUAACCCAUCAUUCUACUUCAACACCAUCUCUUUAUUAAGGCAAGUCACUGUGUCUUCACCACACGCCAUUGCAAAGACUUUGACUCAUCCACCUACUAAGCAAGGGUUAAUAAGUGAUAAAAUUGAGUCUAUAGUUAGCAUGAGUACAUUCAAAUUCCUAUCCCAAUCCAAAUGUGCCUCAAACGUGACAAAUCCUGCCCCUGUUCAGUUCAUUUCAACCUAAAACUUCAACAGAAGCUUUGUGGUAAUUAGAAUUUGGAUAGAUAUAUAGCUCGUAAUCUUGAAACUUCUAAAUUAAAUAUAGUGUGGGCAGUAAGAAGAGUAAUUCAAGAAAACAGCUCGGUGAAAGCCUGUAAACAGAUCAAGCUCUCUUCAGAGUUAAAAGAUACUGGAAGAUAAUUGGUUUGCAUACUUACACGUCGCCUCAAGAGAAUAGGCAGUACUUGGUCAAGAUAAUAUUCAGGUUCUGACUUUCUUGGUACACGCAUUGUAUAUGGGGGUUUCUCCAUUGAUCUCAUUACCUUUUCUGGAACUCUUUUAACAAUAGUUAUGUCCUUCCCAAGGUAAGAGAUGAACCAGUCAACAUCGAAAAUGUUUAAGAAGUCACUGCAUGUUAAGUCAAUUCACAAAUAUCAAUGCAAUUCAAACACAUGGAAAUCCCCUAUAGGACUAGACUACAUAUCCUCCUGCUAUGGUAUUUAAUUGAAAUCUCAGCCUACCUAUCAUCCUUCCAGAAAGAUUGAUGAUCCAAUUCUGGUACAACUAAAGUAGCAUUAAGAAUCCGUGCAACAACUACAGCGUCAGUUAUCUGAAGAGCAGAAAUGGAUUCUUGACUUUAGGAUAUUGAGAUACAGAAACAAAGUUGAAGAAUUCAUAAAUCCUAAUAAAUGAGCCUUUAAACCAGACGAGUAGACAACAAUGAGAAACACACUUACGCCAGUUCUUUGUUGGUUGAGCCCUCCACUAGUUGCUAUAAGUAGAUAGCCGUUUGAAGAUCGCUCACGAAUGGCAGCUACAGUUCAAUACAGAAUUAGGGCCUGAAUUAUAGUUCAAAUCGAAAGAAAAAUGUACAACAGCAAACCGCUCACAGAACAUAUCUAGAAAAGCAUCCAUGGAAGACUACAAAGCAAAGAAAGAGUUUAUCCAUAUACGGCGCGGGAGAUGCGUCUACCCAGGAAGCAAUUAAGAUCACUCAAUGCAUCAAAUUCAAUUUCUUUUUAAUCCAAAUUAGAAAGGAGGGAAAAGAAGUAAACGAAGACAGGAUAAUUACAUUUUUUUGCUUGGGUAAAAGAUAAAGAAACAGAGCACCAUCUCUUUAGACCAUUUUGGUCAGCGGACUAGUAUGACGACACAAGUAGGUGUACUAACAACAUAGACAAAUAUUUGAAGAAAAGGAGAUGCAAAUAUUAUUCAUGCCAUGACUUUGGAAGCGAGUACAGGCAAGGGUUAAUCAGCUUACGGCCAAAAUGGCGUCCUCUUUCACUGCAUCCAUAGUAGAACUUUGAGAACUUCGAUUUCCAAAUAUCAAUUGCUGUACGGCCAUUGCCAUUCUACAUUAUAUACAAGUUCAUAGAGGAGCAUCAGUAGUAUUUCAUUAAAAAGAGAUUCCACUGAUAAGACAAGCAUAAAAGUUACAAUAUCACAAGACAAGGACCUAUAAAAGUAAUUCCUCAAUUAAGAGAGCAGAAAAAUGGCUUCUCCCCUGCUGUACAGCUGCUUUUGUAACAGAAAAUUUACAAUAACCUUUUACUGGGAAUGGGGGGGAAGGGAGGGAUGGGUUGGGUGGUACUGGGGGAGGGAGUGUAAGUGAGAGGUCUUGGGUUCAAGAUCUCCCACUUACACUAUUAAAAAAUUUAAAAAAAUAAAUUAAAAAAAAAAACUUUUGCUGGGAGCAUAGCACAUAAAUCAGUCAUUUUAGCAGGUAAGGCUCUGUCUAAAUUGAAUAAUAUAAGCUCAUUAAAAUGCAAAACUUUCCAAUUACUGUUCACAUAACUAUUUUGUCCUAUCCUCUUCCAGAUGAAUAAGUAGCAUCUAAUCUGGAAGGCAUGCAAGCAUCUUUUCUCAAAACCGAUAAGGGACAAACACAUUAAGCACUUCUGCUCAUUAGUCAAACAAAUCAAACAAUAAAGAUCAUGUACUCAUAUAGAAUGGCAAGCAGCACAUCAACUCCAGCAUGUAGGGGGAAAAUACAUCAGUUGACAGUUUCACAUAGCAGAUGAAGCUCUCAAAAAAUUCUCAUAUUUAAUAUUCUAUUAGUCGAACAUUAGAUGAUAUUUUACAGCAAGCAUCCGUCCAACUCUUUUUACUAAGAAUGAAAUAUAUUAAUUUCUUAAACAGAAACAAAAAUAACUGCUCCAACGAUACACACCAUCGCAUACAGCUAAGAAUCCAAAGUAAAUCUAGUACUUUUAUGUUUUGGGGCAAGAUUAUAAAAGAAAUUUUAAACAAAUAUAAUCUUGCUCAUAACAAUACUCGUGGUCUAAAAUGGUGCAUUCUCAUGCAAGUAGAUUUACUUGAAACUGUGAAAAAUCUUUCACCCCACAAUACCUGAAAAGCAGAAAUUAAAAACCGAAGCUGACACUUCUCGGUUUUUGAAGGGAGAAAAGAGGUGAAAGACAGGUAAAAGAAAGAAUCUUGCUCAUAGUCCCCCUACAGUAUAAGAUAAAAAUGAAAACUUUGAAACACUACAUUUAUAUUCAACCCCAUUAUGCUCGUAAGCUCCGAUUCUCUCCCGAUCAAAAACAACAAAAACCUAAAUCCAGUGACCAAUAAAAUCUUAACUUUCACUCAAAAGCUCAAGAAUCAGACCGAACCCCCUCCCCCCAAAAAAAGGAAAAAAAUCGCUCUUAAAGUGAAAACAGCGACGCACUGAGCAACAAUAUAUUGACUUUCGCUUGAAAAACAAAUAAAGAGAGAAAUUUAACAGCCUAGAAAAAAAAAUGGGAACAAAAACAAAUAAAAAUGUAAAAAAUGUAAAUCAUAAUGACAGUCGAUUACCAGCUCCUUAUGAUAGGGAAAUCGCUUGCCAAAACGCUGAGAGUACCAUUCAAGAUCAGAAGCCAAGUGUCCAGUGAAGAGUGAAAUCAACCCAACAGCAAAUAGCAUUACCCCACAAACCUUCACAGACCAUGAGAUCUUCGGUCGCCUUGCUGAUGCCGCCGUAGAUGCAUUUGAUGGCCAGAACCACAAUCUCCAAUUCUGCUGCUGGUCCUGUACCUUUAAUUUCUCCUUAUCAUUAACAUUAUUACUACUAUUACAAAAAAUUCCAAAACUAUUGACUACUACUCCGUCACUAUACUUCCAAGCCUUGUUGGCUACACCCAUGAUGAUGGCUUACUCUUCUUCUUCUGCUUGUAGAACUACAUUCAAAUUCAGCUUCAGGAACCAGUGAAACUUUUCCGGCUUUUUUACUCAUUACUAGUAAAUUAAUUUAUGACAUCAACCACAGGUACCCCUUGGCAGAAAAAUGCAGAAUCCGCUGUUUGUUUUCAAUUAAAUGCCAUAUGACCCUAAUUCUUUUAUGGCUUUUUAUUGGGAUUUGUUUAAUGGGAUUUUACUGGUGAGCGUUUGAAACUGUGGGUCAGUGUUGCUUUUCAGAGUCUCUCUUUUAGGAGGGUGAUAGUAAAGAAGAAGAGGCCAAGAGGGGAGCCCUCAGCGCGUGUUUCAAACGGUGUUUUAGUGUGUGUUUUGGGGUGUGGAAAUGGGGCGCUGUAGAAGGGGAAAAGGUGAAAUUUUGAGGAGAAAGAAUGGAAGAAGGGGGUGAAAUGGUGGGGCUCGAUCAGUGCUGAGACACGAAUCUAAAGAUUUUGAGACUGUGAAAGGAGACGGUGAAGAGGAUGACGCAAGGGAAAGGCUGUGACGUGCUUAUCAGGGAUUAAGAAUAAGCGAAGUUUCUUGAUGUAUAAGGGUAGGUAUAAUGAUGGCAGAUUAAUAUUUUUAGACAAAAUAAUUUUUGUUGCGUAGCCUUUUGUAUAAUUUGCCAAUUGCGCUUUGGUAAUUUGCUGUAUGAGUUACUAAUGAUUGGGUAGGUGUGUCAAAAGUAUGAUGUGUAGAGAUUUUGAUGAUCAUAUUUGGAUUUAAGUUUUUCAAGCAUGGAGAGAUAUCAUUUCUAUCAAGUUUUAAAUUCGAAAGUCUUUUGGAUAAUCGAAAUUGAUAAGAUGAGGGAGUUACAAAAUUUUGAUUUAGAUUACUAUUUUUUGAAAUGUUUAUAGAUAAAUGUACUGAAAAAGUCGAUCUAAACAAGGCUCAGAUUACAACGGAUUUUGAUAGUAAUUUCCUUCACUGAACCUUUUUCUUGUAGCUCAAAUAAUUGAGAGUUUCCAAUUCUUAUUCUAAUCUAUUGGAAGUGGGUAGGAAAAUGGCAUUUGAACAUCAUAAUGAAUAAAAUGCAUUUGAGAAAGAAUUGAUUACAUAUAACGCGAAUCUCCAACAGUAAAUCCUAAAAGGACAUUUCAACAUUUAUUGUACCGUGACAAUAUACUCCCUCCCUUUUUGUAUAACUGACGUUUAAGAAAUUUGUUCUGGUGUACUUUUAUCUGUCAUCUUAUUAUCCCCAUACAGCAUUAAUUACUUUUUCACAAUUUUACCCUUUUAUCUCUCUGGUAUUAAUACACUCCCAUGCAUUGCUUUUAGCCUAAUAAAACAGCACCAUUUAGUACUCUAGUGAGAGAAAAUAUGGGUGAAUUGGACAAUUAAUGAGGGUACAAAAGGAAAGUAGUGUACAAAUUUAAGCAUUGAAAAACUUUUCUUAAUUAGUGUGUAAAACCUUAAACGUCAGUUAUAAAAAGAGGGAGGGAGUAUUUUGAUAUAGGAAAAUGGUCCUCGUUUCUUUAUUUACCAUACUUUGUUGUGUCCUACCACACCCUACUUUGUUGUGAUUGGUAGGGGUGUACAAAAUCGAAAAAUUUUGAUUUAUCUACCGAAUUCGAAAUGAAUUCGGAAUUUUGAAUUCGGUAAUGAGAUUUUUCAAAUUGGAAUUCUUAUUUCGAUUUCGAAUCUGUUGUUCAUAUAUAUAUAUAUAUAUAUAAUAUAAUAUAUAGCAUUUAUAUAAUAAUAAUAAUUUUUAUAUUCAUGAAUUCGAUGAAAUCGAAAUUUACUGAAUUUCAAAUUCGAAUUCUGGUGAAUUCAAAAUCAAAAUCGGUCUAAAAUUUUGAUACCAAAGUUUCGAAAAAUUCCGAUUUCAAAGUUUCAAAUUACCGAUUUCGAUUUCGAUUCACAUCCCUAGUGAUUGGUAACUUCAAUGGCCCAACAUUCAACAUGGCUUCCCCAGAACUAAAAGCAUCCUUUAUCAAUUUACUACUAUUUAUUUUCGGUUCGUAUAUUAAUAGUCCUUUUAUAUUUUUUUUAUUAAUUGCCACCAUCUAUUCCUAUUCUAUUUUAAAGGGAUGAUCCAAUUAAAUUAAAAAAAAUCGACGAAAAUUGAACUAUCAUCGAACCAUACAUGUGCAUUACGCACCCUUAUCUGCUCUGGAGUCUAAUCCAAUCAAAAGUAUGAUUAGUAGCAGCCUUUAGUAGCCACGCUUAGGCAUCCAGCAUAUAUUUACUUUCAGUUGGUAUAUUAAUACGCCUUUUAUCUUUUUUUUUUUUUGUCAAUUGUCACGGUCUACUCCUUAUUCUAAGGGGAUGAUCCAAUUAGAUCAAGAAAAAUCAACGAAACUGAAUCAUUAUCGGACCAUAUGAAUGCACUAUGCACCUUUAUUUGCUCCGCAGUCUAGUCCAACCGAAAGUGUAAUUAGUAGCCACACUCAGGCAUCCAGCAUACAUUUCCCAAAUAGUGAAUUUCGGCGCUUGUUUGUGUAAUUGUAGUGCAUUCACAGUUUCCAGGUAUUGGGACCUUCGUUCUGGGAAAACAGAAAGCACUAAUGAAGAUUUAUAGUGCAUUUAAAAAAAAAAAAAGAAAGGAAAAAGUGAAUAAGAAUUCAUGAUUCGUGGGACGCGUGUUGUUGCGUCUUUAUUAUUGCUGAUGCCGAUGCCUGACCUUAAAAGGACGUGCUACCCUUACCUACUGGACACUACAGAGUAGCCACUGAGUCAUGGCACAUUUUGGAAUUUGUCUCCCAAAGCAAUUACCAACUGACUCCUGCUUAGAUUAGAUUGCUAUUUUUAGAAGUUAUUUUUUUGUUAUUAAAAAUAUAUAUAAUAAUAAUUUAAUAUAUCUAAAAUAAAAAAUAAUUAAAAAAUAUAUUAUCGAAGAGCAUAAAAAUUUUCUUGCGAAAAAUUACAAUCCAAACUAGGAGCUAGUCUCUCUAGUUUUUUGUCGGUUUUAUCUUUUGUUUUGUAGCAAAAUUUUUGUGUUUUUUGGCGGUUCAUUGGUGUAGCUUAUUAUUAUUAUUUUCUCGUGAGAAAGAACAAAUUGCAAUUGCAAUCCAAAUUUAUGAAAAUCAACUUAUAUGCUAUAAUUAGAACUAGGAUUGCUAUAUUUUCCGUGGACAUAUUUUUUAGUCAUUUUUUUAUUUCAUAUAUAUCAAAUCGUUACAGUAAUUAUUUUACAAAAAAAAGUCCAAAAAAAAUGCAAUCCAAACAAAGCUGAAGUUGAUUAACAAUUUUUUUUUGGCUAUUUUUGGAGAAUCAUUUUGGUUUCUUAAAUACUAGGCAUCAUGUCAUUUGAAACCGUGGGAGGGGAAUUUAGGAAACAAAAUACUAGGCUGUCUAUUAUCCUUUUUUUUUUUUUUUGGCAAGAUCUCUCAUUUUUAAGUUUUUUGAUUAAAUUUGUCACAAUCAAACACUUCAUUUCCCAGUUUCCCCAUAGGGAGAACAAAUUGACCAACGCCUUUCAUUUAGUGUUCGGUUGGUGAUUUAUUUUUAGAAAAUGAUUAUUGAGACAUCGUUUUCAAUCAUAUUUUUCUGGAAAUUCUUCCAAAAAUGCCUCAGACACACCUUCUUAUCUCAUCUCAUCAAGAUUGCCUUUCCAUAUGUCUUGAAAGUUCUAUGCCAGUGGGUUUUCUAUCUCUACAUCACAGUAGUGGUCCUGGAGAAUGGUCCUAUUACAAAUUCAGAAAUCGUCAAAAAGCAUAUUCAUCAUGUGUUUAGACCUUUUUGGUGGGCAUAAUAAUAUUAAAAAUACGGCAACAUUUUGAGAAAUGCUUUAACAUUUAGUUUUUGUUGGAGGUACCUUUUUUUUUUUUUAGGAUUUUACACUAAUUUUGCUACCAUAGUAUUGAACACAUUUAUUUUCUGCACUACGACAAAAUUGACAUGAAGCACACAUCACAUCUCCACAGGCUUUUCUCUUACAUUUUCAUAGAAUUUGUCAAAAAUUUUCGGCCAAGCUUUUGCUCACUGAAAUGUAGAAUAAAGGCAUUGACACAGAAACAAACUUGCAUCCAACAAUCACGUUUAUAACAAAUUGUUGUGGGUAAAUACUAAAAAGUUCAAUGGCUCGUCCAAUGGGAAUAGUUUCAAGUGAUGUUUGAAUUGCUAUUUUUAAAAGUUUUUACAAAAUAAUAAUGUGUUGUAACGAUUUGACGUAUGUGAGAUAAAAAGUUGAUUAAAAAAAUAUGUUCACGAAAAAUGUAAAAAUUUUUCUACAGAAAAUCAUAAUCCAAACAAAUUAGUGUUUUGAAAAUUAAAACUAAAUAGUAUAAUUGCAGGGGAGAAUAGAUGUGGGUGUAGCCCUUAUAAUUUUGGUGUAAAUUAGAUACUCUAAGAAUCUAUUUGAUAACAUACAAAAGUGUUGAAACUGAACCUUUUUAGAUAUUCAGAUGAUGUGUUUGACUGUUUGAUAAAUGAAAAUCCAUCUGAUGAACUUCUUACGCAAUGCUGAACUUGUGUGUAUUUUUUCCAGCACAAGAAUCCUAACCGAAUGUUUAAUUCUGAUAAUAAUCAAUAGAAUUAUUUCAACUACCUUAUCUUAUUUACCAAAUCUACCAUUAUUUGUUAAUUAUGUUCAAAAUUCUUAUCUAAUUAAGCAACAUGAUAUUCUCUCUCUAACGAUUUUCUAUAUCUCUUGUUUCAUUUUUUAAUAACUUUCACAUCUUCUCCAUAUUUCUCAUAUAAUAUAUUUCAUCUUUUACAUUAAUUUGAUUUAAAAUAAAUAUUGUCAUUUUCAUAACUAAAAAUUUUAAACUAAUUAAAUCAUAAGUUCUAUUUCUUUUUUGAAUGAAAAUAUAUAUAGUGGCAAAAUUGUCAAAUUAAACUUAUUAAGCAUUCAUUUAUAAAUAUUUAUCAAACAGUAUAAAUAAAUUUAGCAUUAAAAUUCAAACAUUCGUACAUUUCUUUUUGGUGCUUAAAAUCUAGCAAAUUAAUUAUUUCAGUAUUCAAAUUUCAGAAUUCAAACUUAAGAAUUCAGAUUCGAUUUUGCCAAAUGGAACCUAAAAGAAAACCAAAUCCUUUAGUAUUAUCCUUUUUUUUUUGGUUAGAAAACCAAAUCCUUUAUUAAAGCUGAGAGUCCUAAUCACAAUCCUUCUUUUUGUUGGAAAAUCAAAUCCUUUAUUAAAAGAAGCUAAAAUUGUCUUUUCGAAGAAAAACAUGGUCCCAAUAUCCAUGACACUGACCAUGAUCGCAUCCCAAAUAAACUGACUGAUUAUUCAAAAAGUGAUUUCGGCGGCAGAGAUCGUGCUAAUCAAAAUCAGUUAUGUGAUGAUUACUGAUUAUCAACUUUGUUGACCGGAACAAGAAGAACAACGAUACACUAAUAGACGCACGACAGAGAAGGUGCUAAGCUCCCUUCCCCAACAACCCCUGCCCGGGUUGCUUUCUUGGUUUUGAAUUGAAAGUUCCCUUGGCACCUAAUGACAAGAGCUUCACAUGUUGGCACUAUCAAGUCAAUAUUUUACAGGAUUGAAUCCUUUAAGAGUGGUUUUUUUUUUUUUGGGCUUGAAUCGUUUUAAGAGUGGUUUUUUGCAGGUAGGACCAUAUUCUUUAGGUCGGGGUUUGAACCUACCAUAUUCAUUAGGUUGGAAUUUGAAUCUCACCUGCAGUAAAAAAAAUUUAAAAGAGAUGUCACAGCACUUAUUUGAUUUAAUCGGAUCCGUAAAUCUAUUAGUCUCUUAUACAAUCUUUUUAGACUUUUCCUUUCUAUAGAAUAUCAUUGCAGCAAAAAAAAAAAAAAAAACAUUAAUGUUCAUAUGGACAGCUUUGCAGGUAGGCAUAUUUAAGAUUAGAUUAGACUUGGAGGAGCGAUUGUUAGUCUACUUACAAGCCCAAGAAAUUACCAAAGACCAGUUAUAUCCAACCCAAAAUUAGAGGGGGAAGUGCAACUUCCAACUCCAUCAAGUGGAAGAGGCCCGCAAGAUAAGAGAAUAAAAACAGGUACUAUUGGACUUCCCAAUAGGAAAGUUUGGGGUUAGGUUCCGUGUGAUUUUUUUUUUUUUUGGUCGACACAGGGGUGUUUGGGUCAAUCUUUACGGGGUCCGACUAAUUUCCUGUGGUCCGGGUCGGGCGCCCCAACCCGGCUCGAACACGUUAAGUGCGCGGAGGAAUCCAGCAGAGCGGAGACUCGAACUUGUGAUCUCAAGAUUCACUGGUGAGAAGCGCUGCCGCUGGACCAUUCAUGCGAGGGCUAGGUUCCGUGUGAUUGCAUCGGGCAUUUCACGCAUUCGAUCAGGUCAGCUUAACUCGGUCUGAUUUAAUCAACAACCUUUCCUUUCCGAUUCCUUCCUUUCCCUCAUUCCAAACGGUGCCCAAUCAAGAAUCGAAAGAAACUAAAGGGAGCGUGAAGAAACAGUUUGCCUUUUGUUUUUAGGGAUAAUUCUAGUUCGAAGCAGCAAUGUACAUGCCUUCUCAACAUUUUAUACAAGAGAGCGCAGCAAAUUUUCCAAGCCCCACCUCAAUGUCAAUUCCCGAGUACAAGAGAGCAGUUGCCUUUUCCUCCUCUUGGAAUAAUUGUGAUUUGAAAACCCCAAGAGCGCCCUGACAAUUUAAAUUGACGCUAGCUGCAAAUUGGAUGGUCUACUGUCUACAUAAGCUUAAUUGUCGACCCUGCAGUCAUGAAGCACUACUAUUUUGACAAUGACUUGGGAUUUUCACUAGAUUUCAAGACACUGCAACAUCAAAAUUGAUUCAGCACCAUCUAAGAUGAUGCAGAUAAGCAUGCUCGUAUACUGUCGAAGAUGCUUUGUCUUUAAGAGGUCAAGAAUCAGAUUACUAGUACACACUAUGGAUAGUAGUAUACUCAUAGUCAUGAAAGACCUCUUGAUUCGAAGGCAAAGAAAGAUGUGCAUUUUCUUGGUUCAGAGACGAGAACGACCUCUUGAAUCAUGAAAGGCGUCAUGGACAGUAUACUCAUAUUCAGAUUACUACCAAAGAUUUGCAUUUACAUACCAUAAGAGGAAAGAAAGGCCUCUCGAUCCAGGCAUGGAUAAUUGUCAGCAAUGAAAUUCUCAGCAAAAAAAAAAGAAAAGAAAAUGCCCUUCUUCACUCCUCGACUGCUAGUUUCUCGUUAAAUAAAUUUACAAACAAAAGGUGGUAAUCGAACUUGCUUUAGUGGCGGAAGAAGACGUUGUCAUUCCUUUUAUUCGACCUCCUAUCGAUCCGAUUUAAACCUUAAUUCCUGAACUUGGCUAAGUCGGUUCUCGGUCCGAGUUUGAAAAAACUAUGUAAGGGUGCAGAAUUUUCAAAAUCGGUAAUUCGGAAUUCGGCAUUGAAAUCGGAAUUUUCGAUUUCGAAUUAUGCGAAUUUGGUUCGAAUUCGAUAACGGAGUUUUUUUAAAUCGGAAUUUCCGAUUUCAAUUUCGUUUUAUAAUAUAUAUAUAUAUUAAUAUUUAUUUAUUUAUAUAAUAAUAUUUUUAUUUCAAUUUCAUUUUAUAAUAUGUAUAUUAAUAUAUAUUUAUAUAUUUUAUAAUAUAUGCAAUAUAAAUUUUAUAUUAUAUAACAAUACAUCUAACAAAAAAAAGGAAAAAAAGGUUUUCGAAUUCGGUCAAUUCGGAAUUUACCGAAUUCCGAAUGGAAUUAUUCGGAAUUCAAAAUCGAAAUCAAAAUCGAAACUACUGAAUUCGAAAUCGAAAUCGAUCGGUAAUUUCUAUGCCAAAAUUUCGAAAAAUUCUGAAUUCAAAUUUCUGAAUUACCGAAUUUGAAUUUGAUGCACACCCCUAGUUUAAAAGAAGAAAGAUUGAGAGACGCAUCCAAGAAUUCCACUGUCUCGUUACGUAUGUCAAAGGAUAUUACUUAUGAUUGGAGCUAUUAUAAGGAUGAAAUGCCAACGGGAUUAAGUUUAUUAAUAAAUCUGCUGGUCCGAAAAUUUCUGGAAACUCGAGCCGAUUACGCCAAAGAUGUUUAUUUCAUACUCGAUUAGCCAUUCUGGAUUUGGGCAACGAAAAUUGCUCUCUAGACUCCAGAAACUGGUGAAUAUAAAUCAACGGCCACAAUUUCAUGUGUUUUGUCUAACCAAAAGAAAACUCCAUCUAUUUCAACCGCAGGAUGGUCAACCGGACAUCAAGUCUGACAUGAAUUGUAGUCCAUGCACUAGUUUCAGAAGAGAAAGUUUCUAUGCGAAUUUUGGUAAACAUUAGUUUCGAUGGGAAUUUUGGUGAGCUUGCCAUGUAUCCCACCACGAACUAUCGUACAGAAAAUCAGAUCAUUGCCAGGGCGGCCAAGGUCAUCUGCCCUGCAUGAAAAUCCUAGAACCAACUUUCUGCAGCAAUAUUGAGGUCUCUGAAGGGCUAGGCUCUGUUUUGCUGCUGGAUUAUUCUAUGCAUUUUUUUCCAUUAAAAUUCUCUGCUUUCUACAAUACUGCACAGUUUAUGUUGCGUUACUGGAUGAAAUUCUUCCUCAUCUGUGGACUUCAAAGGAGAAUCUAGCAGACUCAUCCAAACUAGUUCCAUCUACUGAUCUCCUUGAACCAAACUUCUCACUUGAACUAAGCAUAUAAAUCUCCGGCUUACUUAAUUGUGUAAUAUUCUGACAAAAAAAAAUCCUACCAUCCUUGGGGAGGAUUUCCAUAUUCGAGAACGACAGGUAGAUACAUCCUUAUACCUGAGAUUCGACACGCACUCGAACCUACAAAGUUCCUUGGAAGGUAACACAUUUAUGAUAAUGUCUCCAGGCAGCUUCCUGUUCCUGCAACGUUGCUUCGAUUCUUUAGGCAGCUCCUGCUCAGUAGAAACUUCCAACCUGCUAUCCUCAAAUUUCUGGUGAUAUAAGAAUAUGGAGGAAAUUUUAGCAGGAGGAAACAACUUGCUCAGUAGCACAAACUGUUCAAUGACCAAUAAGCACAAUUCAAUCUCAAAGCAUCAUCUCAAUGGCUCAAGCUGGCUUGGACAAUCCAUCACAACAACUGUUAGAUGAAUUGAUCCUAAAUGAUUCUUUUGAUUCUAGACAAAAAUCUAGAUAAGUUAACCCUCUAAAGUAUCCUAAUUGAUCCUACAUGAUCAUGUACGGUCAUAAUUCAUCCUAAACUGAUUAUGUGCAUUGACAACAAAAAAAUUAAUUUUCCAAAAGAGCUGGCCAGAAACUAAUGUUUAGUGGAACUACUAAUCCCAGGAAUUCGGGAACGAUAUCUCAAGCCUUACUAAAUUACAUAGCAGUAAAAGAAACAGAAACGAGAAGCCAAGAAUUAAACAACUAAGAAGCAAGCCAUUCCUCUCAAACUUACAGAGAACCAAUAAAUAAAUAACUAGAAACAGGAAAAUACGCGGGAAGCCAGCAAGCUUUUUUUCUUAAUACAACAUUUCUUAUAAUUGGUCCUAUACUAGGAGGAACAGGAAGAGGGAUGAAGAUUGAUCCAACUAAACUAUUGAAAAUUCGAAGAGAACUAAAUUAGCUCUGAAAAUGUUCUACAAAAUCUUUGAUGGAAAAUGUGGGUAAGGGAUUUCGAACCCCUUACUUGUGCCCAAGGAGCCAAUUACUAAGGCCGGCGAGCUGAAAGCAAACAUAUCAUCUCAUUUUUUUUUGUUUUGGGGGGCGGGAAGGGGGAGGGGGUCAUAGUAGUAAUCGCCGAGAAGAAACAUGCCUUGCCGGCUUGGACUCAUCGAAAAUUUUACGAUCAUCAUGAUGAUAAAUUUUCUGCUUGCCAAAAACAAGUGGUCCUUCUUGUUCUUUAGCAUUGUUCUUGGAUCAAACUAUCAACCGUUCUCUCUUUUCUUAUUAGCCUUGAAAUAUUCAAAUUAGUUAAUGUCAGCAUAUAUUUUGUCAACUACUUCUUGUAUUUUCUUUGAGCAAGAAUUAUUAAACAACUUCCUUUUAAAAUGUCACAGCCUCAACCUAGGAUUGCAAAUGAGUUGAGUCGAAUUGAAUUUUGACCUAAUCGAGUCGAGUCUUGAUGUAAUUGUAUUGAACUCGAGCUCGACGAGUUGACAAUUCUGAUGCUCGAGCUUGAAAAAAUAAAAGUAAUUAUUUUAUUUUUUAAAAAAUAAAUAAAAUAAUAUUUUUUUAAUAAAUAAUAAAAUAUUAAGGAUAUAUAUGUAAUUUUACUAUUAAAAUUAAAAAAAUAUAUAAAUAUAUUUAAACUCGCGAGUCGGCUCGCAAAUUAACGAGUUUAAUCUUUUGAACUCGAGUUCGGACUCAAAUUUGACUCGGCUAGCUCGAUUGAGCUCGAGUCGAGAUUGAAUCAAGCUCGCGAGCGGUUCGAUUCGUUUGGACCGCCUAGACUCAACUAGUUAUUCACUUAAAAGUAUUAUACUUAUUUAUACUAUGUUAGGAUUAAAAGUGUUAGGCCUGUUUUCUUAGAUAUGGAUUUGAAGAGGGGGAAUUUUUCCAAGGUAAUUAUGUACAGUUUUCGUCCUAUAUUUCUGUUGGGUGGGAAUAGAAGUCUGUAUGUUGGAACGAAAUCAACGUACAUUUGCGUAAUUGACCUGACAAUUUAGAUUGCAUUGUUGUUUCCUAUGAGAAGAAAAAGUCUAUUUUGAAGCAAUCAAAAUUAGGAAUUAAGACUAGACUAGAAAAUGGACCCUUUGUUUGCUGCGUCAGACGACUCGUCCCUAUUGGUUCCUUUCUUUGCAAAGCGAAAGCGAAACUAAAGAAGAGUUGGACCUUUAACGUCUCUCUCGUUCUUUUAUCGAAUUACCAAAAAUCACUUCUACCCAAAGAGGAGGAGAAGAAGAAGAAGAAGAAGAAAAAACAUAUAUCAAUUCUAUUACGAGCCACAUUCGUAUAUAACAGAUUUUUUUUUUUUUUUUUUGAAAAAAAAAAAUUGCUAACAAGAAAAAAAACGAGAUUUAAAAACAAAGGACAAAAAAAAAAAAAAAAAAUUAGAACACACAACUUAGAGGUGUUGAACCCUCAACCUUAGCCAAAAUUCGUAAUAGAUUUAGAUUACUUGGUUAUAACCUUCGCUAAAUAAGUUUUUAAACUUUCCGGCACCCGAUCAUGUUUUUCCUAAGUUCAAAAUAAUUGAAAAUUAAGAAAAUACUCGUUACGUGUAAAUUAAUUAAUGCAUGGAUAAAUCUUGACACAUAGACAUAGCCACCACAAUUAAACAGUUUAAAUCCUUGUCCACAGUUAUAUUUACCAACUUUGAUUUGUAAUUGUGUGUUAAAAGUUUAGAUGAUUGAGAAAUUAGAGUAAACAUGAACCACGUUUAAAUUGUAAAUUAAUUGAUAUUUUGUUCAUCCAGCACAUAUAUAUAUAUAUAUAUAUAUAUAUAUAUAUAUUUUUUUUUUCUGGUCUUCCUCCAGAAAAGAAGCUUGGCCCCUCUCCAAAGUCUACAUAUGUUCUAAGAUCGAUCAUCGCAUCGUACAAGCAAACUUCUGAUGACGUAAAUAUCAACUAAUUUGGUCAACAAACUAAUCAAUUUCACAACUAAGUUUCACAGAAUUUUAGUCCUAAACAACAACAAAUCAUAGAAUAAAGUGGAUCCACUUUCCUGUCCACCUAAAAAACAAUCAUGGUCCAAGGCUUAAUUAGUCUACUACCAUCAAAAUUCAGACCAUGAGAGGAAAGGAAAAAAAAAAAAAAACAGCCGGUGGUUCACCCACCAGAACAGUUUUACACCCUCGAUCAAAUUAAGUCCGAAUCGGAAACUGAAAAGACUCACAUCCACACGGAAGAAUCUUCCUAAACUUUCUCCAAGUUAUUACUUAUGCAAUGAUCUUGUCUUCGAGCUAUAUAUGCUCUCCCUCGAUACGGACCAAAAAUAAGUGGUAUUUGCAUAGUAAUAUUCAAAACCAGGCCAUGGUCUCUUCCUUUGGAAUAGUAAACAAAGUUUGUUUGGUAGACGGUAAUUAAAUUGUUUCUUCAUAGUACUGUUAAUAAAGCCUCCCCAAUCUCUCCCCCCCACGAAAUCAAAAGGGCUGCCACCUCCGACCUCCAAAUAAGUAAUCAUCAUGUUGCCGUUUUUCAGUUAUUAUUAUGAAAAAAAAACAUUUGUGUUCUUCUCCUUGUUCGCCCUCCUCCUUUUUGUCCCGUGUCUUCCCGCCAGAAAGCUUAUUGACCCUUCAACUGAAUUAACUGCCGAUGUCCGGACCAACAGCAACGCCACGUGGCACAGCUUCACGAGAUUCCUGGACGCCGAGAAGGGCAGCCAACUCAGGGGCAUGUCGGAGCUCAAGAAGUACUUCCAACGUUUCGGCUACCUAUCAAUCCCAAACCAAAACCUCACGGAUUCUUUCGACGAAGACUUAGAAUCGGCCGUGCUCCAGUAUCAGAAAAACCUUGGAUUACCCGCGACUGGAAGGCUCGACUCUGAUACCAUGAAAGUAAUUACGUCGCCCAGGUGCGGCGUUAGCGACGAAAAAAGUCGCGCGGCCCAGAAGUUGCAUGCGAAAAUUCACUAUGCAUAUUUUGACGGUGAGCCCAGGUGGGAUAGAUCAUCUCCCAUGAUUUUGACAUAUGCUUUCUCGCCGGAUCAUACCAUAGACUAUAUAAGUUCGGCUGAUAUAAGAGCUGUUUUUGAACGCUCUUUCGCCCGGUGGUCGUCGGUGAUUCCGGUGAACUUCACAGAGGUGGACGACUAUUAUUCAGCCAACAUAAAAAUCGGGUGGUACCGGGGGGAUCACGGGGACGGACAGCCGUUUGACGGGGUGUUGGGAGUGCUAGCACACGCUUUCUCGCCGGAAAAUGGAAGGCUCCACCUGGACGGUGCUGAAGCGUGGGCCGUCGAUUUCAAAGAACAGAAGUCAAAGGUGGCGGUUGAUUUGGAAUCAGUGGCGACCCAUGAGAUCGGGCACAUACUUGGGUUGGCUCACUCGGCGGUUAAGGACGCAGUCAUGUACCCAAGUUUGAGUCCUAGGACUAAGAAAGUGGACCUAAGAGUUGAUGACGUGGAAGGGAUCCAGGCCUUAUACGGGUCAAACCCAAAUUUCAAGUACAGUUCUUUAUAUGAAUCGGAUAUUUCCUCAAGUCGGAGCAUUUACAUGGAAAGAAGAAGAUUUUCCAAGUGGACCACUGUAUUUUUGGUCAUGGUGGUUUUCAUUUUUUCGUUGUGAUUAUGAUUGCAUAGGUUUUUCCUUUUUGGCCCUUUUUGCUUUUUCUUUAUCUGAUACUUAUAGGUUUUAUUUGAUGUUGAAAUUUUUUAGAAAAAAAAUUGUUUACACUGAAAAGGAAGUAAAGAACAUUCUUUUGCAUCGUGGGAUGUCAUCUUUCAAAAGAAUCAUUCUUGUGUUCUUAGACCAAAUUGGAAGACAAUGCCGUGAAAACAUGAAAGAGAAGGCUGAUUAUUUACCUUUGUAAAAGCAAGGAACUUUUUGGAGGCUCGGAAACAGGGUAUAAGAAAGAAAGGAACUUGGAAGAUGGAUACAAAUGCUAAGGCUAUGCAAAGAUCUCUUUUGCUUGACGUAGGACUCUAGAAGUGUGUGUUCCGGAGAUAAAGAAAGGCAGAAAGCUAUAACUCACUGACUAGUCCAUUCAUGUUAUAUUAAUGCAUGCGGGUAAUGUUAUAUAAUUAUAAGAGUAUUAAUUUAUAUUAUUUGUAAGGAUAAAUUGAUUUAAAAGUUCAUCAUCUUAUGUCUUAGUCAUUUUAAGAUGACUAAUACCACCUUUUCAUGAAAUUAUUAUAUCGCAUGAAUUGAGAAUUAAUUCAAUUAGUUGAAAUAUGUAAUCUCGUGUAUAAAAUACAAUUAAAUAUGAGAUGAUAUAAAAUAAUUAAUCCAAUCAUGCGUCAUCAAUGAACUAAUCAAACUUAAAUAGGGAUUGAUAAAAUGAUCCAGCAAGCACCGUCUUUGGAUUGUGGUUGCCACCUUCGAUUGGGUUCUUUUGAAUGGAUUUUUCCGUUGAAUUCUUCUUCUUUUAGAUUAGGUUAGAAUAAGUUAUACAAUUGUUGUUGUUACUAAAAAAAAAAAAAAAAAGGUACCGUCUUGGAUUGUGAUUUGAGUUAUGGACUUUAUAGUCCUUGUGAUUUGGGUUGGACGGACAGCUUCGCUUAUGGUCCUUGUCCAACAGCUACGUGUCAUUUUUGAGGGUUUGUUUUGUUUUGGUUUUCUGUUUUUCUUUUUCCUUCUUCUUCCCCCGUUUGAAACUUAAAAAAUAAAAAUAAAAAUCUUUCCCGUUUGAAACUUACUUUUGAUUUUGAGGCCUGAAGCAUGAAUAUGUACAUAUCUCUAAGAUACAUAACCUCCAAAAAUUAUGUACCAAAAUGUUGUAUGGAGAAAAAUUUUUAGUAUAACGGAUAAUAAAAAAUAGUUUACUUGGAAGGUCACAUGCCAAAAUUUGGGUGCCCCGUGUGGCCGUGCCACGUGGUACACGUAUCUAUGACCCACAAAGGUAAUCAGGCGUUUUGGCACGAGUCAGAUAAGGAUUGGAGAAGUACCUGCAUUUGUCCAAGAUUAUGGGAUGUCAUCUACCCCAUCUUUGCUAUUAGGGGUCCAAGAUCAUUUCGUGGUUAUCUUGUUCAAAUAUCGAUUCAGAAUCAGUAGUUGCUCUGUUUAAGGGUAAUAAUAUCUAUAUCCAUUCGAUCUAACAAAAAGAAAAGAAAAUAAAAGAAAAAUAAUUAAAUUUAUAUACACUGAAAGUGUACAGAAUUAUAAACUCACAAUGUACGUACUAUUACUGUUGAAUGAUUGAUAACUGAUCUAAAUUUUAAAUUAAAAUUCAAUUUUUUUCUUGUUGUUAAGGAUCCAAUUGUGAUAGUGUAUGCAUUGUUAAUGUAUAUAAGAUUAAUUCAAAGAAAAAAAAAGGUAUUGAUGGUUGAAGUUAUCCUAAACUCCAAAUUCCUAAUAAAUUCGUUUUUGCAUUUUUUUCUAAGUAAUUUUAGAAUAGAAAAGUACGAAGUAGAGGAUAAAUUUUGUGACAAAUACAUUGAGACAAAUAUCAUGCCCACAAAUAUUUGUCUCAAUGUAUGUGGGCAUAAUUGCUUUUGCUAACCAUUGUUUAAAAGAAAAUUUUUUUAAGUGUGAAUGAGAGAGUUCGAAUUCGGAACUUUUCACAUACACUCCUUCCUCAUAAAUCACCCAACACAUUCCUCCUCCAUUAUUUUGAGUUUGCUAUAUAUGGCUUCUUGCUUUUAUCAAUUGCAUUAAUUUUACCAUUUUGGGUUUCAAUUGUAACUUGUAAUCUUGUACUACUAUUAUAAACCAAGGGGAAAAAAAAAAUCCCAUGCCAUUGGGGAGGAAGCUGGGGAAGCCUGAGCACAAUUUUAACAAACAUGAGGGACAGUUACAAAUAUUUGCACUUUCUACGGGGCCAUUCACGAAAAAACUUAAACCCUAAACCCUCGCAAAAAUCUACAAAGGGGAAAAUGUAAACUACAAACUCUAUAAGCCCUCUUCCUCAGCUCGCUCAUAUUUUUGGCAGCGCAUCACUUCAGAUCUCACUCCAUUUCCUAAUGGCAUCGAAGUGCAGCAGCAGAAUUAUGAAUAGGGCUACAAUUUCAUCCCUCAAAUCCUCCUUCAAUAAAUCAGCUUCCUCUUCUUCUUCUCUGGUUAACAGAUCCAUUCCGACGUCGUUUCCAAAAUCCACUAACGCCACCACGUCAUUCCUCCGCCGUUUCUCCCUCGCCAGGUUGCUUUUAUUUGUUCAGAUUAUUUUACCAUUUCUUUGCAUCUUAUUUAAGAUAUUUUCCUUCUUUUUUUUUUUAAGAAAACUGUUUUUAAAAUUUUUGAAAUGAAAUCAAUAGGGCUCCGUCGGAAUUGGGAGCGGUGCAGUCGAUGCUACCGCUGCACAGCGCGGUUGCGACGGCGAGGAUGACGUCGUGCCUGAGUUCAACAUCCAGGAGUUGCAGGGCUCUUUCACAGGGUACACUCUGCUGCACUUCUCCAGAGCUCUAGUAUUCUCUUCCCUUGUAUGUUAUUAUUAUUAUUAUUAUUAUUCUUGAAGUUCCGCAAUGAUUCCUGUAAUUCAAUUUUAAUUAAUUCGAUGACAUGCUAGUACUAUUUGGCUUGUUUCUUUCUUUAGUCCUUUUUGGCGUGGUUAUUUGAUGCUGAAUGGUGAAGAGUGAAUAUUUUCUGUAACGUUUCAUUUGCUUUCCUCUGAAUGAACAUUGGGAAUUCAGGACUAAUUAAACUACAGCAACCAUUUGAACAUGUUCCCUAUUUUUUUAGGUAUUUUUAAUGCUUUGGUUUACCAGAGUCAAAAGGCAUUGCUCGGUAUAGCAUUUUCAUUUAAUAUGAAGUUCUCAUUUUGUUGUUGCCUUUGUUUGAAUCAGAGGGAUUGGGUUCUAUUUGUGAUAGGAUUAUCAGUCGCUGAAUGUUUUACAUGAACCAAAGGUUACCCUUUUGCACAAUUUGUUGGAUGUCACGUGAGCAUUGCAAUGUUUUUCUGCAUGAUCACAGAUUCAGUAAUUGUAGACAUUCGGAGGGGAGGGGUCCAAGGACUCCUAAUGGUGGCUUAGUGCUGAUCUCAUAUGAGGAUACGUGUAAAUUAAGUUUCCUUGAUAGGACAUGGCAAUCCAUGGCUCUUUGUUUGAUAGAACAGAUAAUGAAACCAGGAAAGUGGUUGUCCUUGUUUAAUCUUUCUUCUUUGAUCUCUAAUUUUUCAUUGUUUGAAUGACUUUAGCAAGUACCAUCUUGUUGAUGAACCCUCCAACUUUAAUUAAUUUUUCUUGAUAGGACAUGUGAAUUUAUGGCUUCUUGUUUGGUAGAACAGAGGAAGAUGGUCAUCCUUGUUUUCUCUUUAUUCUUUGAUAUUCAACUUAUGAUUGUUCUGAUGACAUUAAUAUGUUCUUGAUAGAUGGAUCCUUCAACUCAACUGUUAAGGUUUACCCGGAGCCAGUUAAAUAUAUCAUAAUGCAUGCAGUAUCAUUACAUGUAUUCUUUGUUUUUGUAUGUGUGCUUUACGUUAAUGUAGAAGCUGAUGAAGUCCACUGCUAGGCUUCCACUUAAACAUAUGAUGUACUUGUCUGCAUGUGUAUGCAUAGGAAUUGAAUGUUCUAUGGGAUAAUGUAUCUUGCUCAAUAGUGGAGGCAUUCUUGCACAACUGUGGUUACAUGUUAGAAAAAGAGGCUGUUCUUUUGGAUACUAUUGCCUGAAUGAACCUUCUUACUCGCUUUUGUUGUUCAAGCUUUGCUUUUGAGCGAUUAUUUCAGAAAUUAUCAUAAAUUAAGAUUUGAGUUGAAAUUUAAUGUGUUCUACUCCCAAAAGAUACCAAGGUCAACUAGUUAUUUUGCUUCUCCAGUCUUAAACAUCUUUGUAUUUCAACACAAACCAUGCUAGGAACAAAUUGACCAUUUCUUUUUGGGGCGGAAGGCAUUUAUCCGCUAUCUGACCUGGACUAUUUGGUUCCUGCAGGCACAUGAGUUUCCAAAAGCUUGAAAGAAUUAUACUGCCAUUUUACAAGGUCUUCCCAUUAUGACUCAGUGCAUUACAUUCAGUUAUGGACAUUUGGUUAACAAUCUUAAGGAAUUUAGUUACAUGUUUGAUGGAUAUAAAAGACCAUAAAUCUCAAUUUGCUCUUGUAUAUGGGAUACAGUGAAAUUUGUACUUUUUAGCUCAAGUACUUAGUCAUCCUUUAUGUGUAUGAUUUGGAAUUUGCAGAGUCUCUUUUCCUAUCCUCUGUGGUUGUGAGGUCAGAGAGGUGCCUUAUGGAAAAGGGGGGGGGGGUUGUAUUGGCGACUUUUUUCUGUUCUCAUUCAAUAGUUGACUUUCCUGAAUUGUAUGUGUUCGGUGAUCUCUUCGUUAUUGUUCAUCUUUUGUGGUCUCUGUGUUGGCGUGCCUAUGUGCCACCUCACUAAACUCACAUGAGAAUUGAGGUUUGGAAAAUUUUGUGGAAUUUCAUUAGUAUGGGCAGUUUUUUACUUUUAGGUAAAGGAAGCCCCAGUUAGCCGAUGUAAGAACACCUCUAUUACUUGAAAUCAGGAAGCUUUGAUUUGUUAAAUCCCUGACAACUUCAUAUCUGCUAAAUUGCUGCAUCAAAUAGUAAAACCAUCUGUUCUGUUUAAAAAGCCACACCCACUCAAAAGACUUUUCAUAUCUAUUCUUGUUCUGGCUCUUGCCUCCAAUUUGAUGAAUUACUAGUGUCUCAACAUUAGAGUGAGAAUAUAAAAUCGACUACAUGGUUUUAUUUUGAGGGCGGGAUACAGUGUUCCACAACCAACCUAUUGCUAUGUAAACUACAAUGGUUUGCUACCUGGCUUAUCUUUCUAUGAAAUUGGAUGAAAAUUUGUGGGGAAAACCCUUUCCACUAAAGAUUUGAACAAUCCUGUGUGGUCGAAUGGCUAGUUUUUAAGAUUUCAAAUUACUUUGGCUCCUGAUAAUGGGUGAAGUCUUUUUUUAUCUCCAUAUAAAGGUUUAGAAACCAGUAUGUUCUUCGUACAACGAUUGUGCUUUGGUUUGAUUGCAAUGUUAUGGUAAUGACAAUUCUCCUUUUCCCAGAUGAAUAUGAUGGAACGUGAUACAUUUUUGCUGUUUUUGGAGGUGGGCUCCAUCACCUGCUCAAGUGAAUCUAGUUGCAAGGAACUUUUCUUUGUUUAUAACAUGUCUUAAGAUACUUUUUGUGGACGUUUUAGCUAGAAAUGAACUCGGUCUAGCUGUCUGUACAGUCACUUGCAAACUAAAGCUGUGGUAGAAUAUGUUUUCCCAAAAUACUUUUGGGAGAUGAUAGUAAAAACGAGCUGAUAAGCAAUUUGAUGAGAAUGUGCCGAGGUAGGACUAGGGAGCUGCUAGACGAAUAGUACCAAAACAAGGAGGAUUUUCUGAGCGGAGAUGAUUAUUUGUAUAAUUUGGCAACAAGUUAUUUAACAGUCAUUUUCUGAAAUAUCUGUUGAUGAGAAAAGUCUUCUUUGUUUUAUUUUGACAUGGUUUGAUUGUAAUUCUGAUACGAGUUCUUUUUUGUUUGUUGAAUUAGAGCUGGGUCAGUCAGUUCCAAGGUGACUUCAAUAGGUGAACAUGAAGUGCUAUGCCUUCUUGUGAAUGGAUUACCAGGGUAUUUGCAUAUAUUCUAUGCAAACAUUUAGUUGAUCAUAAAGUAAAGUUGCACUUUGCAAAGCAGCAAAUUCAGCUAUUAUUGUACCCCACACGAGAUAUGUUGAUCCAUUAAAUGUUUGGCACAGCCUUUGAGUUUUGGUUGGAUUACUGGACUAGGAUUUAAAUUGGAUUGUGACGUGGUUGUUUUUUCAUAUCUCAACUAUGGCAAUACAUCAAUGCCUGAAGGUAUCAUUCCAUUUCUCAAAUUGCCAAGAAAUAGAGAUGUAUCAAUUGAUAUUGUAAAUCUUUACGCUUUUUAUGUGUUUCUUGGUUCGUUUAUAGUACAAAGUUUCCAAUGUUUCAUACACCACCUCCCAUUUGAGGGCAUUUGAGGGCUGCAAACGAGUUGAGUUUUAACUUAUUCAAUUGAAGCUUGACUGAGUUUUAAUAAGUUCAAAUUUAAGCUCCAACAUGACGAGUUCUCAGUAUAAUACUUGAACUUGAGUUUAACCCUAAGUUUGAGCCUAGUCUAGCUCAAAAAAAAAGGAAAAAUAAUUAUUAUGUUUAUUAAAAUGGAUAAUAUGGGCACUUCAUGUUAAUAAAUAAUAAAAAACUUAGAGAUAUACAUGUAAUUAUAUUAGUAAAAAUAAAAAAUAUUAAAAAAAAUAUAUAUAUAUAUAUAUAUUUGAUACUCGGCUCGACCUUGACAGCUUGAGCUCAAGUUGACACCAAACUAGAGUCUAGUUUUGAUUUAUUUUUUUUUUUGCUGACGGAGUGGGUGUCUGGCCCGACUAAUCCCACCCCACUCCGGCCCGGGAGAGGAGGCCUCACUCCACUCUGAGCACGGUAGCAAGGGGGUUCGAAUUCUGAUUGCCCAGGUAAGUCUACCAUACCCUAAAGAGGGGAAGCUGACCGCUCCAGCAAGGGGGUUCGAACUCUGAUUGCCCAGGUAAGUCUACCAUAUCCUAAAGAGGGGAAGCUGACCGCUCCAGCUAACCCCUGGAGGCACCGUCUAGUUUUGAUUGAUCUGACUCAAUUUGUUUGCAGCCUCGUCUCCAAAACACAAUUUUAAUGCGUAGGCCCCAUAUAUGGGAGCAAAGCAUGAAUACAAGCGACAACUGAGCGAUGGCAUCCUAGUUUUGGUUGCAGUCGAUGUAUUUCGUGUUGCAACCAAGUAUCAUACGAAUCUAAAGUUGUACAUCUGAUUUAAACCAUGGAUGCAAUAAUAAACGAGUGUUUCAUUCUUCCUUCAAGAUGUUAACGAACGUUAGACUCGGCUAGCCUUAGAUGGUAGACACGUCCUCUAUUUUCUUCACAAUAUGGAUGAAGUUGGAAAUGUAUUUUCCAAUUCAAUCCAGCUAUGGCCAAUCUCUUUUCUCACCUCUUUCUCCUUCAUCAUUGUCCUAAUCUGAAUAACAUCUCUCCAUUUCUCAUGACGAGCGUAAACAUUAGACAUCAGUACAUAAACAUAUUCACUAUCACCUUCAAGUUGCAUCACCUUUUCCGCUGCCACUUUGGCCAUUUUUACAUUCCCGCAAGUAACACAAGCAGCAAGCAAUGCUCUCCAAACUGCUCCAUUCGACUCAAAUCCCAGCUGAUGUAUCAUCUUCUCUGCCUGAUACACCUUUCCUUCUUGGCCCAUGAUCCUGAUCAUGGAAGAGCAAUGCUCAGCAGUGGGAUUAAUCCUGUACUCGUUCACCAUCAAUUCAAAAUAUCGAUUUGCAGCAUCCAAAGGCAUUCUGUUAUGCCAACAUGCAGACAAAACAUUGAGGAAAGUAAUUCUAUCUGGCUGUAAAUUUUUCACAAGCAUCAACCUCUCAAAAAGACGUAACACCUUGCUGGAAUCACCAUUGUGAGCAUAUCCAGAUAUCAUCGUGUUCCAAGUUAUCAGAUUCUUCUUCUGUAGCCAGUGGAAUACCAUUUCAGCUUCAGUUAUUCUCCCGCAUUUUGAAUACAUGUCAAUAAGAGCACUUCCAAUGACCACUGAUCCAUCUAAACCAGAUUUUACUGUACAACAGUGGAUCAACAUCCCCCAGGUGACUGCUGAUAAACCUGCAAUCCCACUCAAUAUACUUGAAUAUGUGAACUGAUCCUUUUGAACACCACUAAAGUGCAUCUUGCUGAAAAAUUCCAAAGCAUCCCUUGCUCUAUAACGGUUUACAUAGCUCGUUAUCACAGAAUUCCAUGAAGAUGAAUUUGGGUUCGGCAUUCUGGAUAAAAGGUCAAUAGCAUCUUCUAUAUUACCAAACUGUGCAAUGCCGCUGAUCACCUCAUUAUAAGAGAUUGUGUCGGGAUCAUUCAUUUGAUGCAAAAAGCUUAACGCUUGCUCAAGCCUUCCAUUUCUAGCAUUAGCUGCUAUAACUGAAUUCCAAGAAAUGGAAUCCCUAUCAAUCAUCUCAUCAAACACCCUCAUAGACUCUUCAACAGCUCCACAUUUGCCAUACAUGUCAAUUAAACAGUUCCCUACGAUAACACUGUAUUCAACACCAAGUUUCACAAUCUUGGAAUGUAUUAGUUUUCCAAACUGCAAUAAAGCCAGCUGCCCACAUGCGGACAAAGCAGCUGUGCAUGUAUAUGAAUCUGCAGAAAUACCAGAUUUUUCUAGCUGGAGAAACAAGGUGAGGGAUUUCCUGAAUUGCCCAGAACGAACAUACCCAGAAAUUAAAGAAUUCCAACCAACUAAAUUUGGUUCAGGAAUUUCAGCGAACAGGUUCCGCGCUUCAUAAAUUAGCUCAAAUUUUACGUAGAAAUUGAUCAAAGCGGUGGAAACAAAGACAUUGGAAUCAUGCCCAGAUUGUAUAAUUUGGCAGUGAAGCUGUUGGCCGAGUGAAAACCAGCCACAUUUGGUACAUGUACGGAUCAAGUGGACUAAAGCAUAGUCAUUUGGCUUGGAGCCGGAGUUCAUCAUCAGACAGGCACUCAGCAAGGCGAUGUCAGAAAAAAGCCCACCUUGAGCCAGGGCUGAAAUGGUAUUGGCCCAUGACACAGGGUCACUUUCUUGAACGGGAUCAAUCGUGGUGCUAAUUUGCUUUAACAAGAAAUGAUUCGGCUUUCUUUGAUAGAAAAAAAGCGGGCUUUUCCUUAGUUGGAGAAUGAAUCUUAGCAUAAUUUUCCCUAGCACAACGUCAUCUCAAUAUGCAUGACUACAAUACUAAACUCUCGGGCUUUUCUUUAGUUUGAGAAUAAAUCUUAGCAUAAUUUCCCUAACACAACAUUAUUAUGUCUUUUGUAAAGAAAUAAAUAGGAAAAACAGCAUCUGAAGGCUAAUUUGAGUAGGUUGUUCAAGUAUACCAGACAAGCAAUAUAUUUCAAUAGAAACUUUAACAGCUCGAAUCGAUGAAGUAAAAAUCUUUGGUCAUCUUCUAGAAGUUGGAUUAUUGAAUGAAAUGAUGCUAACAACGUAUACAUCCCUAUGUUUACCAAACUAUACAUUCUUUUUUAUGACUGGUUAAUUUAGCAGAAGAAUAAUUUGCACGGGGACUAAACUAUCUCAUUCUCAUGUACCCCACCCAUUAAAAUUUACAAUGACUUCAAGAAUUUGUCACCCUUUUUAACUGAAAAUUUACCUGAGAAGUAACUUUUUGCUUGCGUUGCAAUACUUCCAUUAUUGGAAAGCUACAAGGAGGUAUAGCUAAGUAUUUCUUGAGUUUUAGACCUUUAAAGGUAAAGGAGCAAGAACUUAGCAAGAUGGAAAUGUUGUUCUUUGUCCUAUGCUAGCUUAGGAUCUCGGAAUAAGAAAGUUUACUUUAUUAUUGAGAGGCUUCUUGCGUUUUUGUUAUAUCCAUCAUAAGCUCUCUCCUGUUAUUGUCAAACACAAUAACUAAACGUUGCUAAACAACUUAAACCUACAUGACAUGAUGGUAACUAUUUUGUCGAACAAUUUUUUAUCCAGAUGAUCACUUAUGGUGCUUGUAGCACUUUGUACAUGCAAAUAAGCUUUUUAUGAAAUAGCGUGGAUGAUAUUUUCAUGACUUUUAUCAGACAAGGAUGAAGGAACUAAUUAAGGACACCGGUUUCUGACGAGUUUAAGAGGAUAUUCAGAUGCGCAUGAUACAAAAAGCAAAUUUUUCGUUAACUUCACCUCAGAUUCAGAAUUUGUACAAAUGAAUGAGGUAAGGGGCAAUCAAAAUUGCUGAAAGCUGAAUCCUAUGCUUUAAGUUUCAAGAAAAUGUUUUGAUCAUGAAACUCAAUCUAAACAGGUGUGUCAUUAGGAGUAUAAUCACUUUAAAAGUUGUACAAGGUGGUGGAUCUAAGGACGACAUAUAUGCACGAAGUAUGAGCUACCAAAUGCAAUCUUCCUUGUGUUUUCAAGACGCCAAUUGUGGACCACUGAAGAGGUAGCUCUCGAGGUCAUUUAUUGUCUUUGCAUCAAUUAAUCUUACAUUGUCCUGUAUAGUCUUUGAUUUUGAUGAAAAUAUGAUCGGAGCAUAGAAUAAUGAAUUACAAAAAAAUGAUGUAACAACAACGCUUGGGCACAUGGGUGCCAAAAUCACAUCCAGAAAGCGGUAUGAGAACUUGAACAUUUUAUCUAUCAUCAAACACAAGGUGGCGAAAGUAGCUUUCAUGGUUCUUGAGGAUGCUCACCCCGGCCACCCUCUACGGCCGAGGUGAUCCCCCCACCUUGUCCUUCUAAUGAGCUCGGCGGGUCCCAGGUCUACUGCUUAGGUGACCUCCACCUCUCAGGCUUCCACCUCGGCUGCACGCUGAUGAUGUUAACCUACCUGACAUCCUCCAGGGCCAGUGCUUUAUCUGAAAAGCACCUGGGAGACUUAAUGACCACUGCGUAAAGCUCCUCUUCUCCCUGCCCAGGCGGCUACAGUGUCAGUGUCAGGUCUCAUGGCAGGGAACAGAGCCGUAAUACCAGGACGUGGGUCCCACCAGCAUGCGCUCUCCGGCCUACCUUUCACUCUCACUCUAUAAAUACCCCUCACCUACUCUCAAUAAGUAGGCAUACUGUUCACUCACUCAUACUCUUAUUCUUCUCGUUCUCAUACUAACUUGAUCGUCGGAGUGAUCCCAGGGGAAGAGCCCCGCCUUCCACUUCGGACUAGUAGCCUCACUUUACCUGAGGAGAUACAAUCGAGUUCACCUCACCACAUUUACGAGAGGGCUGAUUUCGGUUGGACUAAUUACCCGCCAAAAAUCACCUCUUCAAUUGGCGCCGUCUGUGGGAACAAGACUAUUGCUAAAAUGAGAUCCACGCGCUCCAGAAGCGGAAGAGUUCCCUCGACCGGGGCUGGGCAGACCUCGGGAGCCCAGCAAGAUCGCAUUUCUGAAGAGCAAGGGUCCCAAAGGACCCAGCCCAACAACGAAAACGCCAUCGCCAAGAUGGCCGAGUUCUUAACGGACAACCCCAACAUUUUUGAGGAGCUAGGAAGGUACCUCAAGAGGCAAGGGAAAGAAAAAGCCGAGUCUUCCAAGAGGAGAUCGACGAAGUCCCCUGAAGCACCUUCAGGUGAGGACUCCGAUGAGGGGUGUCUCUCUCGGAGUACCUCCAGGCGCGCCUCCUCCAAGAUAACCUCCAAAAUUGCCUCCAUCUCCCGGGCGUUUUCCCGGGGACUGCUAGGGAAACGGGCCGAGGACCCACCUCGGCGCCCCGGGAGCCUAGCUUCUGACUACAUGAGGGCUCCGCCCUUCACUGAUGACAUCAAUGGGGAGAUGGUGCCCCCGAACUUUAAGCUUCCAAACUUGCACACCUAUGACGGCCGAGGUGACCCCGAGGAUCACCUCCGCGCCUUCAUCUCCGCAUUCCGACUCUAUUGCGUCCCCGACGCUGUGAUCUGUUGGGCUUUCCCCAUCUUCCUACAUGGGACUGCCCGAAAGUGGUUCUGGAGUUUAGAACCAAGGAGUAUUUUCUCCCUGGAUGAGCUAAUAGACCGGUUCAUCCACCGCUUUGUGUCGUCCCGACCUAUUACAAAGACUUCAACUUACCUCCUGAAUUUGCAACAGACUCCCGGCGAGUCACUGCGCUCAUAUGCGCAGAGGUUCAAUGAGGAGAACGUACAGAUACCUGAUCAAAAUGAGCAAGUUAUCAUAGCCGCUUUCACCAACGAGCUGAUUGCGGGAAUCUUCAACACCGAAAUAUAUCGAGACUACCCCCGCACACUUCGGGAAUUUUGGGAACGAGUUAACCAAGGAAUCCAAAGUGAGGACGUGAAUCGCAUGAAGCGGGAGGCCCAAGCAGCCCGUACCGGGCAAGAAUCUCGGAGGAGAAAGGACACCGGCUGAGCUGAACAAGGCCCCGGCAGCUCAUCCAGCCAGUUCCGAGACCGCCGAAGCGUCUUUGAUCGGAUCGUGAAGGGGAGGUCGUCCACCUCGGACGCCGAGCUGACACCCCUAAAUUCCAGCCGAUCUCAUGUUUUGGCUGUGAUGAGGCAGAAUCACCUCGGUCGAACUCCUCCUGAGAUCCCAGGAAGAAGGGAUAAGAGGAAUUCCAACCUCUACUGUGCCUACCACCGAGAUGUGGGGCACGAGACCGAAGACUGUAACGACUUGAAGCGAGAAAUUGAAAACCUGAUCCAACAAGGAUACUUAAAGCAAUUCGUCCGCAAAGAUGGGGGUUUCAACCGAAGCGCCUCCCACCGGGAAAGCCGAGGUCCUCGCCGAGAAGCCAGGCCGGACACUAAGCUUCAAUGCCGAGGUCCCAAGGACCGAAAGGGGGAUCAGAGGCCUCCACGCGACGGAUCACCAGGCUACGGUCCAAAUAUUGUCGGGGUGAUCAACACCAUCUCGGGUGACCCCACGGGAGGAGACAGCCAGAACUCCCAAAAAAGGACCUACUGUCAAGCCGGUAUGGAGGUGGUCGAGCAAAGUUCUAGGCUGUCCGAGGAUAUAACCUAUGGUCCCCGUGACCCUGUACCCGCCGCCUCCAGUAAUCACGAGACUCUCGUGAUCGAGGUCCUUACUAAUAAUUAUAUAGUCAAAAAGGUUUAUGUUGACCCUGGAAGCUCGGUAGACGUCCUGUACUACCGAACUUUCGAGAGUUUGAAGCUGACCCGGGAGCAACUCACUCCGGUCAGAACUCCCCUUGUCGGUUUCGCGGGACACGUCGUCCACCCGGAGGGCAUGGUGACCCUGAUGGUAACUAUCGGGCGACAUCCACGCUGCCGAACUGUGCCUGUCAGUUUUGCGAUGGUCAAAGCAGACUCUCCCUACAAUAUGCUGAUAGGCCGGCCCACGCUCAACGCCUUGAGAGCCGUAUAUUCCACCUACCACCUGAGUUUUAAAUUUCCAACACCUGCGGGGGUGGCCGAGGUGAGCAGCGACGUGGGCGCCGCCCGGAAAUGCUACCUCGCCACCAUUUAAGCAGCAGUCAUACUCCGACCCUCGGCUAGGUCAGAAGAAGAGAGGCCAGCGGUCCUCUCCAUAGACUGCAUCGACUCUCAGAAGUCAGGAGAACCCAACAGGCUUGAGCCCAGGGAUGAGGUGGAACAAGUGGUCUUGGAUGAAGCGAAACCUGACCAAGUAGUCCAAGUAGGGGCCGGACUCCCCUCACCCCUUAAAGAAGAAAUGAUCUCCCUGAUCAAGGACCACCGAGACGUCUUCGCGUGGUCCGCAGAUGAAGUGGUCGGAGUGCCACCCGAACUCAUGAUUCACCAACUCAACGUUAACCCACAGGCUCGACCUGUGUGGCAGAAACGAAGGCACUUAGGCCCCGAACGUAGCAAGGCCAUAUCGGAUGAGGUCGACAAACUCUUGUCGGCCAAGAUGAUCCAUGAGGUCCAAUAUCUCACCUGGCUGUUCAACCCAGUCAUGGUCAAAAAGGAUAUCGGUGGUUGGAGAAUGUGUGUGGAUUUCACCGACCUCAACAAGGCCUGCCCCAAAGAUUGCUACCCUCUGCCGAGGAUAGACGCCCUUGUCGACUCGGCAAUGGGAUACGUGAUCCUUUGCUUCCUGGAUGCCUUCAAAGGGUACGAUCAAAUAGGAAUGAGUGAAGAGAAUCAAGAGAAGACGGCGUUCUACACCGACCAAGGUGUUUAUUGUUAUACUACCAUGCCGUUCGGCUUAAAGAACGCCGGAGCGACCUACCAAAGGCUGAUCAACCGACUCUUAAAAAAUCAGAUCGGCCGCAAUGUGGAGGCCUAUGUGGACGACAUUCUCAUCAAAAACCUCACCACUUCAGCCUUUCUGUCGGACGUAAGGGAGGUCUUCGGUGUCCUACGGGACUCAAGGAUGAAUCUCAAUCCCAAGAAGUGCGUCUUCGGCGUCACCUCGAAAAAAUUCUUGGGGUAUCUGGUUUUCCACCGGGGAAUCGAGACCAACCCCGACAAGAUCAAGGCCAUUCAGGACAUGUCCCCACCUCGGAACAUCCGAAAAGUCCAAAGGCUGAAUGGACGCCUGGCCGCGCUGAAUCGCUUCUUGUCCCAGUCUGCUGAGAAAGCUCUGCCCUUCUUUAAGGUGCUGAAAAAGGCUGACCAGUUAACCUGGACUGAGGAGUGCCAAGCUGCCUUCGACAAGCUAAAGCAGUACCUCCAUCACCUACCAACUCUCGCUUCACCUCGGCCCGAGAAGAAACUCUACCUCUACCUCUCCGCAGCCGACGAGGCUGUCAGCGCUGUUCUUAUCCGGGAUGAGGGCACUCAAGUGCCAAUCUACUACUUCAGCCGAGCUCUCCGCGGGCCGGAACUCAAUACACUCAAAUGGAAAAACUGGUGUUGGGACUAGUCCACGCAACUCGGCGAUUGAAGCCCUACUUCCUUGCUCAUCCCAUCUCCGUCAGGACCGACCAGCCCAUUCGGCAAAUAUUGGUGCGACCCGAGGCUUCCGGUCGUCUCACCAAGUGGGCUGUCGAAUUGGGAGAGUAUGACUUGUCAUAUGAGCCCCGCACCGCCAUAAAAGCACAGGUCUUAGCCGACUUCCUUGCCGAACUCACCUUCACGGAAGGUUCGGAGUCCACCUCCACCUUUGCCGAGGUGUCCACCCCAUCCCUGUGGACAUUGUAUGUAGAUGGAUCCUCUAAUGGAGAGGGCAGCGGAGCUGGAUUGCUCCUGGAGGGCCCCUAGGGAGAAGUGUGCUCGUACGCCCUCCGCUUUGGUUUCCCAGCCACCAAUAAUGAAGCCGAGUAUGAGGCUUUAAUUGCUGGACUCCAGCUGGCCCGCAGGCUCGGCGCCCAGCAAAUCCACGUCUGCAGUGACUCCCAACUCGUUGUACGCCAAGUUCUUGGUGAAUACGAGGCCAAGGAUGAGACCAUGCAACAGUACCUCUCCAAAGUUCACCAACUCACCGCAUACUUCGAGUCUUUCGAAAUCCAAAAAAUACCCCGGUCCCAGAAUAAGCGAGCCGACGCCUUAUCCCGGCUGGUUUCCACAUCAUUCUCUGAUCUCAACAAAACAGUUUUAGUGGAAGUACUGACCGAGCCGGGAUACCUGGAAGAAGUGGCCUACCUCGUCCACUCUGGAGAUACCUGAAUGAGCCCGUUCAUCCUUUUCUUAGGUCAGGGAGUCCUCCCCGAAGACCGAGCCGAGGCGAGAAGAAUACAACGCAAAGCUGCUCGGUACGUCCUCCGCGAUGGGGAGUUGUACAAGCGCUCCUACCUUGGCCCGUGGUUGAGGUGCGUUACAUCCGAGGAAGGACGCCAGGUCCUUUACGAGAUCCACGAGGGCCUAUGUGGAGCCCACAUCGGCCACAGGAUGUUAGCCAAGAAGGCUUUGCUUCUUGGAUAUUUCUGACCCUCCGUUCGACAAGAUGCUUAGGACCUCGUUCUCGGUUGCCCUUCCUGCCAAGUCCACGCCCCUGAGCACCACCAGCCCUCAAACUUCAUGGUGCCCGUCACCUCACCCUGGCCGUUUGAGCAAUGGGGGACAGACAUCAUAGAUCCUUUCCCCAAGGCCGUCGGGGGUUAUACCUUUCUGGUAACCGCUGUGGAUUACUUCACCAAGUGGGUUGAGGCUGAGCCUCUAAGGACCAUCACCGGGUUGUGCAAUCUAAUCUUAAGGUAUAUUGUAAACUGAGCUACCGAGAUGGCUCACUAGUGCCGAGGUCUUGGCACGCCGAGAACCUUAAAUUGUAUUAUGCUUGAACUUUUGACCAAGUUAUGAUCUCAGAUGUUUUGUUAUUUUUUAACACUCCGAUGUUACACAUCUGCUAUUAAAAAAUAAGGGGGACAAGCAAGGGACGAAAUCAAGACAAGAAAUUAAAGUGCCGAAAUAAGAAGAAAUAAACAUUUCAUUUAAUGAAAGGACAACACAAAAAAGAAUACAAGACUGAGGUAGGGAGUGCUACUAAGCAUCUCCCACCUCGAAACUCUAUCUAAUUGACUACAAGCCGACCCCUGUCUCGGCUCUCUCCUCCGUCUCGGCUCCCUCCUGGACAGCCUUCUCUCCGGUCUCUUCCCCGCCGGGGUGAGGAUCUCCUCCUCCCUGCUAUUCGCCGACGUCUCCCCCAGCUCCUACUCCAUCGCCCUCCUUGAACACCUGGUCGAGUUCGGACAGCCACUUGUUGAACUCGUCCCGGAUUUCGGACAAGUUCCUUCCAGCUUGGAGGCCCUCGGCCAUCCGAUCGCACAACUCCUUGGAGUCCUCAUUGUAGUUGGCAUUGUCUUUCAGAGACUUCAAGGCUUUAGAGGAGAGGUGAGCUGCGGCCUCCUCCACGGCUGAUGUGAAGCCGAACAUGAAACUCGGCGCGAGUAGUUGGCCGAGAUCCCGGGUGAAGUUCUCGGACCUCCACGGCCGAGGCCCCAGCACUCUCGAGGUCUUGUUCGUGGGACUUUUUCACCUCGUCCCCCCUCUUCUGUUCUUCCUCGAGGGCCGAUGUGAGGUUGUUGAUUGUAGCCACGGCCUCCUCAUCCUUCGUCUCGGCCUCUUUAAGCUGUUUUUGAAGCUCGGCCUUCUCAGACUCGGACACGGCCAGUUUUUUCUCCAACUUGGAGAUCUGCUUUUGUAACUUGCCGGAGUCCUGCGCCUCGACCAGAGCACAGUAUCGGUGUGUCAUCUCGGCCACAAAAGCUGAGUUGGAGGCUGUGGUCACCAUGAGGCUUUGAACCACUUCGGCCGGAGUCAGUUUCUUCAUAUACUCCAAGUCCCUUGGCAAGGUGGACUGCAUCACCAGCAUUUGUGCAACCCGAGGAUGGCUGCACCUGUCGUUGACCGUAAGUGUCCAGUUCGGACACCAGUGCUCGCCGGAGUGCGUUUUCUCCUUCCCAGAAAACACCGGGGGUUAUGGAAACGGUUCCAUAGUGAGGUCCCCGAAACCGGAUUGACUGGGGGCUUUAGCUGCUUACCUUCGCCAUAAGGAGGCGGGAGUGCCCUGACAAUUUCAAGAGGCACUCCCUCUGACACAGGAGAGGUAGACCCAGUAGCCGCGGCAGCCGAGUUGCUUUGGGCUGCCGUGGCGGGAGUGCUCUUGGCCGCCGAAAUCUUGGCGGCCUGCCCUUGUGACUUCUUCUUCGGCGGAGGGGCCGACGUCUCAUCGGAGCUCUUCCUCUUCGAACUUUUGGCCACCUCGGCCGAACCCGAUGUGACGAUAUCGGACAAUUUGACCACUGCACAAGAAACAAACAUUAUUAUUUGUCACAGUCGAAAUGAAAGAAAAGCCGUGAAAAAAAAAUUACAAGGUUUCUUAAGUUUAGUGGAAGUGAAGGGAGUCUUGUCAGGACUGAGCAAAGCUCGACUAAUCCCCCCGUCAACCAGCACGGCUUCGAGGUAGUCCAAACUGUAUAUCCGAAGUCCUGACCCCAUCAGCUUCUGGAAGGCCUCCUCCUCGGCAUCCCCUGCGGAGGGGUCGGCCUUCGCUUUAAUUGGCCUCCACCAAAAACCCCUGGGGAAGUCCACUCCGGAUACAAAGAAGAAGUCGCGCUUCCAAUUCUUGAUCGGGCUGGGAGCACCAAUCACGAAUUUCGGGAUGGCAUUGUUUCGGUUGCAGAUAUAAAACCAUCUCUUGUCCGUCCCAUGCGCCUUGAGAGUGUAGCAUCGGCGGAAGAGAUCCACAGAGGGAGUCACCUCCUGAUGUCGACACAACAUCUCGAAGCCUACGAGGAUGAGGACGGCGUUCGGAGUGAGCUGAGUAAUCCUCACGCGGAAGUGACGAAGUACGUCUCUCAAGAACCUCGACGUCGGCAUUCUCAACCCGGCCUCCAACUGUUGGACGUAAAUGGCCACCAUGCCCAUGGGGGGCUUCUCGGCUGAGUCAUCUGGCCCGGACGGUGUGAUGAUAUACCCCAGCCAGAAAGGGUACUUGCUUAACACCUUUUCGGCCCUAUCUCUUCCUAUGCGACUUCUAAAUUUCGGCAUCUGGCCGAAGUCGAUGUUGGCCGCGUCCCUCGGAGCGACUGGCUCCGGUACGCCCUCGUCAUGGGGUAUCUCGGUCCCGAACUCGGUAUUAUAGACGACCUCGGAACCACCCUCGCUCAUCUCGGAUGACUCCAAUUCCGAGCCUGCCUCGCCGGCUCUCACCUCGGCUGAUCCUUCCGUAGAACUAGGCGAUGAUCCUUCAGAGCUGGACGUAGUCGCUUCUUCCAAAGGAUCCGGCCUCGCCUCGGCCCGGUAGCUCGGUUCCACGGUCUCUUUAUGGGUUUUAGCCGUUUUGGCCAUGAGUGAAAAGAUGAAAUGGAAAAGAAGGAUACUUACUGUUGACUACGGAAUUGAACGAAGAUGAUGACUUCGGCUGUGAUCUCGGCGAGAAAGGCUGACCUCGGCAACACUCACGAAGUUGGCAAGUCCUAGCAAAAGAGGAAAAAGUGUGAGAUGUCCGGUGGAGGGGACCCCCCAUUUAUAGGGGUCUGGGAGAACCCGAGGAGGCGGCAAGAAAGCUAAAAGACGGUCACGUUCAAAGUUCAAAACGUCCCCCCUCUCUCUCUCCUCAUUAAUAUCCCGUCCUUUCAUCUGACACCCUCUCUGCACGAAGCGUCCCACUAUUUCACGACGCGACGGUUCCUCGUAACCGCCCUGCUCAUCACGUCCUAUCAACUAAUUCGCCCACGUGCCACGUCCCCGCGUCUUCCGGAGCAGUUACAGGACCCUGACUGUGAAUGACUUCUGUUCAACAAUGACUUCGACUCAACAACGACUUCUAAUGACUUCGGCUCAAGGAAUCCUCGGUACCUCCCAGGCCCAGAACUUCCGAGGCUUGGGGGGCUUAUUGAGGAUGCUCACCCCGGCCACCCUCUACGGCCGAGGUGAUCCCCCCACCUUGUCCUUCUAAUGAGCUCGACGGGUCCCAGGUCUACUGCUUAGGUGGCCUCCACCUCUCAGGCUUCCACCUCGGCUGCAAGCUGAUGAUGUCAACCUACCUGACAUCCUUCAAGGCCAGUGCUUUAUCUGAAAAGCACCUGGGAGACUUAAUGACCACUGCGUAAAGCUCCUCUUCUCCCUGCCCAGGCGGCUACAGUGUCAGUGUCAGGUCUCAUGGCAGGGAACAGAGCCGUAAUACCAGGACGUGGGUCCCACUAGCAUGCGCUCUCCGGCCUACCUUUCACUUUCACUCUAUAAAUACCCCUCACCUACUCUCAACAAGUAGGCAUACUGUUCACUCACUCAUACUCUUAUUCUUCUCGUUCUCAUACUAACUUGAUCGUUGGAGUGAUCCCAGGGGAAGAGCCCCGCCUCCCACUUCGGACUAGUAGCCUCACUUUACCCGAGGAGAUACAAUCGAGUUCACCUCACCACAUUUACGAGAGGGCUGAUUUCGGUUGGACUAAUUACCCGCCAAAAAUCACCUCUUCAGUUCUCAUAUACGGAAAUUUGACAUUUAGAUAUAUAUAAUUCAUUGCAAUUGUGAUAUACUUAUGUUGUUGAGUGAUUCUGUGAAGGAUGGUGUGAAAUUCUGAAGAGAUAUUUUGUCCUUUGAUUUUGUUUUUGCCUGUGGACAGCAAUUAGGAUGGACUCUUUGCCAGCCAUAACAAAAUCCAAGGGUUGGAUGAGGGCAUAGCUCUUAAAAGAGUAGAGCCAAAGGAAUGCCUCAAAAUCCCAAAGAUACAAAGCAUGCAAAAUUAGUAGUUUGACAAAAGUAUAUCAUCUCCCUAAGUGUAAAUAGAAUAGGAGAUCCCUGCAAGACAAUAUUAUGAUCAAUUGUCACUGUUACAUGUCACAACCCAAUUUGGAAAAAGAAGCAAUAAGUCAAAGUUAUGCAUUGAUUCCUGUUCAAAUUGGGCAAUAAAUCGAAGUUAUAUAUUGAUUCUUUUUCUUGUAAAUGGCUGUGGAAAAACUAAAGCAGCAGAGAUAUCACCUACGAAAUUUACACAAAGAUAGACAGAUUUGGGGGCUACGUGGGAUUUGCAUUAUUUCAAUGUAGUGUUUAAGGGAUGUUACAAGAAUAUCCUCCAGUUGGAAGCUAAUCCAUGAACUGGUCCAGGUGAGCUUCUAAAAAUUUGGACUAAAUUGAAUUAUCAAGCUGGUUUUUCGGACCAAGUUUAGAAAUCGUUUACCAAGAAAAUGAGAGAAGAGGGGUAAAAUGAAAAAAAAAAAGAAAAAGAAAAUAAACUCAUCAGUUUAUUUACUUCUAUUUCCAGCAAGGUACGAGAAAGAAAAAUAUCCAACAACAAAAAAUAUUGGAUGGAAAUCCGGGCUUGACUACAGAAAAAAGCUUUACCACUCAAGUUUCUACUCAAAACCCCUGAAGUUCAACCUUCCAUUCCAAAACAAAAAUUACGCCAUUGCUUUCCAAAGUUUUCAAGAUGUUUAUUACAAGCAAAAGAAAAUUGAAGGAGAAAAAUCCCAAUGUGGAAAUGCAUAUUCCGAACAAGGUCAAAAGUCAAACAAAAUUCAUCGGAAAUAAUUACCCUGUCAAAAAAUCUGAAGGUCACUUUCACAUUGAAGAAUUACCAUGGCCAGGAAGAAGACUGGUAGACGGAGGUGUACUUGUGACUACGUUGUAAGCACUUUGAACGUUAGCUAAAAGCAGAAUAGUGAGAGGUGGAUGCAUUAACCAAUCACUAGUUAUCUAGACAAAGACUAAUAAUAUGGAAAUAUUGAUUCUUGAUUCAAAUUUGCAUCAUUAAUCUGACAGCUAGGUUUUAGGGAGAUGUUUUCAUGCAUGAGGUCAUGCAUGUCUAGGUAGCUGGAGAAGAAUAAAGAGUAGAAGAAAUAAGGUUUAUUACCAGUCAGAGGAAGCGUCUGUUUGCAAGACAAGUACAAGAUGAUGGGAAGUCCAAGAAGAGAAUAUCUUGAAGAUGUUGCAAUAAUUGCAGGGUUAAUUGGGAUGCAAUUUAUGUAUGCAGGAAACUCAAUUUUGGUUAGUUAUCUCAUGUUAACGGGAUUUACACCUGCAUCUCUCAUCAUCCUGUCUUCCUUGGCCACGUUUGUGAUUCUAUUGCCUUUCUCCGUAAUUUUUGAAAGGUAUGCUUCUUUUCCCCAAUCUUUGCAGACAGGCAUUAGUAAGUUUUUCGGCUAACGAUUUAUUUUUGUUCAUGGUACAGGAGGCUGUGGCCAAGGAAAUUCCGUCUGAAGCUAUGGGUACAGCUGGUUUUAAUUUCUUUUGGAGGGUACGUAAAAGAAGAUUGUUUACCUUUUCUCAUUAGUUACUAGACGUUCCUUGUUUCCUGACAUGCAUAGAUUAACCAUAGGAAUGCAUAGAAUUGCUUCUUUCUUUUUUUUCUUUUUCUGUUCUUCCUCCUUUGUGGUUGCCUUUUUAGUUGACCAUACUGAAAUGUUUUACAAGUAGAACCUGGAGAGGAGAAUGAAAAUUUUAGGCAGAAGAACAUGUUUUUCAUAAUACUUCAGAUGUUGAAAGGCAAAACCUUCUUGCACUCACAAGCUAAACGAUAUUCACAUUUCUCUCCUCCGUUGUCUUCCUAGCCACAGCGCUUUCUUGAAUUUCAAAUGGCAUGUUAUGCUUUUAGGGACAUGAUUUGCCUAGGAAAAACUAAACGGAAGUUUCUUUUUGGAGGUUUCACUCUUCAAGGCCAAGUAGUCGAGUAAAUUAUCUAUCCAUUUGUUGUUUGGAUGGCAGGGUGACAUUAUUCCAAUCUCUGUUCCUGAAGGGCAUCAGUCUUACUUCACCAGCAAUGGCAACAGCCAUGCCAAACAUUGCUCCAGGAUUCAUAUUUUUCAUUGCUUGGGCUCUCAGGUAUAAGCAAUCUGGUUUUGAUUUUUGUGUUACAAUUACUGACAAACCAAAACUACCAACUGCUACAAAAUGAAAAAACUUAAUUCAGAACUCAUGAUAAGUUGCAGCAUACUUGGGGAUGAAUGGAAGCAAACAAAGAGUAGAAACUUAAAGAAUACCUGAAUAUGUAUUCAGAGAGGAAACAAAAAAUGUCUAUUGCAGAAUGCAGAUUAAUUUCGAGAGAAGGUUUAGGAGACGAGCAGUAUAGGCAAAGUACGUUUCAAGUCGAGAACUCUUUGGACGGAUUUGUAACUUCUCAUGAGUAAAUUAAUCAGAGAAUUUAAUCAGGACGAAUCAAGUUCAGACUCAUCGAAAAUACAGAAAUAUUACAUAAUCCAAUUGAUUGCGGUUAGUGAUAUAUUACCCAGGAUAUAUCCAUGAGUUUCUUAAAAGAUGGACACUUCGUGUGCAGGUUGGAGAAAGUUGAGUUAGGCUGCAUAUAUAGCAAAGCAAAAAUUGCAGGAACACUGCUGUGUGUUGCCGGUGCUGUUAUAAUGAGCCUUACGCAAAGUACCUUGGGUAGUCAUAAAGCAAGAGAAGCUCAUUUAUCAGUACCACCUACACUGUCACGAAACUUAUUUGACGAGCGAAAGAUCAUGGGUUGCUUUUAUCUCAUGGCAGCCGUCUUCGUCCUAUCAAGCACUAUUAUCUUACAGGUAAUUGAAUGUUCCCCAGUAGUAGAAGAGAUUGAAGAAACUAUGCAUUUUUUCUAAUUCCUAACUUUGUGCUUUUUUGGUCUGAUCGUGUUACAGGCUACAACAUUAAGGAAUUUCCCAGCUCCGAUAUCCUUAUCUACAAUAACAACUUUAAUAGGGGUGGUAUUGACUGGAAUUGCCCAGUUGAUUCAAGAUGGCAGAUUAGAUAUUGGAUGGCCCUUGUUAAGCAUCAAAGAUAUCAUGUGCUACUCUGUACUGGUAAAGUACUUAUCCUCCCAAGUUGCCCUUCUUCUUCUUUUUUUUUUUUUUUUUUGGUUUUCCUUGUUAAAGAGAUGAACUACACAACAAAGGGCAAGAAUAAUAUAUCAAUAUGGUCUUUUGAUUCUAUGUCACGUUCAUGAACCACGUGAUUAUUUCCAAGAAAUGAAAAAGAAAGAGCCUUGAUCAUUGAAUACAUCAUUAAAGUUUCUUUCCAGUUUAAAUAGUUGCCUUUGAACGAUGGCUAAAUUCCUUGACCUUUUACUGCAACAGGCAGGAAGCAUCAGUGGAGCAUGUGUUACCUUCAAUAUAUGGGCAAUGAAGAAAAGAGGGCCAGUUCUGGUGUCCAUUUUUAGUCCCAUUGGAACUGUCGUGUCGCUAGCCUUUUCAGUAAUCACCUUAGGAAGCUCCAUUACCGUAGGAAGGUAUCACGAAUCAAAUACCAAAUCAUGCUUUAAAUUUUACUUCUCAACCAGGAGCCUCAAACAUCGAUAAUCUAACCACUAGAUGUCUUUCCACAGUCUCGCAGGCAUGUCCAUCAUGUUUACUGGUCUCUAUAGUGUACUAUGGGCUAAAGGGAAGGAAGGAUUCUCCGAGAAUAACAACUCCUCAGAAAGUGAGUACGAUGUGGAGAAGCCUCUCUUAUCUUGACAUUAUCUACUUUGAUUGUUUAGAUGUAAUCUAUCAACUAUUAUUGUACAGGAUAGGGAACAUAUCCCCAAGAAUUGGUGAUAUGAAUUUUAGGUUCGAUUAAGUUAUAAUGUGAUAUACAAGAACAGAAAACUAAAGAUCCCAGAUUAUAAUUUCAGACAGAAAAUUACUAACAUAGUUAGUUUUGAAUACUACUAACAGUUUUCAGUGCAUAGUUGAAAGUCCGAAGUACCAAUCCUAGUAUGUUUCUGCAGCUCCAUGAUGCACACAAUAUACGUCAUACAACGGUUGAUUCUGGAUGCAAGACAGUAAAGGAUCUAUACCAUUAUUGUAGAUCUUAAACUAAAUUUUGGCAUAAUGCUGGCAGCAGAGAUCAGUGCUUUUGGUACAGCACACUUGAAAGAGUAAUCGGGUUUGUGCAAGGAUAAAGUUCAUGUACGUGACAAUGGAUUAUGGCUGCAAAGCACUGUGACUGACUUUCUUUUUUUUUUUUUUUUGACGUUUUGAGGAGGAAAACUUUGAACAACUGAUUUUUUUAGUCCUUUUUUGAUGGGCUGAAAGGAUUGAGUUUGUGUUUGAGUUUCAGUGCAGAGAUGAAUUUCCAGUCAUGGUAGCUUAGUACGAUGCUCAGGAUGGAAACCUGACUUUUUGACUAACUGAAUAUCAUGCAUAUGUUUCUCUCAAUCAACUUAUGGUAAUGAGUAUAUUUGUUCCUCGUUUUGUUUAAGGGAAUGGCAGGCAGAACAUUCCACAAACGCUUGAAAGAUCAAGAGAAUUUGAACCCCUGAGUUCGAAGGAAACGCAAUUAAUCCCACAAGACACCAUUCACUUGCCUGAUUUCCAGUUCAAUUAGCUCCAAAAGUAACCGAAAACUAAUAGUACUAAACACUAUUUAGACCUAAUUAAGCAUCAGAUUUAGUGUAGUUAAGACAAGGUAAGCUCCUAAGUGAAAUCGUUUGAAAAGCCAACGUAAGUACACAUUCUUAUCAGUAAUCUGUCUCUAGGUGAUGCCAAGUUGUUGGAUAAACAGCAAAGGAACCUAUCUUGCUAGACCUCACCAGAUAGUUUGCAUUUUGCAAAUUAGGUGUGAUCAAUUUUGAGAUAGAUUGUUAGAACUUGAUUUGACCAAUAAGAUGUGUUGAUUGCCUGUAGUUCUACAACUGAGACCGUGAGUUUAUUCCACAAGUAUGUCCACCCCCCCUCCCCCACACAACAAGCCCACAUAUAAGAAGUUAAAGAACGCAAUUCUUGAUGGACUUGUUCCCUGGGUAAAAAGUAAAUACUGGGAGGAUAAUAAUACUGCGAGACACAGACUGAGGAUAACAUCAUAUACUUACAUGAUUGAUUUAUUUCUCUAAUCUUGUUGCAAAGCUUCCAAUACAAAUUGAUAAAGGGUUGAGGGUCUGUUUGCAAACAAGUUUUUGGCGUUUGUCUUUUACAAGUUUUUUAACAACUUUAACUACAAUAAUCUCAAAAAACUCCUCAAAAUUUUUAAACUAUAUACUUCAAAAUAGUCAAAAUUUUUUCAAAGUUUUAGAUAAAUAUCCAAAAAACUCAUUUGUCAAACGGGAUCUGAGUUUAUACUUCUGGUCAUGGCCACUGGUUUAAUAUAUUUAAACCAUCAUUUUCUUAUUGCCACUGGUUUAACAUAUUUAAACCUUUGAGAGAUCAAUGAUUCAAAUCUUAUCUUCCACCAAAUGUCACAAUAUGUGGCUUCUCUAAAAAAAUCUAUAUGAGUGCGUAGUACACCUGUCUGAUCCAAUAGUAAUUCAGUUUCCAUUGAUUCCCUAUAGACUCAGUUGGACCUCCCCGUAGUUAGGAUAGAAUAGGAUAAUAUAUAUAAAGUCCCCUUAGAUGUCCCUAUUGGUCCCCCGUAAACACAAUUGAGCCUUCUCUUAGAUUAGUAUAAAGUAGGAUGAUGUAAAUAAAAUUCCCUUAGAUUAGGAUAAAGUAGGAUAAUAUAGAUAAUGUGACGACGACAAAAGAAAAAACCAUCAUUUUCACUUGAGCAUAGGCCUCUCAAAUUAAGAUAAAAUAGGAUAAUAUAGAUAAAAUCCCCUUAAAUUAGGAUAGAACGGGAUAAUACGGAUAAAGUGCGGAUGAAAAAAAAACAUCAUUUUCACUUGAGCAUCGGCAUAGACUUCUGCUUUUCUCUAAGCUUUGAACAGCUUCUGAGACCAUGACUUUGUCGGCUUGCCUUUUUAACACUUCUAUCCGACAGUAUCGAUGGAAUAUUCUCUCUAAUUUUCAUCUUCAUACGCCGUAAGUUUAGCUUCAUUGUUGGGGCCAGCAUAACAUUUUUUUAAUUGAAAAAAAGGAAAAUCGUCCAAAACGUCUUUUACUAAAAUAAUUUUUUUGUCCUUCACUUUUAAAAGUGUAAUUUUAUAUCCCUUACAUAUUCACAUCGAUCAAAUUUAGUCCCUAACUAGAUUUUCGAUCAUUUUUUAGUCGGAAUCCAUCACGUGCAAGGCACGUAAUCAUUUUUGAAGGGUAAAUUUGUCAAAUUAUAUUUUACAUAAUUUAAUCUAUAGUCCUACAUUUUAUAAAACAAAAUUUUUCGUCCCUCAUAUUUUAUAAAAUAAUUUUUUCAUCCCUCACAUUUCACAAAAUGAAUUUCUCCAUUCCUCACAUUUUCAAAAAAUGAAUAUUUUCAUCCCUCAUUAAUUAUGUGUGUAAGGGAAACCCUAAAAAAUAUAUAUAUAUAUAUAUAUAUGUGUGUGUGUGUGUGUGAAUACAUUUUAUUUAAACACAUAUAUAUGUCUAUUUGAUUUUGCUUUAAUAAUACAAAUAGAAUAAAUAUAUGUAUAUGUCUAUUUGAUUUCACUUAACAAUAUGAAUACCAUAUAUUAUACGUGAUCAUUUGAUUUUAUCUGAUAUUAGCUAGUAAAAAAUCUUGCAUUCAUUGUCAAGUUGGUCAAUAAAGUUAUUUUCGGUCAAAAUACAAUAAGAAUAUGCAAAUUAAGGUUCUAUUGGUAAAUAUUAGUCAUAAUCAUACAAAAAGAGAAGAUAGCCCACAAAUUGGGCCCAAUUACAUACAUGUGUUUAUGCUAUUAUUAUUAAAUAAAAUCAAAUAGACAUAUACAUGUGUUUAAAAAAAAUGUAUUCACACACAUAAUUAGUGAGAAAUAAAAAAAUUCAUUUUUUGAAAUGUGAGGGAUGGAGAAAUUCAUUUUGUGAAAUGUGUGGGAUGAAAAAAAUUAUUUUAUAAAAUGUGAGGGACGAAAAAAAAUUUAUUUUAUAAAAUGUGGAGGACUAUAGAUCAAAUUAUGUAAAAUAUAAUUUGAUAAAUUCAAAUUAAUCCAAAAUUUUUAGCAAGAAAGCCUAAUGAAAUUUUCUCCAUAACUAUAAUUAAAAACUCAUUACCAAAUAACUUAUUGAAGGAAAAAUCUAGUACUGCAUAACUUUGUACUAUAAGUAGUUAAUUUUUGGCAUGGCAUGGCAUGGCCUGUGCUCAAAUUUUCAGUAUAUAGAAGUAUGUGUAUGUGUAGUGGCGGUGUGGUUGAGAGGCGGCGGGGUAGCACCACAAGUGGUAGAAACAGUCUCUCCACCACUUAAAAACGACACCCUCCACUUGUCAGACACUGGCUAUCACUCUACUCCGCUCCUCUACUCUUAACUAACUUCACUCUCUUCUCAUCCACAACCAACUAACUUCGACUAAAAACUAGGACUUCCGUCACUUUACUACACAACACCACACAACCUUCACUCUUGUCUGGUCUCACCCACAAUCCAUGCCACUUUUUAUGUUGUCAUGUUUAUCUUUAUCUUAAACUGUGUAAAAAGCGCAGGAAGCAGCACCAGCUUAUAUAUAUUUUACUGCUGCCACUGCUACGUACAACCAUUUCAAGUACUCUUGCAUUCUUAACUCGCCACCAAUUGUACUGAAAAACACACUCACUAGAAGUCCUAAUCUCUCCCCAAAAAACAAAAAAAAAAAGAAAGGAAAAAAGUGCUAACAAUGGGAAUGGCGGAAGAUCAUGUUGGACAAUUGCAAGAACCAACUUUCAAGCACUUUUGCAGGGUAUGCAAAAGAGGGUUUGGAUGUGCCGGAGCUCUGGGGGGUCACAUGAGGAGCCAUGCUGUUGGAGAUGUUCGGAUGCAUCAAUCGAGUCGCGAUCAAGAAAUAGGCACCAGCAGCUUCAUGAGAAGCAAUAAGGGGGAAGGAGGAAGCAAGCAUUCGUACUUCCUCCGAACCAAUUCCACCAAUCGAUUCACCGGUGCUUGUCGAGCUGGUGAAGAUCUUCAAGAAUUUAAUAAUAAGAGGACCUUCACCCGCUCUGCUUUCCAUGAUGAACGCGAGAAAUUUUCAUCUUCCGUGUCGUCUUCUGAAUCUGAGGUUGAAGAGAUGAUGCUCAAGUCCGCGCGAGCAAAAUCCAAAAAUUACGAGGACCGGCAUUGUGCCGCCUCCAGCGAAGAAGAGGAUCUCGCGAAUUGUUUGGUGAUGUUGUCAAACGAAUCAUUUGUUCAGUCGGAUAAGGAGCAGGAAAACACGGACAAACACGUGGAAAAAGGUACGUUCCAGUGCAAAGCUUGUAAGAAAGUGUUCAAUUCCCACCAAGCACUGGGGGGACAUAGAGCCAGUCAUAAGAAGGUGAAAGGUUGUUAUGCUGCCAGAUUCAACUGCAGCACCAACCUCAAUGAUCAGGAUAAUGACAAUAAUUACGAAGAUGCCUUCUACCAACACGAGGAACAUUUGGCUCCGUCAGAAAAUUCUUCAGAGCCAGGGCUUGAUCUUGAUUUCUCACCUCAUCAUGAUCACCUUCCAAAAAAUACUACAUUGUCAAAAAGGAAGUCCAAAGCUCAUCAAUGUUCGAUUUGUCAGAGGGUGUUUUCAUCAGGACAAGCCUUAGGUGGGCACAAAAGAUGUCACUGGCUAACCUCAAACUUACCUGAUAAUACUAUCAUACAGAACUUACGUGAGCUCCAAUUUGAUAGCCAACAACUAUUCAAGAAGCCUAUGCUCACAAAACCCGAGCCACUGCCUCUUGAUCUCAAUUUCCCUCCAUUGCUGAACAAUGCGGUUGAUAAUCUGCACAUGAACUCAGCUGAUGAUCCCCUCAAUCACGAAGCCCCAGCUAGAAUUUUUCUCCAACUGUGGGGUAACGAAGAGGCUGACAACAGUACUAGUAAUAAUAAUCAUCAGCAGAACUAUACUACUAAAAGCGUGGUUCGUGGUUCAUUGCAUGAUGAGGACGAAAGUGCUAAAGAAGAUGGUUAUAGAACGGAGCAGACUGCAAAACUGAGUAAUCUGAAAGAUAUGAAUUUGGAUGGAGGGUCUUCUCGGUGGUUACAGGUGGGGAUUGCUUCAACUACUGAUAUCACAGCCACCCCAUGAAGUGAUUGUUAGUGUUAGUAAUUAAUUAGUUAUCUACUUUAAGCAAGACUUGUAAUUAUUACAUGUUCUUCCAUGUUAAACAUAGAUAUAUUUGAUUGUCUCUCUGGUGGAAAUUCAAUUUACAAUUUCAUCAAUUUGUGCUCUAUUUUUUUUCCUACUGCCAAUAUUGAGUCUGCUGCCUUUUUUAAAAACAAAGAAGUGAUAGUAUAUAUUUUGUAGCUAAUGGCAUUACGGAUUUUUUUUUUCUUUUUUUUGUGGUCUUAUCUCUAGGGGGCCUCCCUCCCUACUGUCAUAUCCAGGUUCAAAUCCUGAAUCUGGCAUUUGAGAGUGAAGGGAGGGGUUAAACAAAAAACUUUUGUGUUUUAUGCAGAUACGGAAGAAGAACAUACAAAUAUAUCGAAAAAAAAUGUGGGAAAGAAUGAAGAAGCUAGCAUGUUGUGUAUAUGGAGUCGGCUGUGUUGGCUAAAUGCUGGCAUGAGAAUCACAUAAAAAACUGUUUACCCAAGCUGCGAAGUCAAAGUCAGAUACAAAGUACUAAUAAAACCAUGUGAUUAAUUAGGACAUUUACAAUUGAUCGUUCUUCCAUAAAUUACCCCAUAUGCAUGGAUUAUUUUUUCAAUCAGAGGAAAAUGCAUGGAGCUUGGUGCUUCACUUCUCCUAUCAAUGUAUUGUCUAGAAUUGAAGUGAAAAAGAGCAGUUGCCUGUUAUUACAUGGUGUAAGAAAAAAUGGUUGAUUUUUUUUGUUUUCUCUGCUACUUUUAAUUCAUUGAAAUCGUUAGUACUCAUGUCAUACGUAGCUGGUUCACACCAUUUUGAAAGGCCUCCACCCCAGCCCACCACAAAUAUCAUAUCACAUACGGUACCGGCGGCCAACAGGACAUCAUGCCCUGUGUCUCCAGCCGAUCAUCUUCAACGAAGACCAGCUAAACAUAGAGCCAAAAAUUGUGCUCCUGUUCUAGCUCAUGCAGGGAGUUGAAGGUCCAUCUACAAAGGACCACCCUGUAUCACAUAUUUAUAGCUCCUUCUUUAUGAAUUAAAGGGUGCCGUGAGAUGUUAGUGAUUUGCUGCAACUUUGUCGGUCAUUAUUAGCUCUAAAAGUCUACACUAUAUUACAAGACGGACGCUAUGACAUAGAGUAUGGUUAAGGAUGCUAACAAGUUUGAUCAAAUUGAACACCUAGUAUUUAAGCUUAUUCGAUUGUUUUAAUGAAUUCAAAAUUUUGUUUAAAUUUGGCUUGUUUAUUUGUAAAACCAAAUUUCAAGAGUGAAGUGAAAGCAAUGGUUAACCACUGGGCCAGGCCUCUGGCCCAGUGGCCACCAUCUCUUUGGUGGGGUCCACCAGAAAUACCACGUUUCAGUGGUUUGUCUCCAAAAAUUCAGGCGGAUGUACUGUGUACUCGUCUGGUUCGGUGGUGGUUCAGUCCUUUCCGGUUUAUCCCUGGGCCUACUUAGGUCCGCCUCCUUCCCCUUAGUAUAGGAUAAAUUAGGUUUAUCGUCUCCGAAAAAAAAAAAAAAAGUGAAAGCAAUGGUUAGAAAAGUGCAAACGCAUCCAGAAAUCGAGGAAUGCCUCUGCUGUGGAUGGCAAUGAGUUUCUGAUUUUUAGAUUAAUAUCUCAGACUUUUCCACAAGAUCGAGAUGCUUAUGGGCAUGCUCUUAUUUGUUUGUAGUUUCUUAAAUUAUUGCAAAUAAGUUAUUGGAAUUUUGAAAAAAAAAAAAAGAAGUAAUUUGUAAUAGAAAACUUAAUAAUUUACUCUAUAAAGUCAUAUUCUGAAGGUUUCCUUUUUCCUUCUUCCAAUAUUAAAGUCAUCAAAAUCAAGCAAAGGAUAAAGGUUGGAAAUAUACUUAAUUACUAGUAGAACAUAGUCCCUUGACUUGAUAGGCCUCCUCCGUAACAUUUCGUUGGAAGGAAAAAUUCCGCUGCCAAUUGCAAAUGUCAUUAACAUUUUUCCUUUGAUUUGUAUUAUAUUAUAUGCCUUCAAAUGGACUACUAAUUAGUAAUAUAAAUCAUCUUAAAUUAAAUCUAAAUCUACCGACUAUGACUCAAAGAAUCAGCCGAGGGCUUGCGUGACAAUGAAGGGCGGGGGAGGGGUGAGAAUGGCGCGUGGGAAACAAAGCAUGCGCAAUAACAGGACACGUCCAUGUACUGCAGAUCAUACCUGUUCUUUGUAUCCGUGGCCAUUGGCAUCUUCAACUUUCUCAAAAUUGGCUGCCUAGGAAUGCGUGUAAUCAUGUUUGGGGCAUAUCAACGAGACAGUUCGUAUCUGAUUCGUACAAUUAGUGUCAAUUUUGGUUCAGAAAUUAGCGUCAAAUUUGUUUCGGCGUAGAUUUAUUGAAUCGUUUAUGCCUUGCCUUCUUCAUCUGCGUUCAUGGAGCAUUACAAAUUUACAAAUUGAAGUUCUUGAAGGUUGCAUUUUCAAGUUGACCGUUCCUUAUAUAGAUUAAAGUAGAGUAAGAGUUGACAAUUGACCAAAAAAAAAAAAAAGAAAAAGAAAAAAGGUUCAAGUUCCCUACUAAACAUUAUUGUUGUUGUUAUUAAUCACAAAAGAGAAAAAGCAAAUUAAUGCUUUGAUGUUGUAAAGAGUGCAAUAAAAUUAGUAGCAAAGUUUAUAAUAAUGGUAAAUACUAGAGAAAUAAAAAAGGCUAAUUAAAAAGGUUUCUGUAAGGUAAACAAUGAAAAAAAAAAAAGAAAAGAAAAAUCCAAUCAUUGCAAACGCUCUCUGCAUAGGAAUCCUAUACAAUUUUUUUAUUAUUAUAGGAUCAAUGUUUUUACAUUAUACAAAAAUGCAGCAUCUAUUCUAGGAGUUGUUGAAUAGUUUGAGAAGACAGAAUAAAAAUGAAUUACUUGAGGAGUGACGACAUCCAUCUUCAGGAGAAAUAGGUAUAGAGCAGAUUAUUAUCGAUCGUCGAAAAAAAAUAAAUAAAUGCCCGUCAGCUCGGGGGAAUCAUUCGCUAAAAUUUUCGGUUGGACUUGCCCUGAUGGCGUUGCAGGAGUCGUGAAGCGCCGGGCCGUCAUGGAACUGAUGAGUACCACACUCAUUACUUGAGGAGUGAGGACAUCCAUCCUCAGGAGGAACAGUUAACAACUUACCACUUUUAUAUAUAUAUAGUAGGUGUUACUAUCACAAAGAUCCUAUACUUGUAUAAGACUAGAUUUCAUUAUAGUCUAACAAUUGAUAAAUCUUAUCCUUCUCUAAACAAAUUUACUUAAGAAGAGAACCUAAAUUCUUAGGGCUUGUUUUUUAACUGAUUCUGAUUUUAUAAAAAUUGAUUUUGUAUAAUUAAUUCUUGAAAAUCAUAUUUUUCAUAAUAACUCACGUGUUCUCGUUUAUUAGUUAAAAAAAAAACUAUUUUAAUGAAUGCAUCAGUGUUCUCAAGAAAAGUUAAAAAGUUGUUUUUGACAAAAAUAUUAUCAAUUUACCCUUAUAUGCUACAUAAAUAAAAUUUUUACUAAUUAAUUAAUUUUUAUGUAGAUAAUUACUUUUCUUGUGAAGAUUCAAUGUUGGAUAAGAAAAAAGGAAUUGAGGGAACACAGAUGAACUAAAAGUGGGGCAAAAAUUGGAGAAGAAUAAAGAGACAUGCGACGUAAAAAUUUAUCUAACCUUUGGGUAGUAAUUAUGUUAAAAUUUGAAAGGUAGUUUAGUUGAUGUUUAGCUUUGUUUUAUCCAAAAAUUUGAAAAUUAUGUAUUUAAAAAUCAGUUGAGAACACAACAAAAUAGCGUUUCGAAAAUCAUAUUUUUGUCGUCUACUCUAAAGACGUUUGUGCCCGAAAAUAUAACAUUUGAUCAAAGUCAAGAAAACUAUGGCCCCGUUUGACAGGUGAAUUUUUUGGAUGUUUAUCUAAAACUUUAUUGUAACUUAUUGUAGAAGUUGUAGGAAAAAUUUUUAAAGUGUGCAAGUUUUUGGAUAUUUUGAAGUGUAUAGUUUAAAAACUUUGUGAAAUUUUUUGAGGUUACUAUAGUUAAAGUUGUUAAAAAACUAACUUGACCAAAAACUUACUUAACAAAUAAAGGUCUAUAGUUAAACCAGCAUGUCCAGUAAUUUAAGAACUCUAACUUAUAGUAGCUUAAUUUUUUUUUCCCGUGUGGAUUGAAGGUAUAUUAUCACUAUUUUUACAAAUUGUAUUCAAUUAGGCCAAAAAAAAAAAAAAAUAGAGCAGAGAAAGGGAAAUUGACACACGCCUCUGAUACAGUGGCGGAUGCGUCAUCAGCAUCAUUUCUGUUUGUUCCAUAAUUGAUGCUUGAAGCUGGAUUGUACUAACUGCAUUACGAAUGCUCUGCGCUAUUAGACUCACCUGGCAAAACGCAUUUCUUUCGGCCUGCAAUUUGCAGGCUGAAUCAAUUGUACCGACCGGCGAGCCGGACUGGACUGGGCAGCAAGACUCGAAAAGCCAUUUUCUUGGUUAUCCUUUUCUUGUCACGUUCUGAUCUCAUUCUUUGAGAAACUGCGAAUAUUUACGGACAGUUUGAUACUUUAUAUUGUUCCAAUUCUUCUUUAAUCUGUUUAAAAAAAUGACUUUCUUGUUGCAUAGCUAUCAGUAGUAUGUUCAAAACAAGUCAUUUUGCCACAAUAAAACUGAAGUUUGUGAGUUGCCUCAUCAAUUUAGAGAUCCUUUCAUGAAUUAUAAUUUCGCUAAAGUUACCUCAGUUUAUGAUUCACUGACAAUGGGCAACUAUUAACAGUCCUCGUUCCUUAUUAUUUUGAAGUGACUUUUAUGCGGAAACUGAUCCUCGUUACAUCGUAACGGAAAUGGGGCACGGCCAUGAUGCGGCCUCAAAAAUUUGUGCGGUUCAGAUUACAGCAUGUAACUCGAUUUUCACGUCAUGUGUGUGGCUCACAAAAAAUUGUUCUAAAGUUACUCCAUGUGUAAAGAAAGUUACGCGAUGUCCAAAAAAUAUUACGCGCUGUUAGAAAAUGCACAAACCGACACAAACGGUUGCACCGUUUGUGCCCCAUGUCCAAUCGUAACGGAUAGGCUAAAGUAGCAGUAGUAAUAGCUUUUGCAUUGUUGACGUGAUCUACGGGUUACUUUUUCUGAAGAAAGCGCUACUAGACAUAUAAUCUCUAAAUCACCACAUACAAGACGUGCCAAUAUUGCACUCAUGAUAGUUAUAUUAAAUGUUUUUUCAAAAUUAAAUUUCUAUAACGUGGACCAUAUUCAAUGGACAAUAAUUCAAAGUUCAAAAUAAAGGCUGUUUAAAGAAAUGAAAUUUAUUAUUAUUAUUAGCAUAAAUCAUCAACCAAAAAAGGAUCAAGAAAAGUGCAGCAGCCCUUCUUAUGGCACGAAGCUUUAUCAUCAUCAAUGCCCUGCCCGUUUGGUCACAACAAACCCCAACGAUUCAUUGACUCGUGCGAGAUGGGCACGUAUUGGUUUUAGCGACACUUAUAGAGCUCAUGAUCGAGUUUGUUAACUGCCAUGGAAGAAGAAUAUUGUGUUAAUGGGUCUAAUCACAUUUUUUGAGAAAAAGAGAUGAUGCAGGAAUUAAGUAAGUGGAUCAUCAAUGUGCUGGAAGAUAAUGACAUUAUGUGUUUAGGUAGAGAAGUAAAGAGCACUUAUUGUGGUAACAAUUUGGAUUCAAACAUUUAAGUCGUAUAUUUCUGCAAUUGAGAAUUUCACCGAGAGCAUUUAUGCAUUAUGUUAUUUGACGAUGAAGUUUAAGAAUCAAAGUGAAAAAAUCAAAAGUAUAGUUGAGGGUGCAAAACGAAAUUAACACUAUUUAUUAUUUUUUCUCAAACCAUCCUAAAUAAAUCUUAGUUCCACCAUGUCAAAUUAGAACUUCAAUAUUGUUUGGAUCGUGAUUUUUCGCAGGAACACAAAAGUUUUGCGUCUUUCGUGAACACGUUUCUCAGUUAUCUUUUCAUCUCAGUUUCUGAUUUGUGUCGUGACAAUCUAGAACAGUUUCCUUGAAAGGCAUAAAAUGGUCCUCUGUCUUAAAAUUGAAGUUCAUAGAAGCCGAUUUAUGAUAUGAAACACUUUUAAAAACGCUACUUCGCCUAAAAGCCGCAUAAAUUUGCACUGCGCGACUUUAUUAAGGGCCAAAGUGGACUUGAGUAAAUUGGCCGCAUAAUCUAGGGACUAUAGUAGUAAAAGUGUCUGGUAUCGAACAAAACUAUGGGAGAACUGAAGUAAAUGGAAACCAAUUCAAUUCUACCAAAUUUAGACGAUUUGGUGGUGGUCUGCAAUUCAAGACAUAUUAUUGCUUGCUUGCUUGUUUGUUUAACUAAAUCCUAAAUCACAAAUUUUGGUGGAAAUGAAUUACAGUAAAAUCUCCCAUGCCAUGAGGAACAGUCCUAGAAACAGAAAACACCGCCUCUUAGUACUCGCAUCAAAGUUUGGAAUAAAGAAACAAAACUACGGAAAUGGCAAGAUUUGCAUGUUCCUUGUCCCUCUUUAUGUCUUCAUCCAUUCAUCCUUGUCACGCCUUUUCCAAUUUUCCCCCCUAACCUUCCAAUUAUAAACUUUGCCAAGUGAAAUCAUCACCUUCAAUUACAUUUUACAACUAAUUAUGCAAAUAGAAAUCCAUCCUUGUAAUUACUUCCGUCCCAAUUAAGGUCCAUCUAAAUGACAAUUUUUUUUGUGUGCAUAUAAUCGUAAUAUGUGAGCUGUUGGGCUUAACAAUAAUAUAGGUCUCCCUUGUACCAUUAUUAUCAUCAAAAAGAAAAGAAAAGAAAAAAGGGUUAAACUCAAGAAUUUAUAAUUGUCUUUUUCUUUCUUUUUUUUUUUUUAAUUUGUUUGGUAAAAAAUGAAAUAUUUUUGGGUGGAGUGUGGCUUUUUGGUGGAAGAAUGCUUGUCACCUACUCCUCUUAAGUUCCUCACUCCCACCGUACUUUUACUACUCACUUCUCCAAAGCUUAUAGGACAAGAGAGAGAAAAUCAAGGCAGCAGCUAUGUUGAGAGAGAAACUCAACUGAGCUGAAUAUAUAUGUACUGCUAGAAGUACAGAGCACACUACACAUUCACUAUACAAGAAAAUUAAAGAAGAUUACAAGAAAACCUCUUCAAUCUUUGGCGUUGUUGUGCGGUGAAAAAAGCCAAAAAAAAAAAAAGAAAAAUGGUGAGACCGGAGAGACACAAAUGUAAGCUUUGUUCAAGGAGUUUUCCGAGUGGAAGAGCUUUGGGUGGUCAUAUGAGGUCCCAUUUGGCCAACUUGCCGCUUCCUCCCAAGACACCGCAAAAACAGGAAGCCAGCAGCCAGCUCCCACCACAGCCCGGUGGUGACGCCUCAACCGAGUCAACAACUUCAUCUGAUUGUUCUUUGUCAGAGGAGGAAGUAGUAGUAGUACAAGUGAAGGAAUGUGCAGCUGAAGAUAAAGGGCUGGUUUAUGGACUCAGAGAGAAUCCCAAGAAGAGCUUCAGGAUGGUAGAUCCUCAGUUCUUGGAUGGUGGUUCGGUGGUUGUUCAAGACAGAGGAAGCGAGACCGAGUCAACUAGGAAACCAACUCGGCAAAGAUCCAAGCGAACUCGGAGAAUGCUUGUGUCUGCUGCUAAACAAGAAGGAGCUGAUGAGGCACUGAUUAAGGAGAAGAAAAUGAUGAAGACAACUGAGUCAUUGUUGGAGUUGGAACAACCGGUGAGUUCGGUCUCUGACACUUCACCAGAAGAAGAUCUUGCUUUAUGUUUGAUAAUGCUUUCUAGAGAUGUUUGGAGGAGGACUAGUACAACAACAACAACUACUACUACUACUACUACUUCAUAUGACUCCGCAGAAGAGUUGAAACUCGUGAAUAGUAGUACUAAAAGGAGGCACAAGAAGCAGAAGAAGAUCAAGAUUAAUAAUAAUGAUUCUUCAUCUGAUCAAGAAGGCGAGUCCUCAGAGGAAUUAGAAUUACCAAGAAAUGGUGUUAGUAGAAGUUGUAGCAUUAAAAAUGUGACGGUGGACAAAAAAGUGCAUGAGUGCCCAUUUUGUGGCAAAGUUUAUGGGUCAGGUCAAGCUCUCGGUGGCCACAAAAGAUCACACUUUUUGGGUUCAUCAACAACAUUAACAACUACAGCUACAGCAGCCACAGCGGCUGAGAGCUUGUUACUGGAAUCGUCAUCAAAUGCUGCUAAAUCUCAGCAAGGUACGUUGUUAAUGAUAGAUCUUAACUUGCCAGCUCCAAUGGAAGAUGAAGACAUUGACGAUGAUCAUCCUCAUGAAAGUGAAGACUUUAAUUUGCAUCAUAGAAGAGGCUUCUGCAGUUUCAGAUGCUGAUUUCACCAAUCCCAUCAACCAUUGACAAUCAACAAAUUUUAGAGAGCCUAUCAGUAUUCCUCCUUUGCUUUUUUAUUUUUAUUUUUUAAAAGCAUUUCCUAUUUUUGAGUUUCUUUGUGGCAAUAUGGUCGAUUCAGUUUUUAUCUAUUUGUAGGAAUGCAUUAACUUCAAAUUGCCAAUGUAAGCUUACUCUCCCUAGUAUCCUUCCAUUGGUAGUUGCAAACGUGCAAUACAUUGCUUUGUUUCGAUAUCUUCACAAGAAAUGUGCAGUUAGUCGCUGUAACUACUGGUGCGCCUGUGGGGCGCACCAGCUAGCUAGUGGGGUUACAGGAGAGCAAGAAAGACUUUGCAUUAUUCUACUGGUGAUUAAUUUCUAUACAUUUAUGUCUUCCCUUAAUUAGCUUGCAAUUUUUUCAGGGAUAUGUACAAUAUUGGUAGUAUUACACACUAUUAUCCAUCAUCCCAUUUUUCUUUCUUUCUUUCUUUCUUUUAUCCUCUGGGGACUUCAGUUUAUCUCGUAGUUCGAGGUUUGUGUGCAUGGUGGCAAUUCUCUUAAAGUUUUGCUUGUGAGACAAGAAUUUUGUUUCUGAAAAAAAGUAAGAGCACCAUAUUAAUUGUGUCCAGUGCUGCUGUCUACUUGUGAAAUUAAUCAAACUUAGUUCAGUUCCUGUUUACAGCUGUUGUUACCUUCGUGAUCUGUUCCCUUCUUUCGGUGUGGUAUAAAGAAUUCCAGAAAAUCCCAUUUCUUUUGUUCUCUCUCAUCAUUGGCUUGGUGGCUUUGUCUGCUUAAAGGACAGGGUUCCAGACUUCCAUUUCCUCCCUCCAUCCAUGUCCGCCAGAAUCUUGAUUUUAAAGACCGAAUUAACCUCUCAAAAAAGUGCAUGUGAUGUGAUUAAGUGCCAUUCUUGCAUGGACCCCUCCCUAGUCUCAUGGAUUAGCAACGUUGCUGGGAAGUUGACCUCAGAAUAUCCAAUCCUUCAAUCAAUUUUGGCUUCUCACAUGUAUAAACAAAUGUUUUUGGUGGCUUUGAAACGGUCCAAGAGCCCGAGAAAGUCAGUAGACUCAGUAAUAGUGCAGCUGCAGGCUUGCAGCUCAUGCCAUCAUGAUUGAAACCAGCCACUUUAUUGAUAUUAAAUAAAUUAGCUUCAAAUUCGGAUAUAUGCAUAGAUUGUUGUUCUAGUCACAUAAUUCAGAUUAUAAAUGCUACUCUUCACUUGAUCUUAGCCAAAAAUGCCGAGAAAGGUACUUGUUAAUGCUGCGACAUAUAAACACUGCAGUUACAGUUUUCAGCUGAAUACCUGGUCCAAGCUCCUAAGCUUUAACUUGGAGUUUGAAAUCAAUUGGUAUGAAUAAAGGUGAGAAAACAGGUUAGGCAGAGAGUAGAAGAAAAAAAAAAUCUGGGACCAUAAGUUACUCGUGUGUGUGUGUGUGUGUUAAUGAUGAUGCUCUAUUCACCCAAGAAAUUCCACUUCCUUUUCUUAUUCAGAUGAAGAUCCAACAUGUGAUUCAAGGUCUCGUUUUAAAAGGGACAAAAAUAUAGGAAAAACAGUAGUGAGAGGUCGAACAAAUUGACACUUAUUUUUACAGCAAAUUCAUAAAAGUGUCUAAAAAAAGUAUUUCGGCUUGUGUCAAUGAGCACCGAAAAUCAAGAAAUGCGUAGCUUCUUCAAAGUAAAAAUGAUAUUUCCUAAUGAUCGGCUCUUGCAGCAAGGGAUGAUUGGUUUUCAUUACGUAACAUCUAAUGAUUCAAUCAAAUGGUUACACCAAUUCAUUGAUCAGGCCCAAUUCACUUCUCAUGCAUGUGUUUUUUGACCCUAAGUGCUCAAAGAGAUUCUUACAAAUCGUCUGUCUGUCGAUAACGGUGUUCACAUCGGCACUGAGAUUUCGAAUACACGAUUUUUUGUGAGAAAGUGACAUGUUCCUAUCAAUUGAACCAAACCUGCGUCGUCGAAACCUGUGUCGACAGCUGCAUUUUUUCUCUUAGCAGUAUUACCAUGGAUAUCUAAAGGACAAAUAAUCUUUCUUUCUCCACAAUCCCCGUACCCCGCUGAUGAAGGGCAAAUUAAUAUCCCCAUUCAGCGCCAGAGUCACAUUCUGAUCUUCUUCUUUACUUUUUACGUGAAAUGGCCACCCCGAAUUUACUCAUGAGCAGCAGAAUAUUAUCGUCAUUUCUGGCCCGUAAUUAAUCUCCUUUUAUCUUGAAUAAACCAGUUGGUUGGAUUGGGAAUUUAUUGCAGAAUUUCUAUCCGGAGUACAAAUCCUGAAAUUUGAUUGCGGAUAGAAUUUAAUUGUUUCACAUAAUUUAAACCAUUUCUCCUACUCCUCACUCGGCAAUUUAUGCCUUUGGUUGGAGCCUAGAGGCGACACCAACUUUGAGUUUGCGGCAUCAAAGCCGCGAGUCCCUGUCCCAGCUCUUCAUUGUCAGACCUACAUACAUAUGUAUGUAUUUUGUGUGUUUGUUUAGACCAAGACCCACCUCGUACAGAUACCAAACCUAUCUCGUGGUACUUUAAAAUUCUGGAUCAAAGAUUAGGAACUUUUAACUACUCCCUGCCGCGAACGACGAUGGAUUGAGCAUUUCGGUUUUCCAAAGGUGUAAAUGUUUUAUUUAUUACACUUCUUGAAUAUAGGUGCCCUGUUGAAUAGAUAAGAGUUAAAGCAUCGUUUGUUCGAAUUUCACUAUCAAUACGAGGAUUAUGUUGACGGAUAUUCUAUAAGCAUCCGUGUAAGUUAUUCUCGGGACAUAUUGCGAAUCUGUAAUAGGAACUGAAAUAAAAAAACCACCCAAACGUCCUCAAAUUUCAUACAACAAAAACGUCUACACAAUUGUACUUUAUUAAGUAGUUUUACAAAGUUUCACCGAAUCAAUAAUAUGGUUAACUAAACUAAAGUAUGAAAUCACACGAUAAUGUUUUCAACAUUAAGCAAUGGCAAUGGGAUUACUGUAUUAAUAUUGUUGACGUACUUAUUCAUUUAAUCUCAUAUUUAAAAAAUAAAAUAAAAAAAAGGGGGCACGGGAUCUUUGCAGGACAAGGAAACAAAUGUCGUGAAGCUUUCCGAAAGUAACAAUUUUGAGUUUCGAAUUUUCACCAGUGCAUAUUGCAAUCUGAGAAUUUCCAACUUGAGUUUCUCUCUUGUCUGCCUUUUUUAUGGUUCUGUUACUAAAAUAAACAGCAAUCCCUCUAGAUUGUAUAAAGAAUUUGGGGUGGAAACCUAUUUGCAAAAUCAAAGGAUCAUGUCAUAGAUUUUGUAAAAUUUCUAAAGAAAUCCGGUAUAUGCAUACUAUCUAAACUACGUACCUAGUCUGUGGACUUUGAAUCUUGGUCCCCGCACGAACCAAUGGGCAGUUCGGUUUAGCAAUUUUCAUCAUCAUUGAUGACUGAUGACCAUACUAGUAGUUUCCCACGGAAAUUCUUAGUUGCCUGUGAAUUUUAGCCUGCAAAUAAUCCUGAAGUUGUUGAAUGACCCCCUUGCAAAUAAUUAUAUCAAUUUAAAGACAUUUCUAGUCUGCAAAUAAUCCUCAGUUAUUGAAUGGCCCUCUUGCUGAAUUGAUUUGUUCACUUUCGUGUGUAUAACUAUACAAUGUAUAAAGUAUCAUACGAUAGCCAAAGUCUAUGCACAAUUGAUUCAAAUAACAUUUUUAGGUAAUUUGUGUUUGGAUUGCAUUUUUCAUGAUUUUUCAUGAAAAAAAUACUGUAGCUAUUUGAUGUAUGUGAGGGAAAAAGGUAAUAGAGAAAUGUGAUCACAGAAAACGACGUAAUUUUUUGACGAAAAACAGCAAUCCAAACAAGACUGGCAUAAGAAUUAGUGACUAUUGCGCUUCUUAUAUCAUCAUUACUAAUACAAGGUUUUAAAUUCUAAACUCAAAGAAAUCGUAAAAUAAGACAUACCGGUUAUGAUUAAUAGACUUUAAAUUAACUAAUUAGUCUUCAUCCAAUUUGGGCAUUCACAGUUUAAUUUGCUAAUUUGGGCUUCCCAAGGAAUCAACAGCUUUCCUAUGCGUCUAAUAAUGACUCGAUUCGGAUGGUCCAAAAUGGAUUACAAAGUAUAUGGGUUAACUAGAGACCUAAAAUGGGCUGAACCCUUGUCUUCCAUCAAAUUGUCACUGUAUAUAUGGCUGUCUUAAGUAACUUUUUCCAAUGGGGUUUCUACUCCUAUCAACUCCCCCUCCUCCUAGAUUAGGUUAUACCUAAAAUGGGACGUUUAAAACUAAAAGAACAUGAAAGAAAAUGAAAAAUUACCCAAGGGCCGUUUGGUAAUAAAACUACUGCUGGUCAACUUCAGUUGUGCCACUCAGUCAAAAUUUGGCAAAUUGCAGAAAAGAACAAUCAAACAAACGGCUGAAAGGUUGGACCUUCGAUGUUCAACAUCCACAAAUCAUUUCUUUCUUUUUUUAACAUACGACAAAUCAUAAUCUCCUAAAAUCUCCUUUUGUUAUAAUUUGGAUUCACAUGAUGCAUCAAAAAAUCUAGUUCAAAAAAAAAAAAAAAAAGAUUCCUUCAAUUAUAUUCCGAAAGCGUGAGGUAAAAAAUUCCCAUGCUUCAAGUUCUAAGCCAUCUAAAACCAAAUCCUUAGCCAAAUAAAACCAAGUCUACCGAGUAAAUAAAACUAAUUUUGUAAAAAGAAAAACUAAGUACUUCUGCUAAAACUAAACUAAACCAAGUAAUUAGCCUUAGCUCCAUAAUCCACUCAGAAUUUUGUGAACAAAACCUUGACAUCUUCUCCAUAAAUCUUUUCAACCUUUCCCAUAGAGCUGUAGUAAUUCUAAUUCCCCACAGGUAAAGUGAACUCAACAAAACUUCUAACUCAUUUUGGAAUAAUCUCAACGUUGUCAUCAACUCUUUCUUGAUUUCUACUAAGAAGUCGCCUCAUCAAUUAUCGUCACCUCUUUCUGAGCAAUCAAUGCACGCCACAAAUUCAGGCUUAAUCUUUGAUAUAUUUGUCAGCUGCAAUCCGAUUUUCUUCACUUCUGGGAAACCCGUUUAUGAGAAACUUCUUGGUUUGGCGUUCCUCUUAAAUCUUAAUAAACUAUGGCACUUACGUAACCAAAGCAUAAUAACAGUACUGUAAAAAGGAGUUUCCAGAUAAGGUUUAGAAUUUUGUUCCGCACAAAUAAUUAAAUAAUUAAUUAGGGCGGGAGAGCUUAUUGAUAGACGACAGCAAAAAGGAGCAAACACCUGUCGUUAAAAUUUUCAUAUAUAUAUAUAUCUAGCGAAUCUUGCAUCAAACUAAAUUGCGCGAAAAUCGUUCAAAAAGUUGCUUGCAUUUUGUCAAAUAAAUCUUUUAGUCAUUCACUUUUAAAAUGUUAAUUUUAUGUUUUUUACAAAUUCAAAUUAGCAAAACUUAUUCUCAACCUAAGUUUCCGUGAAAUCACACCACCACUUGCAUGCAGUCAUACGAAAAGGUUUGCUUCUACCUUUUUUUUAAUGAAAAAUGAAUAUGGAUGGAAUCCUACCUCACUUAUUUAGGGGAAAAAAUGAAUAUAGAUCGGGUCAGAUUCUACAUUUUUAGGGAUAAAAAUAGAUAUGAAUCGAGUCUUUAAAAAAAAUUACAAAUGAGAUCUAACCUUUUUUCCUAAAAAAGGAUCAUAUAUGGGUUAUGUGAUAAAUUUAGGAUAAAAUGUGGUCGAAAAUUUAGAUUGGAAUCAAAUUUUACUAAUUAAAUUUGUAAUAGACGUAAAAUUAUUAUUUUAAAAGCAAAUAAUAAAAAAAUUGUUUGACAAAAUGUGAUGGACGUUCUGGAUGAUUUUUCUUUAAAUUGUCUAAACAUGUCUCUGUAACUUGCUUGGACCUACACAAAUUAAAAAGAAAAAAAAAAACAGAAAGAAACAAACAUCUAGACCUCACGAGGUCCAUGCUUUUAGAUUGGAUUCAAUUACGCCACCUAAUAUUCUGCUGUGAUAAGAAUAGGAUUUGGUUGGUUCUUUCUUCAACUUUAUUGAAAAUGAAGUAAAUAAACUAUUUAGGUUGAAGUUUCAAUGAAAGCCGUUCAUAUUUGACCAACCAAAUUAAAUUCUUUGUGCUUCAAAGUUCAAGCUAUCCAGAGAUAAUUAAUGUCAUAGGUUUGGUGAGAUAUAGAAAAUUUAACAGUAUGGCAACUUGUCUAUGUAUGUAUACUAGUUGAGCUACGAUGUGCCACGCAUAGUAACUGCUCACUGAAAAGUAUUCAAUGUACCAAUUAAUUAAGUAAUAUAUUCGUGAUAGUUGUACUCAUAUUUUUUUGGAAAAAAUAACAAAAUGUAUAAAUGUUUUCAUAAUUUAGAGAUGACAACGUAAUUGGUGUUUAAUAAUAAAACGAAAAAUGUGCAUAUUUUUUUCACGAAAAACUAAUUUUUUUGUCACCUUUUAGUAGUAUAAAAGAAAAUGUGCAUGGUUGUUUAAAAAAUAUACCAGUUUUGUUAAACUCUCAAGAAGUAUUCGUUUUAAACUCUUUAUUUUUUUAUAGCAUAGAAACCAUUCAAUUAUAUAUGAAAAAUAGUUUUUAUUUCUGUUAGUUUGGAAUAGUAUAGUCCUUUUAUUUUUUUGCAUGAUGUUGCACUAUUGAAUUAUAUUGUGAAGAAAACAAAUAAUUAGAGGACUGAAAGCUCAUUGUCUAGAGAUUUUCUUGACUCACCUUGCGGACAUCAUAUGAUAGAAAUCUCUUUAAUUUUCAUCUCAAAUAAGCUUGCCACCUAUAUAUCUAAAAAUUAGGGACAAUAUCUAAAAAAUAAUGGUCAAAGGUUUUAAACUCUAGCAAAUUACAUCACAAAGUUAACAAUCUAUCGGUAACUAAGAGGAGAACAAUUGAUAAAUUCAAAUCCAACAGCUCAAAAUUGACAAUAAAAAAGUAUUCAUUUAAUAAAACAAAAUAAAAAUAAAAGAGUUUUGUUUCUCUUAUACUUUUUUUUUUCAGAGCCACAGUAUAAGUUUUGAUAGAUUUUUUUUCCUUCUAAAUCCCAAACAAAUAGAAAAACCUAAAAUACAAAUUCAAACGCAUGAUAUAGUUAUAUUUACUUUCUAAAUAAAUAAGCUUGCAUUUACAUUUAUAGUUUGUAGGCUUUUUUUUUAUUUUAAUACUAUAAAACAGAUUGUCUAGAUUGUUUUUCUUUUUUUCUUUUUUCAUAGCAAGUGGCUGGAUUGCCCUUUUCUUACCAUACCGAUUCUUAUAAUGGCAGAACAAAGGUCAAUGCAGCAAAAGAAAUGCAAACUUCACCUCCCAUUAUGCUAUAUGGAAGUACCUGAAGGAGCUACCGUAGAACCAACUGGUUCUUAUAUUAUAGUUAGAUAGUUAGAUAUGCUGGAUGUGAAUGCAUUAGUUGAUUUGAGAGGUAAUUUAGGCUAAUUUUUAGGCACCUGUUGUUUGGAAACAUUUUAUAGGUGUAGAACGAUAAUGACUCUAGUGCUACGCAUUACUGACAUUCAUAUUUCUAAACCCAUCUUUCCCUAUACUCGAAUACACUUAUGAGGUUUGUGGGGGGUCUUUAUCCCUUAGUAGCAGCAGCCUUACAGGCUUCCCUAUUCUUUCUAUCCCACAUCGUUCUUGGGGGUUACGGGUUGGGUAGUUAAGUUCCCAGGUUUGCUUCAAAAGUUGCCGGCUUUUGAGAUUAAAUUUGAAAUUAGGUUUAAUUAAACAAUUUCUUACUUCUGUAAGAAAAGGAAAAAAGAAUACACUUGAAUUUUCAUGUGAAUUUCAAUAUUCUAUUCAACAACUGGAGGGGGGGAAAAGGAUCCAUCAUAACUACAGUACGAAGGACAGUAAUUUUUCUUGCCCCAAUCAAAUACGGAUGGGGAACAGCUAAACUCAUUCUUGCUGAUACAUGAAAUUUCCUUCUCAUUUUCUGGUUGCAGAAAUGAAGUACCGGUCAGAAUUCCAAGCUUGAUGUUGUCUGUGGAUAUCCACAGAGAGAAAUUUUAUGGAGGCAUAAUCGAUUCAGGAUCAAUAGAUAAACUCUACGUAGAUACAUAAGAACUUAGCUUGCUAAUUCACAAAGUUAAGUGAAGUCCAUUUGGCAUGUUAAAUGAAAUCAAGUGUUAAUUGAUUCGAGACCAGCUACCUAGUAAUUGUUUGGGAUUGACAUAAAAUUUUUUCCAAGCAUGAUCUUAUAGUGCCAGUUUCCUUUUACAUCCUCGCCUUUGGGAAGCUUGGAUACUUCUACAAAAAGAUCUGUGCGUGAGUUUAAAUCAAAAAAAAAAAAAAAGGGAGCAGUCCAGUGAGGUAACAACACAUGCCAGGUCUGGUCUAAUAAUAAUAUAUAUUCCCACUAGUACACUAAACGAUAAAUGCCCGCAAAUGUAGACAAAUUGUAAUUUAUCCAAAUCCCAUAAAAUUACGAUAAAAUACAACAAUAGAAAUACCGUAUAUAUAUUCUUAACAUUACAGUAAAAAAACCGUCCCCAGCUAAAGCAAAAACCAUAAAUUUUUAUAAUUUUAAAUUAUAAGGAAAAUUUAAAUACAAUGCCAAAUUUGGCCUUGGUAGGUUGUCGUUGAGAAUUGGAGAUUUGAGACUAGAAAGCAGAGAGACUUUCCUCUGGUGCGCGAAAUCGAGAGUUUGUCUUCUCUAUUAUUCACGUACACCCUGUUCCUCUCUCUCUCUCAUCGUUAUUUUUUUUUAUUUCUCUCUUUCUCUCUCUUUCUGUGUAUACUUAUAUUUAGGGGACUUGUAUAGUUUUAUGUCUAAUGUGCAUCGGCAAGGGAUUUUGCAGCUCGAUCUGUAAGUUGUUUUAAUCAAUUUUUUUUGCACGAAUUUUCGGUUGAAUUUUUUCAUCUCAUGCAUUGAAUUACAGCAGAAAUUUGGGGUGAAUUUGAAAGCCCUAGAUCUUACUUGAUUCGCAGUUUGAUUGGAUCGAGUAGGGCGAUUUUGGUUUGACGAAGUGGGUUUUGUAAUUGGAUCUGGAAAAAUUACUAGCUACAAUUUGAUAGGGUUUUAAUUUUGGUAGCGGUGAAUUUCUUUUUAUUGUUUUAGUGAGAAGUAUUCUCUACGGUUUGAGUUGAUGGCUUCGAAUCCUCCAUUCCAAGUGGAGGAUCAGACUGAUGAGGAUUUCUUUGAUAAGUUGGUGAACGAUGAUGACGAUGACGUUGAUCUUAAGGUCACUGCCACGUCAUCGUUGGCUUCCACGGCCUCAGGGCCUGUUUUCACAGAUGGGGAUGAGUCUGACGAGGUUAAGGGCUUUGCGAAUUUGAGUCUAAAUGAGGCAGAUGAUAGUGAUAAGAAUGAUAAAAAGAUGGGAAUAGAUGAUUUGGGUGGGAAAUUAGAGAUUGAGCCGAAUGGCGUGGUUAAUGAAGUUGUUGAGAUUGAUGCUAAAGGGGUCGUAGCGGUGGAGGGUGUAGUGGAGGAGAGUAAUGGUGUUUUGGAAUCAUCGAGUUCAUUUGAGUUUGCAGGUGUAGUUGAGGAAAAUAAUGAAAAUGUAGGUACUGAGGUUUUGUCUGAUGCGACCACCUCUAGUAAGAGUGGCGGAUCUGGAGCUUUGGGUGUGAAGGAGGUGCAAUGGAGUGCCUUUAAUACCAAACAGGCUCAGAAUGAUAGUAAUGGGUUUGGAUCCUACUCAGAUUUUUUCACCGAGUUGGGAGAGAAUGCUGGCGAUUCAAGUGCCAAUAUGGUGAACAAUUUUGAUAAUGAGAUAAAGGGUAUAUCUGCCAAUGAAAAACAUGAAUCUGCAUAUUUGGAUAGCUCAAAUUAUGGGGAUUUUCAAGAUAGUUAUAAUUAUGGUACAGCUGCACAUAAAAGUAUAGAGGGGCAGGAUCUAAAUAGCAGUCAAUACUGGGAAAACCAAUAUCCUGGGUGGAAGUUUGAUCCAACUACUGGUCAGUGGUAUCAGGUGGAUGGCUACAGUGCGGGUGUAAAUAUGCAGGGAACUGCAGACUCUAACCCAGCUGGUGAUUGGACUGCUUUUGAUGGAAAGGCUGAGGUUUCUUACUUGCAGAACACUGCUCAGUCUGUUGCUGGAACGGUAGCUGAGAGUGGUACGACUGAGAGCGUCACUAACUGGAAUCAAACAUCAUAUCUCAAUGAUGCUACUGGGGCUGAAUCAAAUUGGAAUCAGGUGUCUCACGUGAGCAGUACGGGUGGAACUACAUCAGAGUGGAAUCAAGGAUCACAAGUAAAAAACGAGUACCCAUCACAUAUGGUGUUUGAUCCUCAAUACCCUGGUUGGUACUAUGAUACAAAUGCCCAAGAGUGGCGAUUGUUGGAUGCAUAUGUUUCAUCUUCUCAAUCAACUACUGGAGCUCAAGAUCAGCAUAAGCAGAAUGUGUCUAUGACAGAUACUCUCUCUCAGUACGACGAUCAGAAGACAUUUGAUACAUAUAAACAGAAUGUCUCUAUGACAGAUACUUUCUCUCAGUAUGACAAUCAGAAGACAUUUGAUACAUAUAAGCAAAACCUGAAUUAUACUUCAGAAGGAUUUGCUGCCCAAAGCCAAGAUUACAACUGGGCUGGAUCAUUUGGUCAUUUCAACCAUCAAAAUUCAAAUAUGUGGCAGCAUGGAACUGCUGUUAAUCCUGAAUCCAGUACAGGUUAUGGGCAAAACCAACAAUUGAAGAACCAUUAUGGCGCAAAUGUUUUGGGAAACAACCGUGUUAAUCAACAGAACUCUAGCAAUUAUGGGGGAACAAUUCCUUAUCAUGAGAGAGGAAGUCAAAGUCAGAAAGAGUUUUCAGCAGUUGGUGGCUCAAAAAACUUUGGUCAUGCGCCUAAUUUUAGUCAGCAAUUUUAUCAGCCAAGUAUUGAGCAAAGUGAACAGAAGCAUGUCUCUGAUGAGUAUUUUGCCAAUCAGAAUUCAGUUAAUUUCCCCCAGCAACAGUUUAACGGUACCCAUCAAUUCUCUUAUGCUCCGACUGCUGGAAGGUCAUCUGCUGGCCGUCCUCCACAUGCAUUGGUUACUUUUGGUUUUGGCGGGAAACUUAUUGUGACAAAAGGAACUGAUUCUAUUGGAGGCUCAUCUUAUGGAAGCCAGGUUAGCUGCAUAAAAGUUUUUUUUUUGAAUUCCUGUUGAUUGAUGAUGCUUUCUCUGAUACCAAAGUUUUUUGUGUAUUCUCUUUAAAGAAUCCUGUAGGAAGCUCCAUAUCCAUUCUUAACUUGAUGGAAGUAGUAAAUGAGAAAGAUGGUGCUUCAGCCCGUGGAUUUGGUGUUUCUGAUUACUUUCGUUCUCUCUGUCAACACUCCAUCUCUGGUCCACUUCAUGGUGGGGGUGGUGGUAUCAAGGAGUUAAACAAAUGGAUUGAUGAGAGAGUUGGGAUCUCUGAUGCUUCUGAUUUGGACUCCAAAAAAGGGGAAGCUUUGAGGCUGCUUCUGUCUUUGCUAAAGAUUGCCUGUCAGCAUUAUGGAAAACUACGUUCUCCUUUUGGUGCCGAUACAUUGUCAAAGGUAAAACUUGAUUUUGAUUUGUUACAAAGUAUUUAAUAUUGAUUGAAUUUGUGGGAAAAGAAUCAUUACAUUUCGAUGUCUGUUGACUAUAAUAUUUCAUGAAAUGUGGUUGGUGGACUACUGCUAGUUUUGUUUCAAUUGCUUUUUGUGGUGAAACUUCUUUGGACCGAGCAGAAACCUGUGUUUUCGGUUUCUCUGAACUGUUUAACGAAUAAAAUCCUGAGUUGGAGUUGUCAAAAUAAUGGAUAAUAAUUUGUGAUAAGAUUGAGGAAAAAAGUCUGAAUUUAGAUGUUUAUUGAAUGUCUCAAAAGGGGCAGGGGUUGAAAAAGAUAAAGUAUCUACUUUCAAAAGUCAAAGAUGUUAUUACAUCCUGGUCUGGUGGUAAAGGGUGAAUGUUGGAAGAAUAGGGGUACUUGGCUUUGAGUUAUCUGCAAAGAAUAUGAUAUUGGGCGCCAUUUUGUGACUGUUUUAGGUUUUAUCAGUUAGGCAACUAGUUCAUGGUAAGCACAAUGUACUUGGACGGUGGGAAGCCACCAUGUUUUUUCCUCUCAAAAUCAUUGCUUAUUCAAUUCUUUCCUCCUACCCCCAACUUUCAGUGGCUUUAUUUCCUUGCUUACAGUUUUGAAGCCAAUCAGGUUGAUUUUCCUGGAAGUAUGAGUUUUCUGUUUUAGUUUUAGUUUUUUUUUUCUCCCUCCUUUGAUCUCCGAUAUUUUGGGGUAUGCCUUCUCUUUCAUUGCUGGUGAUUGUAGGACUUAUAGCUGCCUUUGGUUUCAAUUUGGGCCACCUCAUCCCUUUACGUCAUGCUCUAGAGCCUCUUUAAUAAUGCUCAUGUUGUUUUUCAAGAAACACAGUUUGGGCAUAUUCAGCUGCUGUCUUUGAAAAUAUUUCAAUCCCUUUUUUUGAUGUUAUUAACUUAUCUUCGCUAAUCUCGGAGAUUAUGCAUAGGACAUAUCUUUAUCUGUUGUGUUUCAGAAGUUUAUGUGAAGGUUUCUUCAAUGGAAAACAAUCAUAUUGUCUUUUACCUGUACCAAACAGUAUUGAUGACCAUGGAAUGUUCUCGUCUUUUCUUUCUGGAUUUUUAUUGUGUGGGUGAUGGUUGGUUGUGAUUCAGUGCACCGAUUAGAUGUUAAAACUUAAAAUGAGAAUCCUUGAGAUUGACAAGGCAACUAUUUGUUGGCUCCUUUAGCUCUAGCUGAUUAAUCUCCUGGGAGCCUUGUGGGGAUUGCUGUUUCUCUUAUAGUUAAUAAAGUUGUCUAUGAGAAUUGGUCCUGUGCCUUUUUGCUACAUUAGUGUCAUCUUGAGAUUUACGUGGCUUCUCUGGCUCUUUUGGCUUUUGAAAUUAACAGGAGAAUGAUACUCCAGAAGCAGCAGUUGCAAACCUUUUUGCAUCUGCCAAAAAGCUCGGUGCUCAAUUCAGUAAUUAUGGUGCGAUUGCCCAUUGCUUGCAAAAUUUGCCUUCCGAAGGGCAAAUGCGGGUAUGUGUGUGGUACCUUGUGGUUGUGAUUAUUACUUAUCCAAAGCACUUAUAGAUCACAAUAUUUGUUUAGCCCACUGCUUCUGAGGUUCAAAGUCUCUUGGUUUCUGGGAGAAAAAAAGAGGCCCUGCAUUGAUAUCUCAGAGUAUAGGAAUAUGAAAGUACAUAUAUUAUACGCACUACAAAAGACAGUCGUCGUACACAGGUGCACCUUUUUUUUUUCUGGGUUCUAAUCCACGAAUCCCUAUCCUUAACGCGAGGAAUUGAGGGCCAGCAAAGGUCUGGUGUCUGGGGAGCAAAAAGGCAGACAAAUGAUACAUGCCCACAUGGAAUUUUAUUAUAAUAUAGUCAAUCACAAUUCAAAGGCACUUGCAAUUUCUUGGCCUGCAGACAAUGUGUUUAGUAACCCUAAUAAUAUGGCCACACAUUUCACAUGCAAUGCAUCAGUGCGCAUGGCUUGACUUGCUUCCUCCUGAAAUUUGCAGAAAUCUUAGUGACACCAUUGCUUAUCAUUCUUUAAAGCUAAUCAAGAGACUGCACAAGUAAAAUAUUCAACACUUCGGGGAAAAAAUUCCAAUUGGACAAAUGUUCCACAACUGUUAAAAGUGAGAGCUAAAUGAGUUAAACUAAGAAGUGAAGAGAAACUAAUGCCUUCCUCACAUAUAGCCUAUACGGGAUAUUGCAUGAACAAUCUAUUAAGAAUAGCCAUUCAACUUAAUUAAUUUCCUCAAUGGUUUUUUCUACCAUAACCCCACUAGCCCUCGAUCUUGCCCUAGCAAGCCAGCGUUCAACAUGAGAGAGAGAGAGAGAGAGACUUAUGAGCCCAUGAAAGCACGCUCACUUAUUGUGUCUGCUGUGAAAUUGGCAUUGCUUGAAAGGUACUUUCAAGCAUGAAUUCAAGCCAAGUAAAAAUGAUGUUACAGGUCAAACAAGAAAGAUAAUUCUUGUUUCUCACUUUCAUUGCAUAAUAAUGAACAAAACAACUACAAGUCUCUUUUUCCAAGUAUUAAAAGCCAACUCGAUCAAAUUUUGUCUACCUUAGCUAGUUCCCUGAUUCUUGACCUUACAGAAUCUCCAACUCUUUCCUUUCAAACUCAAAACACCACGAGAGACUACUUUUCGGGUAGUUUAGGCCUUUUUUUUUUUUUUUUUUUGACGUUUUGAGGAGGAAAACUUUGAACAACUGAUUUUUUUAGUCCUUUUUUGAUGGGCUGAAAGGAUUGAGUUUGUGUUUGAGUUUCAGUGCAGAGAUGAAUUUCCAGUCAUGGUAGCUUAGUACGAUGCUCAGGAUGGAAACCUGACUUUUUGACUAACUGAAUAUCAUGCAUAUGUUUCUCUCAAUCAACUUAUGGUAAUGAGUAUAUUUGUUCCUCGUUUUGUUUAAGGGAAUGGCAGGCAGAACAUUCCACAAACGCUUGAAAGAUCAAGAGAAUUUGAACCCCUGAGUUCGAAGGAAACGCAAUUAAUCCCACAAGACACCAUUCACUUGCCUGAUUUCCAGUUCAAUUAGCUCCAAAAGUAACCGAAAACUAAUAGUACUAAACACUAUUUAGACCUAAUUAAGCAUCAGAUUUAGUGUAGUUAAGACAAGGUAAGCUCCUAAGUGAAAUCGUUUGAAAAGCCAACGUAAGUACACAUUCUUAUCAGUAAUCUGUCUCUAGGUGAUGCCAAGUUGUUGGAUAAACAGCAAAGGAACCUAUCUUGCUAGACCUCACCAGAUAGUUUGCAUUUUGCAAAUUAGGUGUGAUCAAUUUUGAGAUAGAUUGUUAGAACUUGAUUUGACCAAUAAGAUGUGUUGAUUGCCUGUAGUUCUACAACUGAGACCGUGAGUUUAUUCCACAAGUAUGUCCACCCCCCCUCCCCCACACAACAAGCCCACAUAUAAGAAGUUAAAGAACGCAAUUCUUGAUGGACUUGUUCCCUGGGUAAAAAGUAAAUACUGGGAGGAUAAUAAUACUGCGAGACACAGACUGAGGAUAACAUCAUAUACUUACAUGAUUGAUUUAUUUCUCUAAUCUUGUUGCAAAGCUUCCAAUACAAAUUGAUAAAGGGUUGAGGGUCUGUUUGCAAACAAGUUUUUGGCGUUUGUCUUUUACAAGUUUUUUAACAACUUUAACUACAAUAAUCUCAAAAAACUCCUCAAAAUUUUUAAACUAUAUACUUCAAAAUAGUCAAAAUUUUUUCAAAGUUUUAGAUAAAUAUCCAAAAAACUCAUUUGUCAAACGGGAUCUGAGUUUAUACUUCUGGUCAUGGCCACUGGUUUAAUAUAUUUAAACCAUCAUUUUCUUAUUGCCACUGGUUUAACAUAUUUAAACCUUUGAGAGAUCAAUGAUUCAAAUCUUAUCUUCCACCAAAUGUCACAAUAUGUGGCUUCUCUAAAAAAAUCUAUAUGAGUGCGUAGUACACCUGUCUGAUCCAAUAGUAAUUCAGUUUCCAUUGAUUCCCUAUAGACUCAGUUGGACCUCCCCGUAGUUAGGAUAGAAUAGGAUAAUAUAUAUAAAGUCCCCUUAGAUGUCCCUAUUGGUCCCCCGUAAACACAAUUGAGCCUUCUCUUAGAUUAGUAUAAAGUAGGAUGAUGUAAAUAAAAUUCCCUUAGAUUAGGAUAAAGUAGGAUAAUAUAGAUAAUGUGACGACGACAAAAGAAAAAACCAUCAUUUUCACUUGAGCAUAGGCCUCUCAAAUUAAGAUAAAAUAGGAUAAUAUAGAUAAAAUCCCCUUAAAUUAGGAUAGAACGGGAUAAUACGGAUAAAGUGCGGAUGAAAAAAAAACAUCAUUUUCACUUGAGCAUCGGCAUAGACUUCUGCUUUUCUCUAAGCUUUGAACAGCUUCUGAGACCAUGACUUUGUCGGCUUGCCUUUUUAACACUUCUAUCCGACAGUAUCGAUGGAAUAUUCUCUCUAAUUUUCAUCUUCAUACGCCGUAAGUUUAGCUUCAUUGUUGGGGCCAGCAUAACAUUUUUUUAAUUGAAAAAAAGGAAAAUCGUCCAAAACGUCUUUUACUAAAAUAAUUUUUUUGUCCUUCACUUUUAAAAGUGUAAUUUUAUAUCCCUUACAUAUUCACAUCGAUCAAAUUUAGUCCCUAACUAGAUUUUCGAUCAUUUUUUAGUCGGAAUCCAUCACGUGCAAGGCACGUAAUCAUUUUUGAAGGGUAAAUUUGUCAAAUUAUAUUUUACAUAAUUUAAUCUAUAGUCCUACAUUUUAUAAAACAAAAUUUUUCGUCCCUCAUAUUUUAUAAAAUAAUUUUUUCAUCCCUCACAUUUCACAAAAUGAAUUUCUCCAUUCCUCACAUUUUCAAAAAAUGAAUAUUUUCAUCCCUCAUUAAUUAUGUGUGUAAGGGAAACCCUAAAAAAUAUAUAUAUAUAUAUAUAUAUGUGUGUGUGUGUGUGUGAAUACAUUUUAUUUAAACACAUAUAUAUGUCUAUUUGAUUUUGCUUUAAUAAUACAAAUAGAAUAAAUAUAUGUAUAUGUCUAUUUGAUUUCACUUAACAAUAUGAAUACCAUAUAUUAUACGUGAUCAUUUGAUUUUAUCUGAUAUUAGCUAGUAAAAAAUCUUGCAUUCAUUGUCAAGUUGGUCAAUAAAGUUAUUUUCGGUCAAAAUACAAUAAGAAUAUGCAAAUUAAGGUUCUAUUGGUAAAUAUUAGUCAUAAUCAUACAAAAAGAGAAGAUAGCCCACAAAUUGGGCCCAAUUACAUACAUGUGUUUAUGCUAUUAUUAUUAAAUAAAAUCAAAUAGACAUAUACAUGUGUUUAAAAAAAAUGUAUUCACACACAUAAUUAGUGAGAAAUAAAAAAAUUCAUUUUUUGAAAUGUGAGGGAUGGAGAAAUUCAUUUUGUGAAAUGUGUGGGAUGAAAAAAAUUAUUUUAUAAAAUGUGAGGGACGAAAAAAAAUUUAUUUUAUAAAAUGUGGAGGACUAUAGAUCAAAUUAUGUAAAAUAUAAUUUGAUAAAUUCAAAUUAAUCCAAAAUUUUUAGCAAGAAAGCCUAAUGAAAUUUUCUCCAUAACUAUAAUUAAAAACUCAUUACCAAAUAACUUAUUGAAGGAAAAAUCUAGUACUGCAUAACUUUGUACUAUAAGUAGUUAAUUUUUGGCAUGGCAUGGCAUGGCCUGUGCUCAAAUUUUCAGUAUAUAGAAGUAUGUGUAUGUGUAGUGGCGGUGUGGUUGAGAGGCGGCGGGGUAGCACCACAAGUGGUAGAAACAGUCUCUCCACCACUUAAAAACGACACCCUCCACUUGUCAGACACUGGCUAUCACUCUACUCCGCUCCUCUACUCUUAACUAACUUCACUCUCUUCUCAUCCACAACCAACUAACUUCGACUAAAAACUAGGACUUCCGUCACUUUACUACACAACACCACACAACCUUCACUCUUGUCUGGUCUCACCCACAAUCCAUGCCACUUUUUAUGUUGUCAUGUUUAUCUUUAUCUUAAACUGUGUAAAAAGCGCAGGAAGCAGCACCAGCUUAUAUAUAUUUUACUGCUGCCACUGCUACGUACAACCAUUUCAAGUACUCUUGCAUUCUUAACUCGCCACCAAUUGUACUGAAAAACACACUCACUAGAAGUCCUAAUCUCUCCCCAAAAAACAAAAAAAAAAAGAAAGGAAAAAAGUGCUAACAAUGGGAAUGGCGGAAGAUCAUGUUGGACAAUUGCAAGAACCAACUUUCAAGCACUUUUGCAGGGUAUGCAAAAGAGGGUUUGGAUGUGCCGGAGCUCUGGGGGGUCACAUGAGGAGCCAUGCUGUUGGAGAUGUUCGGAUGCAUCAAUCGAGUCGCGAUCAAGAAAUAGGCACCAGCAGCUUCAUGAGAAGCAAUAAGGGGGAAGGAGGAAGCAAGCAUUCGUACUUCCUCCGAACCAAUUCCACCAAUCGAUUCACCGGUGCUUGUCGAGCUGGUGAAGAUCUUCAAGAAUUUAAUAAUAAGAGGACCUUCACCCGCUCUGCUUUCCAUGAUGAACGCGAGAAAUUUUCAUCUUCCGUGUCGUCUUCUGAAUCUGAGGUUGAAGAGAUGAUGCUCAAGUCCGCGCGAGCAAAAUCCAAAAAUUACGAGGACCGGCAUUGUGCCGCCUCCAGCGAAGAAGAGGAUCUCGCGAAUUGUUUGGUGAUGUUGUCAAACGAAUCAUUUGUUCAGUCGGAUAAGGAGCAGGAAAACACGGACAAACACGUGGAAAAAGGUACGUUCCAGUGCAAAGCUUGUAAGAAAGUGUUCAAUUCCCACCAAGCACUGGGGGGACAUAGAGCCAGUCAUAAGAAGGUGAAAGGUUGUUAUGCUGCCAGAUUCAACUGCAGCACCAACCUCAAUGAUCAGGAUAAUGACAAUAAUUACGAAGAUGCCUUCUACCAACACGAGGAACAUUUGGCUCCGUCAGAAAAUUCUUCAGAGCCAGGGCUUGAUCUUGAUUUCUCACCUCAUCAUGAUCACCUUCCAAAAAAUACUACAUUGUCAAAAAGGAAGUCCAAAGCUCAUCAAUGUUCGAUUUGUCAGAGGGUGUUUUCAUCAGGACAAGCCUUAGGUGGGCACAAAAGAUGUCACUGGCUAACCUCAAACUUACCUGAUAAUACUAUCAUACAGAACUUACGUGAGCUCCAAUUUGAUAGCCAACAACUAUUCAAGAAGCCUAUGCUCACAAAACCCGAGCCACUGCCUCUUGAUCUCAAUUUCCCUCCAUUGCUGAACAAUGCGGUUGAUAAUCUGCACAUGAACUCAGCUGAUGAUCCCCUCAAUCACGAAGCCCCAGCUAGAAUUUUUCUCCAACUGUGGGGUAACGAAGAGGCUGACAACAGUACUAGUAAUAAUAAUCAUCAGCAGAACUAUACUACUAAAAGCGUGGUUCGUGGUUCAUUGCAUGAUGAGGACGAAAGUGCUAAAGAAGAUGGUUAUAGAACGGAGCAGACUGCAAAACUGAGUAAUCUGAAAGAUAUGAAUUUGGAUGGAGGGUCUUCUCGGUGGUUACAGGUGGGGAUUGCUUCAACUACUGAUAUCACAGCCACCCCAUGAAGUGAUUGUUAGUGUUAGUAAUUAAUUAGUUAUCUACUUUAAGCAAGACUUGUAAUUAUUACAUGUUCUUCCAUGUUAAACAUAGAUAUAUUUGAUUGUCUCUCUGGUGGAAAUUCAAUUUACAAUUUCAUCAAUUUGUGCUCUAUUUUUUUUCCUACUGCCAAUAUUGAGUCUGCUGCCUUUUUUAAAAACAAAGAAGUGAUAGUAUAUAUUUUGUAGCUAAUGGCAUUACGGAUUUUUUUUUUCUUUUUUUUGUGGUCUUAUCUCUAGGGGGCCUCCCUCCCUACUGUCAUAUCCAGGUUCAAAUCCUGAAUCUGGCAUUUGAGAGUGAAGGGAGGGGUUAAACAAAAAACUUUUGUGUUUUAUGCAGAUACGGAAGAAGAACAUACAAAUAUAUCGAAAAAAAAUGUGGGAAAGAAUGAAGAAGCUAGCAUGUUGUGUAUAUGGAGUCGGCUGUGUUGGCUAAAUGCUGGCAUGAGAAUCACAUAAAAAACUGUUUACCCAAGCUGCGAAGUCAAAGUCAGAUACAAAGUACUAAUAAAACCAUGUGAUUAAUUAGGACAUUUACAAUUGAUCGUUCUUCCAUAAAUUACCCCAUAUGCAUGGAUUAUUUUUUCAAUCAGAGGAAAAUGCAUGGAGCUUGGUGCUUCACUUCUCCUAUCAAUGUAUUGUCUAGAAUUGAAGUGAAAAAGAGCAGUUGCCUGUUAUUACAUGGUGUAAGAAAAAAUGGUUGAUUUUUUUUGUUUUCUCUGCUACUUUUAAUUCAUUGAAAUCGUUAGUACUCAUGUCAUACGUAGCUGGUUCACACCAUUUUGAAAGGCCUCCACCCCAGCCCACCACAAAUAUCAUAUCACAUACGGUACCGGCGGCCAACAGGACAUCAUGCCCUGUGUCUCCAGCCGAUCAUCUUCAACGAAGACCAGCUAAACAUAGAGCCAAAAAUUGUGCUCCUGUUCUAGCUCAUGCAGGGAGUUGAAGGUCCAUCUACAAAGGACCACCCUGUAUCACAUAUUUAUAGCUCCUUCUUUAUGAAUUAAAGGGUGCCGUGAGAUGUUAGUGAUUUGCUGCAACUUUGUCGGUCAUUAUUAGCUCUAAAAGUCUACACUAUAUUACAAGACGGACGCUAUGACAUAGAGUAUGGUUAAGGAUGCUAACAAGUUUGAUCAAAUUGAACACCUAGUAUUUAAGCUUAUUCGAUUGUUUUAAUGAAUUCAAAAUUUUGUUUAAAUUUGGCUUGUUUAUUUGUAAAACCAAAUUUCAAGAGUGAAGUGAAAGCAAUGGUUAACCACUGGGCCAGGCCUCUGGCCCAGUGGCCACCAUCUCUUUGGUGGGGUCCACCAGAAAUACCACGUUUCAGUGGUUUGUCUCCAAAAAUUCAGGCGGAUGUACUGUGUACUCGUCUGGUUCGGUGGUGGUUCAGUCCUUUCCGGUUUAUCCCUGGGCCUACUUAGGUCCGCCUCCUUCCCCUUAGUAUAGGAUAAAUUAGGUUUAUCGUCUCCGAAAAAAAAAAAAAAAGUGAAAGCAAUGGUUAGAAAAGUGCAAACGCAUCCAGAAAUCGAGGAAUGCCUCUGCUGUGGAUGGCAAUGAGUUUCUGAUUUUUAGAUUAAUAUCUCAGACUUUUCCACAAGAUCGAGAUGCUUAUGGGCAUGCUCUUAUUUGUUUGUAGUUUCUUAAAUUAUUGCAAAUAAGUUAUUGGAAUUUUGAAAAAAAAAAAAAGAAGUAAUUUGUAAUAGAAAACUUAAUAAUUUACUCUAUAAAGUCAUAUUCUGAAGGUUUCCUUUUUCCUUCUUCCAAUAUUAAAGUCAUCAAAAUCAAGCAAAGGAUAAAGGUUGGAAAUAUACUUAAUUACUAGUAGAACAUAGUCCCUUGACUUGAUAGGCCUCCUCCGUAACAUUUCGUUGGAAGGAAAAAUUCCGCUGCCAAUUGCAAAUGUCAUUAACAUUUUUCCUUUGAUUUGUAUUAUAUUAUAUGCCUUCAAAUGGACUACUAAUUAGUAAUAUAAAUCAUCUUAAAUUAAAUCUAAAUCUACCGACUAUGACUCAAAGAAUCAGCCGAGGGCUUGCGUGACAAUGAAGGGCGGGGGAGGGGUGAGAAUGGCGCGUGGGAAACAAAGCAUGCGCAAUAACAGGACACGUCCAUGUACUGCAGAUCAUACCUGUUCUUUGUAUCCGUGGCCAUUGGCAUCUUCAACUUUCUCAAAAUUGGCUGCCUAGGAAUGCGUGUAAUCAUGUUUGGGGCAUAUCAACGAGACAGUUCGUAUCUGAUUCGUACAAUUAGUGUCAAUUUUGGUUCAGAAAUUAGCGUCAAAUUUGUUUCGGCGUAGAUUUAUUGAAUCGUUUAUGCCUUGCCUUCUUCAUCUGCGUUCAUGGAGCAUUACAAAUUUACAAAUUGAAGUUCUUGAAGGUUGCAUUUUCAAGUUGACCGUUCCUUAUAUAGAUUAAAGUAGAGUAAGAGUUGACAAUUGACCAAAAAAAAAAAAAAGAAAAAGAAAAAAGGUUCAAGUUCCCUACUAAACAUUAUUGUUGUUGUUAUUAAUCACAAAAGAGAAAAAGCAAAUUAAUGCUUUGAUGUUGUAAAGAGUGCAAUAAAAUUAGUAGCAAAGUUUAUAAUAAUGGUAAAUACUAGAGAAAUAAAAAAGGCUAAUUAAAAAGGUUUCUGUAAGGUAAACAAUGAAAAAAAAAAAAGAAAAGAAAAAUCCAAUCAUUGCAAACGCUCUCUGCAUAGGAAUCCUAUACAAUUUUUUUAUUAUUAUAGGAUCAAUGUUUUUACAUUAUACAAAAAUGCAGCAUCUAUUCUAGGAGUUGUUGAAUAGUUUGAGAAGACAGAAUAAAAAUGAAUUACUUGAGGAGUGACGACAUCCAUCUUCAGGAGAAAUAGGUAUAGAGCAGAUUAUUAUCGAUCGUCGAAAAAAAAUAAAUAAAUGCCCGUCAGCUCGGGGGAAUCAUUCGCUAAAAUUUUCGGUUGGACUUGCCCUGAUGGCGUUGCAGGAGUCGUGAAGCGCCGGGCCGUCAUGGAACUGAUGAGUACCACACUCAUUACUUGAGGAGUGAGGACAUCCAUCCUCAGGAGGAACAGUUAACAACUUACCACUUUUAUAUAUAUAUAGUAGGUGUUACUAUCACAAAGAUCCUAUACUUGUAUAAGACUAGAUUUCAUUAUAGUCUAACAAUUGAUAAAUCUUAUCCUUCUCUAAACAAAUUUACUUAAGAAGAGAACCUAAAUUCUUAGGGCUUGUUUUUUAACUGAUUCUGAUUUUAUAAAAAUUGAUUUUGUAUAAUUAAUUCUUGAAAAUCAUAUUUUUCAUAAUAACUCACGUGUUCUCGUUUAUUAGUUAAAAAAAAAACUAUUUUAAUGAAUGCAUCAGUGUUCUCAAGAAAAGUUAAAAAGUUGUUUUUGACAAAAAUAUUAUCAAUUUACCCUUAUAUGCUACAUAAAUAAAAUUUUUACUAAUUAAUUAAUUUUUAUGUAGAUAAUUACUUUUCUUGUGAAGAUUCAAUGUUGGAUAAGAAAAAAGGAAUUGAGGGAACACAGAUGAACUAAAAGUGGGGCAAAAAUUGGAGAAGAAUAAAGAGACAUGCGACAUAAAAAUUUAUCUAACCUUUGGGUAGUAAUUAUGUUAAAAUUUGAAAGGUAGUUUAGUUGAUGUUUAGCUUUGUUUUAUCCAAAAAUUUGAAAAUUAUGUAUUUAAAAAUCAGUUGAGAACACAACAAAAUAGCGUUUCGAAAAUCAAAAACUAUAAUCAAGUUUCUAAAAUGAGUUUAGAUCGGAUCAUAUUUUUGUCGUCUACUCUAAAGACGUUUGUGCCCGAAAAUAUAACAUUUGAUCAAAGUGAAGAAAACUAUGGCCCCGUUUGACAAGUGAAUUUUUUGGAUGUUUAUUUAAAACUUUACUGUAACUUAUUGUAGAAGUUGUAGAAAAAAUUUUUAAAGUGUGCAAGUUUUUGGAUAUUUUGAAGUGUAUAGUUUAAAAACUUUGUGAAGUUUUUUGAGGUUAUUAUAGUUAAAAUUGUUAAAAAAUUUGUAGCAGACAAACUUGACCAAAAACUUACUUAACAAAUAAAGGUCUAUAGUUAAACCAGCAUGUCCAGUAAUUUAAGAACUCUAACUUAUAGUAGCAUAAUUUUUUUUCCCCGUGUGGAUUGAAGGUAUAUUAUCACUAUUUUUACAAAUUGUAUUCAAUUAGGCCAAAAAAAAAAAAAAAUAGAGCAGAGAAAGGGAAAUUGACACACGCCUCUGAUACAGUGGCGGAUGCGUCAUCAGCAUCAUUUCUGUUUGUUCCAUAAUUGAUGCUUGAAGCUGGAUUGUACUAACUGCAUUACGAAUGCUCUGCGCUAUUAGACUCACCUGGCAAAACGCAUUUCUUUCGGCCUGCAAUUUGCAGGCUGAAUCAAUUGUACCGACCGGCGAGCCGGACUGGACUGGGCAGCAAGACUCGAAAAGCCAUUUUCUUGGUUAUCCUUUUCUUGUCACGUUCUGAUCUCAUUCUUUGAGAAACUGCGAAUAUUUACGGACAGUUUGAUACUUUAUAUUGUUCCAAUUCUUCUUUAAUCUGUUUAAAAAAAUGACUUUCUUGUUGCAUAGCUAUCAGUAGUAUGUUCAAAACAAGUCAUUUUGCCACAAUAAAACUGAAGUUUGUGAGUUGCCUCAUCAAUUUAGAGAUCCUUUCAUGAAUUAUAAUUUCGCUAAAGUUACCUCAGUUUAUGAUUCACUGACAAUGGGCAACUAUUAACAGUCCUCGUUCCUUAUUAUUUUGAAGUGACUUUUAUGCGGAAACUGAUCCUCGUUACAUCGUAACGGAAAUGGGGCACGGCCAUGAUGCGGCCUCAAAAAUUUGUGCGGUUCAGAUUACAGCAUGUAACUCGAUUUUCACGUCAUGUGUGUGGCUCACAAAAAAUUGUUCUAAAGUUACUCCAUGUGUAAAGAAAGUUACGCGAUGUCCAAAAAAUAUUACGCGCUGUUAGAAAAUGCACAAACCGACACAAACGGUUGCACCGUUUGUGCCCCAUGUCCAAUCGUAACGGAUAGGCUAAAGUAGCAGUAGUAAUAGCUUUUGCAUUGUUGACGUGAUCUACGGGUUACUUUUUCUGAAGAAAGCGCUACUAGACAUAUAAUCUCUAAAUCACCACAUACAAGACGUGCCAAUAUUGCACUCAUGAUAGUUAUAUUAAAUGUUUUUUCAAAAUUAAAUUUCUAUAACGUGGACCAUAUUCAAUGGACAAUAAUUCAAAGUUCAAAAUAAAGGCUGUUUAAAGAAAUGAAAUUUAUUAUUAUUAUUAGCAUAAAUCAUCAACCAAAAAAGGAUCAAGAAAAGUGCAGCAGCCCUUCUUAUGGCACGAAGCUUUAUCAUCAUCAAUGCCCUGCCCGUUUGGUCACAACAAACCCCAACGAUUCAUUGACUCGUGCGAGAUGGGCACGUAUUGGUUUUAGCGACACUUAUAGAGCUCAUGAUCGAGUUUGUUAACUGCCAUGGAAGAAGAAUAUUGUGUUAAUGGGUCUAAUCACAUUUUUUGAGAAAAAGAGAUGAUGCAGGAAUUAAGUAAGUGGAUCAUCAAUGUGCUGGAAGAUAAUGACAUUAUGUGUUUAGGUAGAGAAGUAAAGAGCACUUAUUGUGGUAACAAUUUGGAUUCAAACAUUUAAGUCGUAUAUUUCUGCAAUUGAGAAUUUCACCGAGAGCAUUUAUGCAUUAUGUUAUUUGACGAUGAAGUUUAAGAAUCAAAGUGAAAAAAUCAAAAGUAUAGUUGAGGGUGCAAAACGAAAUUAACACUAUUUAUUAUUUUUUCUCAAACCAUCCUAAAUAAAUCUUAGUUCCACCAUGUCAAAUUAGAACUUCAAUAUUGUUUGGAUCGUGAUUUUUCGCAGGAACACAAAAGUUUUGCGUCUUUCGUGAACACGUUUCUCAGUUAUCUUUUCAUCUCAGUUUCUGAUUUGUGUCGUGACAAUCUAGAACAGUUUCCUUGAAAGGCAUAAAAUGGUCCUCUGUCUUAAAAUUGAAGUUCAUAGAAGCCGAUUUAUGAUAUGAAACACUUUUAAAAACGCUACUUCGCCUAAAAGCCGCAUAAAUUUGCACUGCGCGACUUUAUUAAGGGCCAAAGUGGACUUGAGUAAAUUGGCCGCAUAAUCUAGGGACUAUAGUAGUAAAAGUGUCUGGUAUCGAACAAAACUAUGGGAGAACUGAAGUAAAUGGAAACCAAUUCAAUUCUACCAAAUUUAGACGAUUUGGUGGUGGUCUGCAAUUCAAGACAUAUUAUUGCUUGCUUGCUUGUUUGUUUAACUAAAUCCUAAAUCACAAAUUUUGGUGGAAAUGAAUUACAGUAAAAUCUCCCAUGCCAUGAGGAACAGUCCUAGAAACAGAAAACACCGCCUCUUAGUACUCGCAUCAAAGUUUGGAAUAAAGAAACAAAACUACGGAAAUGGCAAGAUUUGCAUGUUCCUUGUCCCUCUUUAUGUCUUCAUCCAUUCAUCCUUGUCACGCCUUUUCCAAUUUUCCCCCCUAACCUUCCAAUUAUAAACUUUGCCAAGUGAAAUCAUCACCUUCAAUUACAUUUUACAACUAAUUAUGCAAAUAGAAAUCCAUCCUUGUAAUUACUUCCGUCCCAAUUAAGGUCCAUCUAAAUGACAAUUUUUUUUGUGUGCAUAUAAUCGUAAUAUGUGAGCUGUUGGGCUUAACAAUAAUAUAGGUCUCCCUUGUACCAUUAUUAUCAUCAAAAAGAAAAGAAAAGAAAAAAGGGUUAAACUCAAGAAUUUAUAAUUGUCUUUUUCUUUCUUUUUUUUUUUUUAAUUUGUUUGGUAAAAAAUGAAAUAUUUUUGGGUGGAGUGUGGCUUUUUGGUGGAAGAAUGCUUGUCACCUACUCCUCUUAAGUUCCUCACUCCCACCGUACUUUUACUACUCACUUCUCCAAAGCUUAUAGGACAAGAGAGAGAAAAUCAAGGCAGCAGCUAUGUUGAGAGAGAAACUCAACUGAGCUGAAUAUAUAUGUACUGCUAGAAGUACAGAGCACACUACACAUUCACUAUACAAGAAAAUUAAAGAAGAUUACAAGAAAACCUCUUCAAUCUUUGGCGUUGUUGUGCGGUGAAAAAAGCCAAAAAAAAAAAAAGAAAAAUGGUGAGACCGGAGAGACACAAAUGUAAGCUUUGUUCAAGGAGUUUUCCGAGUGGAAGAGCUUUGGGUGGUCAUAUGAGGUCCCAUUUGGCCAACUUGCCGCUUCCUCCCAAGACACCGCAAAAACAGGAAGCCAGCAGCCAGCUCCCACCACAGCCCGGUGGUGACGCCUCAACCGAGUCAACAACUUCAUCUGAUUGUUCUUUGUCAGAGGAGGAAGUAGUAGUAGUACAAGUGAAGGAAUGUGCAGCUGAAGAUAAAGGGCUGGUUUAUGGACUCAGAGAGAAUCCCAAGAAGAGCUUCAGGAUGGUAGAUCCUCAGUUCUUGGAUGGUGGUUCGGUGGUUGUUCAAGACAGAGGAAGCGAGACCGAGUCAACUAGGAAACCAACUCGGCAAAGAUCCAAGCGAACUCGGAGAAUGCUUGUGUCUGCUGCUAAACAAGAAGGAGCUGAUGAGGCACUGAUUAAGGAGAAGAAAAUGAUGAAGACAACUGAGUCAUUGUUGGAGUUGGAACAACCGGUGAGUUCGGUCUCUGACACUUCACCAGAAGAAGAUCUUGCUUUAUGUUUGAUAAUGCUUUCUAGAGAUGUUUGGAGGAGGACUAGUACAACAACAACAACUACUACUACUACUACUACUUCAUAUGACUCCGCAGAAGAGUUGAAACUCGUGAAUAGUAGUACUAAAAGGAGGCACAAGAAGCAGAAGAAGAUCAAGAUUAAUAAUAAUGAUUCUUCAUCUGAUCAAGAAGGCGAGUCCUCAGAGGAAUUAGAAUUACCAAGAAAUGGUGUUAGUAGAAGUUGUAGCAUUAAAAAUGUGACGGUGGACAAAAAAGUGCAUGAGUGCCCAUUUUGUGGCAAAGUUUAUGGGUCAGGUCAAGCUCUCGGUGGCCACAAAAGAUCACACUUUUUGGGUUCAUCAACAACAUUAACAACUACAGCUACAGCAGCCACAGCGGCUGAGAGCUUGUUACUGGAAUCGUCAUCAAAUGCUGCUAAAUCUCAGCAAGGUACGUUGUUAAUGAUAGAUCUUAACUUGCCAGCUCCAAUGGAAGAUGAAGACAUUGACGAUGAUCAUCCUCAUGAAAGUGAAGACUUUAAUUUGCAUCAUAGAAGAGGCUUCUGCAGUUUCAGAUGCUGAUUUCACCAAUCCCAUCAACCAUUGACAAUCAACAAAUUUUAGAGAGCCUAUCAGUAUUCCUCCUUUGCUUUUUUAUUUUUAUUUUUUAAAAGCAUUUCCUAUUUUUGAGUUUCUUUGUGGCAAUAUGGUCGAUUCAGUUUUUAUCUAUUUGUAGGAAUGCAUUAACUUCAAAUUGCCAAUGUAAGCUUACUCUCCCUAGUAUCCUUCCAUUGGUAGUUGCAAACGUGCAAUACAUUGCUUUGUUUCGAUAUCUUCACAAGAAAUGUGCAGUUAGUCGCUGUAACUACUGGUGCGCCUGUGGGGCGCACCAGCUAGCUAGUGGGGUUACAGGAGAGCAAGAAAGACUUUGCAUUAUUCUACUGGUGAUUAAUUUCUAUACAUUUAUGUCUUCCCUUAAUUAGCUUGCAAUUUUUUCAGGGAUAUGUACAAUAUUGGUAGUAUUACACACUAUUAUCCAUCAUCCCAUUUUUCUUUCUUUCUUUCUUUCUUUUAUCCUCUGGGGACUUCAGUUUAUCUCGUAGUUCGAGGUUUGUGUGCAUGGUGGCAAUUCUCUUAAAGUUUUGCUUGUGAGACAAGAAUUUUGUUUCUGAAAAAAAGUAAGAGCACCAUAUUAAUUGUGUCCAGUGCUGCUGUCUACUUGUGAAAUUAAUCAAACUUAGUUCAGUUCCUGUUUACAGCUGUUGUUACCUUCGUGAUCUGUUCCCUUCUUUCGGUGUGGUAUAAAGAAUUCCAGAAAAUCCCAUUUCUUUUGUUCUCUCUCAUCAUUGGCUUGGUGGCUUUGUCUGCUUAAAGGACAGGGUUCCAGACUUCCAUUUCCUCCCUCCAUCCAUGUCCGCCAGAAUCUUGAUUUUAAAGACCGAAUUAACCUCUCAAAAAAGUGCAUGUGAUGUGAUUAAGUGCCAUUCUUGCAUGGACCCCUCCCUAGUCUCAUGGAUUAGCAACGUUGCUGGGAAGUUGACCUCAGAAUAUCCAAUCCUUCAAUCAAUUUUGGCUUCUCACAUGUAUAAACAAAUGUUUUUGGUGGCUUUGAAACGGUCCAAGAGCCCGAGAAAGUCAGUAGACUCAGUAAUAGUGCAGCUGCAGGCUUGCAGCUCAUGCCAUCAUGAUUGAAACCAGCCACUUUAUUGAUAUUAAAUAAAUUAGCUUCAAAUUCGGAUAUAUGCAUAGAUUGUUGUUCUAGUCACAUAAUUCAGAUUAUAAAUGCUACUCUUCACUUGAUCUUAGCCAAAAAUGCCGAGAAAGGUACUUGUUAAUGCUGCGACAUAUAAACACUGCAGUUACAGUUUUCAGCUGAAUACCUGGUCCAAGCUCCUAAGCUUUAACUUGGAGUUUGAAAUCAAUUGGUAUGAAUAAAGGUGAGAAAACAGGUUAGGCAGAGAGUAGAAGAAAAAAAAAAUCUGGGACCAUAAGUUACUCGUGUGUGUGUGUGUGUGUUAAUGAUGAUGCUCUAUUCACCCAAGAAAUUCCACUUCCUUUUCUUAUUCAGAUGAAGAUCCAACAUGUGAUUCAAGGUCUCGUUUUAAAAGGGACAAAAAUAUAGGAAAAACAGUAGUGAGAGGUCGAACAAAUUGACACUUAUUUUUACAGCAAAUUCAUAAAAGUGUCUAAAAAAAGUAUUUCGGCUUGUGUCAAUGAGCACCGAAAAUCAAGAAAUGCGUAGCUUCUUCAAAGUAAAAAUGAUAUUUCCUAAUGAUCGGCUCUUGCAGCAAGGGAUGAUUGGUUUUCAUUACGUAACAUCUAAUGAUUCAAUCAAAUGGUUACACCAAUUCAUUGAUCAGGCCCAAUUCACUUCUCAUGCAUGUGUUUUUUGACCCUAAGUGCUCAAAGAGAUUCUUACAAAUCGUCUGUCUGUCGAUAACGGUGUUCACAUCGGCACUGAGAUUUCGAAUACACGAUUUUUUGUGAGAAAGUGACAUGUUCCUAUCAAUUGAACCAAACCUGCGUCGUCGAAACCUGUGUCGACAGCUGCAUUUUUUCUCUUAGCAGUAUUACCAUGGAUAUCUAAAGGACAAAUAAUCUUUCUUUCUCCACAAUCCCCGUACCCCGCUGAUGAAGGGCAAAUUAAUAUCCCCAUUCAGCGCCAGAGUCACAUUCUGAUCUUCUUCUUUACUUUUUACGUGAAAUGGCCACCCCGAAUUUACUCAUGAGCAGCAGAAUAUUAUCGUCAUUUCUGGCCCGUAAUUAAUCUCCUUUUAUCUUGAAUAAACCAGUUGGUUGGAUUGGGAAUUUAUUGCAGAAUUUCUAUCCGGAGUACAAAUCCUGAAAUUUGAUUGCGGAUAGAAUUUAAUUGUUUCACAUAAUUUAAACCAUUUCUCCUACUCCUCACUCGGCAAUUUAUGCCUUUGGUUGGAGCCUAGAGGCGACACCAACUUUGAGUUUGCGGCAUCAAAGCCGCGAGUCCCUGUCCCAGCUCUUCAUUGUCAGACCUACAUACAUAUGUAUGUAUUUUGUGUGUUUGUUUAGACCAAGACCCACCUCGUACAGAUACCAAACCUAUCUCGUGGUACUUUAAAAUUCUGGAUCAAAGAUUAGGAACUUUUAACUACUCCCUGCCGCGAACGACGAUGGAUUGAGCAUUUCGGUUUUCCAAAGGUGUAAAUGUUUUAUUUAUUACACUUCUUGAAUAUAGGUGCCCUGUUGAAUAGAUAAGAGUUAAAGCAUCGUUUGUUCGAAUUUCACUAUCAAUACGAGGAUUAUGUUGACGGAUAUUCUAUAAGCAUCCGUGUAAGUUAUUCUCGGGACAUAUUGCGAAUCUGUAAUAGGAACUGAAAUAAAAAAACCACCCAAACGUCCUCAAAUUUCAUACAACAAAAACGUCUACACAAUUGUACUUUAUUAAGUAGUUUUACAAAGUUUCACCGAAUCAAUAAUAUGGUUAAGGUUCUCAGUGUAGCCUGAAAGUCAGCAUGCCUUUUGGGUUGGACUGUAGGUUUCCCUUAGGUAGUGUGUGUGUGUGUUAUUUGCGGUUGUUUGGAUAAGGAAAAUCAUGGAGUGGUUAAAAGCCGUUGGUGAGCCUUUGGCAAGAGUCUUGGUGUUUCCCUCUCCCCCAUUCCCUCUAUCCCACAUCGAUUGUGAGUGGCGUGUGUGUGUACUACUUAACGUCCUCAAUGUAGCCUGAAAGUCAGCAUGCCUUCUGAGUUGGACUGUGGGUUUCCCUUAGGUAGUGUGUGUGUUAUUUGCGGUUAUUUGGAAUAAUAUGGUUAACUAAACUAAAGUAUGAAAUCACACGAUAAUGUUUUCAACAUUAAGCAAUGGCAAUGGGAUUACUGUAUUAAUAUUGUUGACGUACUUAUUCAUUUAAUCUCAUAUUUAAAAAAUAAAAUAAAAAAAAGGGGGCACGGGAUCUUUGCAGGACAAGGAAACAAAUGUCGUGAAGCUUUCCGAAAGUAACAAUUUUGAGUUUCGAAUUUUCACCAGUGCAUAUUGCAAUCUGAGAAUUUCCAACUUGAGUUUCUCUCUUGUCUGCCUUUUUUAUGGUUCUGUUACUAAAAUAAACAGCAAUCCCUCUAGAUUGUAUAAAGAAUUUGGGGUGGAAACCUAUUUGCAAAAUCAAAGGAUCAUGUCAUAGAUUUUGUAAAAUUUCUAAAGAAAUCCGGUAUAUGCAUACUAUCUAAACUACGUACCUAGUCUGUGGACUUUGAAUCUUGGUCCCCGCACGAACCAAUGGGCAGUUCGGUUUAGCAAUUUUCAUCAUCAUUGAUGACUGAUGACCAUACUAGUAGUUUCCCACGGAAAUUCUUAGUUGCCUGUGAAUUUUAGCCUGCAAAUAAUCCUGAAGUUGUUGAAUGACCCCCUUGCAAAUAAUUAUAUCAAUUUAAAGACAUUUCUAGUCUGCAAAUAAUCCUCAGUUAUUGAAUGGCCCUCUUGCUGAAUUGAUUUGUUCACUUUCGUGUGUAUAACUAUACAAUGUAUAAAGUAUCAUACGAUAGCCAAAGUCUAUGCACAAUUGAUUCAAAUAACAUUUUUAGGUAAUUUGUGUUUGGAUUGCAUUUUUCAUGAUUUUUCAUGAAAAAAAUACUGUAGCUAUUUGAUGUAUGUGAGGGAAAAAGGUAAUAGAGAAAUGUGAUCACAGAAAACGACGUAAUUUUUUGACGAAAAACAGCAAUCCAAACAAGACUGGCAUAAGAAUUAGUGACUAUUGCGCUUCUUAUAUCAUCAUUACUAAUACAAGGUUUUAAAUUCUAAACUCAAAGAAAUCGUAAAAUAAGACAUACCGGUUAUGAUUAAUAGACUUUAAAUUAACUAAUUAGUCUUCAUCCAAUUUGGGCAUUCACAGUUUAAUUUGCUAAUUUGGGCUUCCCAAGGAAUCAACAGCUUUCCUAUGCGUCUAAUAAUGACUCGAUUCGGAUGGUCCAAAAUGGAUUACAAAGUAUAUGGGUUAACUAGAGACCUAAAAUGGGCUGAACCCUUGUCUUCCAUCAAAUUGUCACUGUAUAUAUGGCUGUCUUAAGUAACUUUUUCCAAUGGGGUUUCUACUCCUAUCAACUCCCCCUCCUCCUAGAUUAGGUUAUACCUAAAAUGGGACGUUUAAAACUAAAAGAACAUGAAAGAAAAUGAAAAAUUACCCAAGGGCCGUUUGGUAAUAAAACUACUGCUGGUCAACUUCAGUUGUGCCUUCUUUCGAAAAACGAAAUUUGACUAAUUAAAUCUAAUUCCAGAAGUCAACCCAAAAGCCGGCAACUCUUGGAUUGCUCCCAAGAACUUAACUACCCAAAAUUUGUGCCACUCAGUCAAAAUUUGGAAAGUGCAGAAAAGAACAAUCAAACAAACGCUGAGGUGGCGAGUACGACCUUUAUGGUCAACAUCCACAAAUCAUUUCUUUCUUUUUUUUUACAUCGACAAAUCACAUCUCUGAAAAAUCUCUUUGUUAUAAUUUGGAUUCACAUGAUGCAUCCAAAAAUAUAGUUCAAAAAAAAAAAAAAGAUUCCUUCAAUUAUAUUCCGAAAGCGUGAGGUAAAAAAUUCCCAUGCUUCAAGUUCUAAGCCAUCUAAAACCAAAUCCUUAGCCAAAUAAAACCAAGUCUACCGAGUAAAUAAAACUAAUUGUGUAAAAAGAAAGACUAAGUACUCCUGCUAAAACUAAACUAAAUCAAGUUAUUAGACUUAGUUCCAUAAUCCACUCAGAAUUUUGUGAACAAAACCUUGACAUCUUCUCCAUAAAUCUUUUCAUAGAGCUGUAGUAAUUCUUCUAAUUCCCCACAGGUAAAGUGAACUCAACAAAACUUCUAGCUCAUUUUGGAACAAUCUCAACGUUGUCAUCAACUCUUUCUUGAUUUCUACUAAGAAGUCGCCUCAUCAAUUAUCAUCACCUCUUUCUGAGCAAUCAAGGCACGCCGCAAAUUCAGGCUUAAUCUUUGAUGUAUUUGUCAGCUGCAAUCCGAUUUUCUUCACUUCUGGGAAACCCGUUUAUGAGAAACUUCUUGGUUUGGCGUUCCCCUUAAUAAACUACGACACUUACGUAACCAAAGCAUAAUAACAGUGCUGUAAAAAGGAGUUUCCAGAUAAGGUUUAGAAUUUUGUUCCGCACAAAUAAUACACAAACAAAUAAUUAAAUAAUUAAUUAGGGCGGGAGAGGUUAUUGAUAGACAACAGCAAAAAGGAGCAAACACCUGUUGUUAAAUUUUUCAUAUAUAUAUAUCUAGCGAAUCUUGCAUCAAAUUAAAUUGCGCGAAAAUCGUUCAAAAAGUUGCUUGCAUUUUGUCAAAAGAAAUCUUUUAGUAUUCACUUUAAAAUAUUGAUUUUAUGUUCUUUACAAAUUCAAAUUAACAAAACUUAUUCUCAACCUAAGUUUCCAUGAAAUCACCCCACUACUUGCAUGCAGUCAUCUUUUAUGCACGAAAAAGGUUUGCUUCUACUCUUUUUUAGUGAAAAAAUGAAUAUGGAUUGAGUCCUACCUCACUUAUUUAGGGGAAAAAAUGAAUAUGGAUUGGAUCAGAUUCUACAUUUUUAGGGAUAAAAAUAGAUAUGGAUCGGGUCUUUAAAAAAAAAAAUACAAAUGGAUCUAACCCUUUUUCCUAAAAAAGGAUCAUAUAUGGGUUAUGUGAUAAAUUUAAGAUAAAAAGUGGUCGAAAAUUUAGAUUGGAAUCAAAUUUUACUAAUUAAAUUUGUAAUAGACAUAAAAUUAUUAUUUUAAAAGCAAAUAAUAAAAAAAUUAUUUGACAAAAUGUGAUGGACGUUCUGAAUGAUUUUUCUUUAAAUUGUCUAAACAUGUCUCUGUAACUUGCUUGGACCUACACAAAUUAAAAAGAAAAAAAAAACAGAAAGAAACAAACAUCUAGACCUCACGAGGUCCAUGCUUAUAGAUUGGAUUCAAUUACGCCACCUAAUAUUCUGCUGUGAUAAGAAUAGGAUUUGGUUGGCUCUUUCUUCAACUUUAUUGAAAAUGAAGUAAAUAAACUAUUUAGGUUGAAGUUUCAAUGAAAGCCGUUCAUAUUUGACCAACCAAAUUAAAUUCUUUGUGCUUCAAAGUUCAAGCUAUCCACAGAUAAUUAAUGUCAUAGGUUUGGUGAGAUAUAGAAAAUUUAAUAGUAUGACAACUUGUCUAUGUAUGUAUGUAUAACUAGUUGAGCUACGAUGUGUUGCGCACGGCAAGUGCCCACCGAAGAGUAUUCAAUGUAUGAAAUGAUUCAAUAUUAUAUUCGUGGUAGUUGUAAUCAUAUUUUUUGGAAAAAAUAACAAAACGUAGAAGUGUUUUCAUCAUUUAGAGAUGACAACGUAAUUGGUGUUUAAAAAGAAAAAUGUGCAUAUUUUUUUCACGAAAAACAUUAUUUUAGUAGUAUAAAAGAAAAUGUGCAUGGUUGUUUUAAAAAAUAUACCAAUUCCGUUAAACUCUAAAGAAGUAUUUAUUUUAAACUCUUUAUAUAUGAAAAGGUAGUUUUUAUUUCUGUUAGUUUGGAAUAGUAUAGUUCUUUUAUUUAUUUAUUUAUUUUUUGCAUGACGUUGCACUAUUGAAUUAUAUUGUGAAGAAAACAAAUAAUUAGAGGACUGGAAGCUCAUUGUUCGGAGAUUUUCUUGACUCGCCUUGCGGACAUUAUGUGAUAGAAAUCUCUUUAAUUUUCAUCUCAAAUAAGCUUGCCACCUAUAUAUCUAAAAAUCAGGGACAAUAUCUAAAAAAUAAUGGUAAAAGGUUUUAAACUCUGGCAAAGUACAUCACAAAGUUAACAAUCCCCACGGUAACUAAGAGGAGAACAAUUGAUAAAUUCAAAUCCAACAGCUCAAAAUUGACAAUAAAAAAGUAUUCAUUUAAUAAAACAAAAUAAAAAUAAAAGAGUUUUGUUUCUCUUAUACUUUUUUUUUUCAGAGCCAUAGUAUAAGUUUUGGUAGAUUUUUUUCCCUCUAAAUCCCAAACAAAUAGAAAAACCUAAAAUACAAAUUCAAACACAUGAUAUAGUUAUAUUUACUUUCUAAAAAAAUAAGCCUGCAUUUACACAUAUAGUUUGUAGGCUUUUUUUUAAAAAAUUUUAAUACUAUAAAACAGAUUCAAGUCUACAUUGGUUUUCUUUUUCUUUUUUUUUUUCAUAGCAAGUGGCUGGACUGCCCUUUUCUUACCAUACUUCAUAUCAUAUCAUUAUUCCAUGACCCAAAAUUUGCAACCGGUUAGAUUCUUAUAAUGGCAGAACAAAAGGUCAAUGCAGCAAAAGAAAUGCAAACUUCACCUCCCAUAAUGCUAUACGGAAGUACCUGAAGGGGCUACGGUAGAACCAACUGGUUCUUAUAUUGUAAAUAGUUAGAUAGUUAGAUAUGCUGGAUGUGAAAGCAUUAGUUGAUUUGAGAGGUAAUUUUUAGGCACCUGUUGUUUCGCAAACAUUUUAUAUGUGUAGAACGAUAAUGACUCUACUGCGACACAUUACUGACAUUCAUAUGUCUAAACCCAUCUUUCCCUAUACUCUUUUUUUUUUUUUUUUUUUUUUUUUUUUUGACACAAGGGUGUCUGAAUCAACUUUUAUGGAAUCCGAUUAAUUUCCUGCGAUCCAGACCCGACGCCACAACUCGACUCGAACGCGAUAAGUGUUUGGAGGAACCCAGCGAAGCGGAGACUCGAACUUGAGACUUUAAGGAUCACCGGUGAGAGGUGCUACCGCUAGACCAUUCACGCGGGGAUCCAUCUUUCCCUAUACACUUGAAUUUCCAUGUGAAUUUCAAUAUUCUAUUCAACAACUGGAGGGGGAAAAAAAGGAUACAUCAUAACUACAGUAUGAAGGACAGUAAUUUUUCUGGCCCCAAUCAAAUACGGAUGGGGAACAGCUAAACUCAUUAUUCUUACUGAUACAUGAAAUUUCCUUCUCAUUUUCUGGUUGCUCAUGUGACCCUUAUAUGAUACCUUAAUUUCUUUGCAGGAAUAAAGUACUGGUCAGAAUUCCAAGCUUGAUGUUGUCUGCGGACAUCCACAGAGCGAAAUUUUAGGUGGAGGGGCGGAACGGUUGUCAGAUUAGGCCAAAAAAAUUUAUGCAGUUCAAAUCACUCAUUGUAAUUUGAUUUUUAUGCCGUGUGGGACCCACAAAAGUGUUGUUCUAGUGUUAUUCGCUGUUAUUUUAUUGUUACACUUUGUACAGAUGAUAUUACAUUGUGUGCGAAUGGUGUUACACCUUCCGAAACGGUUACUUUGACAAUCGUUCCAGCCCCCGAAUCCAAAAUUUUAUGGAGGCAUAUGUAGUAAUCGAUUCAGAAUCAAUCGAUAAACUUUACGCGGAUACAUAAGAACUUCACUUGCUAAUUCACAGGUUAGGUGAAGUUGAUUUUGGCAUGUUAAAUGAAAGCAAGUGUUAAUUGAUUCGGGACCAACUAACUACCUGGUAAUUGUUUGGGAUUGACAUAAAAUUUUUUCCAAGCAUGAUCUUAUAGUGCCAGUUUCCUUUUACAUCCUUGCUUUUGGGAAGCUUGGAUACUUCUACAAAAAGAUCUGUGCGUGAUAGUCAAGGGUAAAAAAGUUUUUUUUUUUUUUUUUUAAAAAAAAAGGGGAGUAGUCCAGUGAGGUGCCAGGGAGUAGUACACUAAACGAUGAAAUGCCCGCAAAUCUAGACAAAUUGUAAUUUAUCCAAAUCCCAUAAAACUACGAUAAAAUACAACAAUAGAAAUACCGUAUUUUCGUAACACUAAAAUAAAAUCACAGUAAAAAAACCGUCCCCAGCUAAAGCAAAAGCCAUAAAUUUUAUUAAUAAUAAUCGAGAAUUAUAAGGAAAAUUUAAAUGCAAUGCCAAAUUUGGCCUUGGUAGGUUGUCGUUGAGAAUUGAGGAGAUUUGAGACUAGAAAGCAGAGAGACUUUCCUCUGGUGCGCGAAAUCGAGAGUUUGUCUUCUCUAUUAUUCACGUACACCCUGUUUCUCUCUCUCUCUCUCAUCGUUAUUUUUUUUUUAUUUCUCUCUUUCUCUCUCUUUCUGUGUAUACUUAUAUUUAGGGGACUUAUAUAGUUUUAUGUAUAAUGUGCAUCGGCAAGGGAUUUUGCAGCUCGAUCUGUAAGUUGUUUUAAUCAGUUUUUUUGCACGAAUUUUCGGUUGAAUUUUUUUAUCUGAUGCAUUGAAUUACAGCAGAAAUUUGGGGUGAAUUUGAAAGCCCUAGAUCUUACUUGAUUCGCAGUUUGAUUGGAUCGAGUAGGGCGAUUUUGGUUUGACCAAGUGGGUUUUGUAAUUGGAUCUGGAAAAAUUACUAGCUAGAAUUUGAUAGGGUUUUAAUUUUGGUAGCGGUGACUUUCUUUUUAUUGUUUUAGUGAGAAGUAUUCUCUAGGGUUUGAGUUGAUGGCUUCGAAUCCUCCAUUCCAAGUGGAGGAUCAGACUGAUGAGGAUUUCUUUGAUAAGUUGGUGAACGAUGAUGACGAUGACGUUGAUCUUAAGGUCACUGCCACGUCAUCGUUGGCUUCCACCGCCUCAGGGCCUGUUUUCACGGAUGGGGAUGAGUCUGACGAGGUUAAGGGCUUUGCGAAUUUGAGUCCAAAUGAGGCCGAUGAUAGUGAUAAGAAUGAUAAAAAGAUGGGAAUAGAUGAUUUGGGUGGGAAAUUAGAGAGGGAGCCGAAUGGCGUGGUUAAUGAAGUUGUUGAGAUUGAUGCUAAAGGGGCUGUGGCGGUGGAGGGUGUAGUGGAGGAGAGUAAUGGUGUUUUGGAAUCAUCGAGUUCAUUUGAGUUUGCAGGUGUAGUUGAGGAAAAUAAUGAAAAUGUAGGUACUGAGGUUUUGUCUGAUGCGACCACCUCUAGUAAGAGUGACGGAUCUGGAGCUUUGGGUGUGAAGGAGGUGCAAUGGAGUGCCUUUAAUACCAAACAGGCUCAGAAUGAUAGUAAUGGGUUUGGAUCCUACUCAGAUUUUUUCACCGAGUUGGGAGAGAAAGCUGGCGAUUCAAGUGCCAAUAUGCUGAACAAUUUUGAUAAUGAGAUAAAGGGUAUAUCUGCCAAUGAAAAACAUGAAUCUGCAUAUUUGGAUAGCUCAAAUUAUGGGGAUUUUCAAGAUAGUUAUAAUUAUGGUACAGCUGCACAUAAAAGUAUAGAGGGGCAGGAUCUAAAUAGCAGUCAAUACUGGGAAAACCAAUAUCCUGGGUGGAAGUUUGAUCCAACUACUGGUCAGUGGUAUCAGGUGGAUGGCUACAAUGCGGGUGUAAAUGUGCAGGGAACUGCAGACUCUAACCCAGCUGGUGAUUGGACUGCUUUUGAUGGAAAGACUGAGGUUUCUUACUUGCAGAACACUGCUCAGUCUGUUGCUGGAACGGUAGCUGAGAGUGGUACGACUGAGAGCGUCACUAACUGGAAUCAAACAUCAUAUCUCAAUGAUGCUACUGGGGCUGAAUCAAAUUGGAAUCAGGUGUCUCACGUGAGCAGUACGGGUGGAACUACAUCAGAGUGGAAUCAAGGAUCACAAGUAAAGAACGAGUACCCAUCACAUAUGGUGUUUGAUCCUCAAUACCCUGGUUGGUACUAUGAUACAAAUGCCCAAGAGUGGCGAUUGUUGGAUGCAUAUGUUUCAUCUUCUCAAUCAACUACUGGAGCUCAAGAUCAGCAUAAGCAGAAUGUGUCUAUGACAGAUACUCUCUCUCAGUACGACGAUCAGAAGACAUUUGAUACAUAUAAACAGAAUGUCUCUAUGACAGAUACUUUCUCUCAGUAUGACAAUCAGAAGACAUUUGAUACAUAUAAGCAAAACCUGAAUUAUACUUCAGAAGGAUUUGCUGCCCAAAGCCAAGAUUACAACUGGGCUGGAUCAUUCGGUCAUUUCAACCAUCAAAAUUCAAAUAUGUGGCAGCAUGGAACUGCUGUUAAUCCUGAAUCCAGUACAGGUUAUGGGCAAAACCAACAAUUGAAGAACCAUUAUGGCACAAAUGUUUUGGGAAACAACCGUGUUAAUCAACAGAACUCUAGCAAUUAUGGGGGAACAAUUCCUUAUCAUGAGAGAGGAAGUCAAAGUCAGAAAGAGUUUUCAGCAGUUGGUGGCUCAAAAAACUUUGUUCAUGCGCCUAAUUUUAGUCAGCAAUUUUAUCAGGCAAGUAUUGAGCAAAGUGAACAGAAGCAUGUCUCUGAUGAGUAUUUUGCCAAUCAGAAUUCAAUUAAUUUCCCCCAGCAACAGUUUAACGGUACCCAUCAAUUCUCUUAUGCUCCGACCGCUGGAAGGUCAUCUGCUGGCCGUCCUCCACAUGCAUUGGUUACUUUUGGUUUUGGCGGGAAACUUAUUGUGACAAAAGGAACUGAUUCUAUUGGAGGCUCAUCUUAUGGAAGCCAGGUUAGCUGCAUAAAAGUUUUUUUUUUGAAUUCCUGUUGAUUGAUGAUGCUUUCUCUGAUACCAAAGUUUUUUGUGUAUUCUCUUUAAAGAAUCCUGUAGGAAGCUCCAUAUCCAUUCUUAACUUGAUGGAAUUAGUAAAUGAGAAAGAUGGUGCUUCUGCCCGUGGAUUUGGUGUUUCUGAUUACUUUCGUUCUCUCUGUCAACACUCCAUCUCUGGUCCACUUCAUGGUGGGGGUGGUGGUAUCAAGGAGUUAAACAAAUGGAUUGAUGAGAGAGUUGGGAUCUCUGAUACUUCUGAUUUGGACUCCAAAAAAGGGGAAGCUUUGAGGCUGCUUCUGUCUUUGCUAAAGAUUGCCUGUCAGCAUUAUGGAAAACUACGUUCUCCUUUUGGUGCCGAUACAUUGUCAAAGGUAAAACUAGAUUUUGAUUUGUUACAAAGUAUUUAAUAUUGAUUGAAUUUGUGGGAAAAGAAUCAUUACAUUUCAAUGUCUGUUGACUAUAAUAUUUCAUGAAAUGUGGUUGGUGGACUACUGCUAGUUUUGUUUCAAUUGCUUUUUGUGGUGAAACUUCUUUGGACCAAGCAGAAACCUGUGUUUUUGGUUUCCCUGAACUGUUUAACGAAUAAAAUCCUGAGUUGGAGUUGUCAAAAUAAUGGAUAAUAAUUUGUGAUAAGAUUGAGGAAAAAAGUCUGAAUUUAGAUGUUUAUUGAAUGUCUCAAAAGGGGCAGGGGUUGAAAAAGAUAAAGUAUCUACUUUCAAAAGUCAAAGAUGCUAUUACAUCCUGGUCUGGUGGUAAAGGGUGAAUGUUGGAAGAAUAGGAGUACUUGGCUUUGAGUUAUCUGCAACAGUAAAAGAAUAUGAUAUUGGGCGCCAUUUUGUGACUGUUUUAGGUUUUAUCAGUUAGGCAACUAGUUCAUGGUAAGCACAAUGUAAUUGGACAGUGGGAAGCCACCAUGUUUUUUCCUCUCAAAAUCAUUGCUUAUUCAAUUCUUUCCUCCCACCCCCAACUUUCAGUGGCUUUAUUUCCUUCCUUGCAGUUUUGAUGCCAAUCAGGUUGAUUUUCCUGGAAGUAUGAGUUUUCUGUUAUAGUUUUUUUUCUCCCUCCUUUGAUCUCCGAUAUUUUGGGGUAUGCCUUCUCUUUCAUUGCUGGUGAUUGUAGGACUUAUAGCUGCCUUUGGUUUCAAUUUGGGCCACCUCAUCCCUUUACGUCAUGCUCUAGAGCCUCUUUAAUAAUGCUCAUGUCGUUUUUCAAGAAACACAGUUUGGGCAUAUUCAGCUGCUGUCUAUUCUUGAUUUGAAAAUAUUUCAAUCCCUUUUUUUGAUGUUAUUAACUUAUCUUCACUAAUCUUGGAGAUUAUGCAUAGGACAUAUCUUUAUCUGUUGUGUUUCAGAAGUUUAUGUGAGGGUUUCUUCAAUGGAAAACAAUCAUAUUGUCUUUUACCUGUACCAAACAGUAUUGAUGACCAUGGAAUGUUCUCGUCUUUUCUUUCUGGAUUUUUAUUCUGUGGGUGAUGGUUGGUUGUGAUUCAGUGCACCGAUUAGAUGUUAAAACUUAAAAUGAGAAUCCUUGAGAUUGACAAGUGCAAGGCAACUGUUUGUUGGCUCCUUUAGCUCUAGCUGAUUAAUCUCCUGGGAUUGGGAGCCUUGUGGGGAUUGCUGUUUCUCUUAUAGUUAAUAAAGUUGUCUAUGAGAAUUGGUCCUGUGCCUUUUUGCUAUAUUAGUGUCAUCUUGAGAUUUACAUGGCUUCUCUGGCUCUUUUGGCUCUUGAAAUUAACAGGAGAAUGAUACUCCAGAAGCAGCAGUUGCAAACCUUUUUGCAUCUGCCAAAAAGCUCGGUGCUCAAUUCAGUAAUUAUGGUGCGAUUGCCCAUUGCUUGCAAAAUUUGCCUUCCGAAGGGCAAAUGCGGGUAUGUGUGUGGUACCUUGUGGUUGUGAUUAUCACUUAUCCAAAGCACUUAUAGAUCACAAUAUUUGUUUAGGCCACUGCUUCUGAGGUUCAAAGUCUCUUGGUUUCUGGGAGAAAAAAAGAGGCCCUGCAUUGUGCGCAAGAGGGUCAGUUAUGGGGUCCAGCCCUUAUUCUUGCUGCACAGCUUGGAGAUCAGGUUUUGUCACUUGGACACUGUCUACCAUAUGAGAUAUUUCAGAUUGGUUCUUCGCUAUCUAUAUUCUUUGCAGUUUUAUGCUGUCUGAGAUUUGUUCUUCUCUGUGUAUAUUAUUUGCAGUUUUAUGCUGAGACAGUGAAGCAAAUGGCACUUAGGCAAUUAGUGGCUGGCUCACCUUUGCGGACCUUGUGCCUGCUAAUUGCUGGACAACCAGCAGCUGUUUUUUCCACAGAUGACUCAGCUUAUAGCAGCAUGCCUGGUGCUGUAAAUAUAGCUCAACAACCUGCACAGGUAUCGGAUUUAUGAAUGUGAAGUUUUGAUUUUUCUUUUGGGACUAAAAGCUCAUUCUGUUUUUGCAAUUAAAUAUAAUGGAAAUACUGAUACCUGAUGGUCUGAGUAUCUUGCGAUUCUAUCUUAGAUCUAUGUUGUUUGAGUAUUCUGACUUGAAGUAUUCUUACUCCAUAGAUUCCUGAUUUUUCUGUAGUUUGCUGCUAAGGGCAUGUUGGACGACUGGGAAGAGAACUUAGCUGUUAUAACUGCCAAUAGGACAAAAGAUGAUGAACUUGUGCUUAUUCAUCUUGGAGAUUCUCUGUGGAAGGAAAAGAGUGAUGUAUGUAUGACCAGCUUGUUUCUCCGUGUGGCUUCUGCUUCUUUUUUUUUUUGUUUUUUAAAUUUGUAUCAAUGUUACUGAGCUUGGUUUUUCAUCUUGUGGAUGAUGAAUGACUCAGGUUGUUGCUGCACACAUAUGUUAUUUAGUUGCUGAAACAAGCUUCGAGCCAUACUCAGAAAAGGCUAGGCUGUGUCUUGUUGGUGCAGACCAUUUGAAAUAUCCCCGAACAUAUGCUAGUCCAGAGGCUAUUCAGGUGCGACUAAGCUGUCUAAUGAAUAUGAAAUGCGCUACUUGAUAUAUAACUUCUUUGAAUCAGGUACCUAAUACCAAUUGAGUGUGUUUUAUUUGACUGACUUUUUGCAUCUGGACAGAGGACAGAGAUAUAUGAGUACUCAAAGGUACUUGGAAACUCUCAGUUUAUCCUUGACCCUUUUCAACCAUAUAAGCUCGCAUAUGCACACAUGUUGGCUGAAGUUGGGAGGAUAUCAGAUGCGUUAAAGUAUGGAAGGAAAGCUUUGAAUUUUAAGUAAUAGUUUUGAUUCAUUACUUCUAGUCUUCUUAAGAAGAAUAAAUUUUAAUCCAGGUACUGUCAAGCAGUUUUAAAAUCACUCAAAACUAGUCGUUCUCCUGAGGUAGAGACAUUGAGACAAUUGGCGUCAUCUCUCGAGGAACGUAUAAGAAGUUACCAACAGGUACCUAUCCAUCCAUGGAUCUUCAUCUUAUAGAUAUAUUAUAGUUACUAAUGUUGAACUCUUAAAUCUAGGGAGGGUUUUCCACAAACUUGGCCACAACAAAAUUGGUGGGAAAAUUGCUCAACCUCUUCGAUUCUACUGCCCAUCGCGUUGUGGGGGGUAUGCCGCCUCCUGUUCCUCAUGCACCAGGUGGCAGUAUGCAAAGUCUGGAAUACAAUCAACAGAUUGGACCUAGAGUCUCUACAAGUCAAUCAACAAUGGCAAUUUCUUCAUUGAUCCCUUCAGGAUCAAUGGAGCCCGUAAGUGAAUGGGCAAGUGAUAGUAAUAGGAGGACAAUGCAUAACAGAAGUGUUUCAGAGCCUGACUUUGGAAGAAGUCCCAGACAGGUUUGUUGGCCGACUUCUGUGUACAUUCUAAAGAGUUGGAAUUUUAAAUUUUAGGUGCUUAAUUGGUUUUGACAAAAAUAUUGCUUCUGGAGAUAAAAAUGCAUAAGAUCUUGCUAAAUCAUACAGGAUCAGGUCGAUUCGUCGAAGGGAGAGAGUUCUUCCAAUGGACAAGGUGAAACAGCAGGUGGAGUUACAUCCCGGUUCAGUCGUUUUGGUUUUGGUUCGCAGCUUCUUCAGAAGACUGUAGGUUUAGUCUUAAGACCGCGACAAGGCCGCCAAGUAUGUCGUUCAUGAUAUUCUGUUUUGUAAAGUUCUUUUGGUUUUCUCUGUGAUGGGGAAAAUUUUCACUUGAUUUUUUGCAUAUAAAUUGUUCUUUAUGUCCUUUGUUAAUUGUUUAGGCAAAGCUGGGUGAUACAAAUAAAUUUUAUUACGAUGAAAAACUUAAGAGAUGGGUAGAGGAAGGUGCUGAACCUCCGCCAGAGGAAACUGCCCUGCCUCCCCCGCCAACUGCAGCUUUUCAGAAUGGGACAUCUGACUACAACCUCAAGACUGCACUAAAAAGUGAAGGUUCGCUUGGCAAUGGAAGCCCAGAAUUCAAAAGCCCAACUUUGGACCAAGUUCCAGGGAUUCCACCGCUUCCACCCACCUCCAAUCAAUUCUCUGCACGUGCUCGGAUGGGUGUUCGGUCAAGGUAACUGAAGUCUAGACUUUGGUAAAGAAGCAAAAAUAAUUCUGAGGCUGGAAGCCUGGAAAACCAUGUUCUCGGUCUCGCUUCAGCUAAGCAUUCAAUUUGAUUUUAUUUUUGUUGUGGUCCCUUUGGCAGGUAUGUCGACACCUUCAACAAGGGUGGUGGGAACCAAACAAAUUUGUUCCAAUCCCCUUCUAUUUCUUCCACUAGACCUGCUGCCAGUGCCAACGCAAAGUUCUUUGUUCCCACGCCAGUAUCCUCCGUUGAGGAUACAUUUGACAACAGUUCUGAGAGCACUCAAGAUACUACAAUUAGUAAUGAGAUACCAUCAAGCUCGGCUGUAAAUGAUACAUUCCAUUCCCCUGCACCAUCAUCCUCCAUGAAUAUGCCGAGAUUUGGAAGCAUGGGCAGCAUCUCUACCAAAGUGAGAAGUGCCAAUGGAUCCUUCUCAGCUCCUUCGCGGCGCACAGCAUCAUGGAGUGGAAGUUUUGAAGGAAACUCCAGUCCUCCUCAGAGGGCUGCAGUGAAACCUCUAGGAGAGGUAUUAGGCAUGCCGCCAUCGUCAUUUAUGCCGAGCGAUUCCUUGAUGCACUCAUCAGCAAGUGGUGGCAGUUUUGGGGAUGAGCUUCAUGAAGUCGAACUCUG
rnacentral:lncRNA from 1 species